UAUUGUUGAAGAAAUGUUCACCUGGCUUAGAUGAAGUUUCUUGAAGAGGGUCAAGUUUUGAACCAGAUUUCUCAAGCCAUGUUUUUGAAGCUGCAACAUUGGGUUUCCCGAGAGAUCAAGGAAUACCAAUUUAGACAGUGCUAAGAGUACUUCCGAUGGGAUUUGGCCCGAGAAUUGAGAAUCCGAGAGGUUUAGACUUCUAAGCCUUGAAAGCUGACUGACUCCAUGUGGGAUCUCAGAGUAAUUGAAAUCAUUAUCAGAAAGGUCAAGCCUCCGGAGAUGAACAAGGCUGAAGAGGGUGCUGCUGGAGUUGAUAGAACCAUAGAGACAACUGCUGGCAAGAUGAAGGCCGAUGACAUGACCAGUCUCCCUGUCACACUCAACACCAUCCCAUGAGCAGCAAUCACUUCCCUCUCCAUGGGAUUUCCAUGUUGCAACUUUUGGAUAAGCAUAAGAAUCUUCAGAAGCAUAUUCAUCAAUCAAAAAGCUCUGCUUGAACUGAAGCAAGGCAGAGCUCUCAUUAUCAUGGCACAGUGGCUGCUGCACAGAUGAGGAAGAAUUAGUAACAAUUAGAUGAAAUGAUGAGAGUAAAGCGAGAAAGCGCAUCAAGAUGAAGAGAUACAAAAUUGACCCCAUGAUUCUAAUUCACUCUCUUUACCACUACUCUUGAAUAAACUAGGGAUCGAAUGAUGAGCUUUUAUAGAUAGGACUAAAGUGCUUUUCCGAAGUGAUGAAGAAGGCCCUGUUAUGCCAUAAUAUAGACCUGUCCCUCAAGUCUUUAGUGGAGCUGGAAGGCACAUUUCAAAGUCUAAGUAGUCUUUUCUUUCUUUUUCCUUCUUUUUUAUUUUUUAUGUGAUAAAGUGAUUACUCUUGUAAUUGACUCCUGGUUUCUGAAUCUUGUUACUUUAUCUCCUAUCCUUUUAGGUUGUGUUUGAUUCCAAAAGAUUUGAGAGAAAAUGUGAAAAAAGAAAAUAGAGAAAAAAAAAAGAUUUGAAACCAAUAACUUAUUUUUAAAUACUUUUUUAAACUUAUUUUAUUUAUUUUCCUCUAUUGUAUGAAGAUUAAACAAUUAAAAAAUACAUAAAUUUUUAGCUAAUUUUAAUUAUAUUUGAGUGAAUUAAUUGGUUAAAAACAAUGAAAUAAUCCUCAAAUUUGUAAAUCUAACUCUUUUCAUGUUUUUACUUGAAAAUCAAUCCAUUUUUUUUUUACGUAAAUUCCUUUUUAUUAUUUCAAGCAUUUACACAUAAGUUUUAUAAUAAAAAGUUACUUUUAUAAAAAGAGAAUGAAGACAUUUUUAUCAAAAUAAGAUCAAAAAAUGAUGAAAGGUUAAUUAUAUUUCAAAAAAUUGGGUUCUCAAUGACCCUUCUAAUCAAAUAACCCUAUUUGAUUUUCUUUUAGGUUUUUCAUAGUGAAAUCAAACAUAAGAAACCAUUUUCCUGAACAUUUUCUUAUCUUACAAUUUUCCUGAACAUUUUCUGCAUGCUCGAUUCCUGAACAUUUCAUAGUUCUUAUGUUUGGUUCUCAGAAAAUUUGAGGGAAAAUGCAAGGGAAAGAAAAUACAAAAGAAAAAUAGAAGGAAAGAAAAAGUGAAGGAAAAUAAAAAAUGAAUUAAAAGUUGAUAAGUUAUUUUUAUUUUUUACUUCAAACUCAUUUUAUUUAUUUUAACUCAUCAAUAUAAAGAUUAAAUAAUUUUAAAAUACAUAAGUUUUUAAUUAGUUUUAAUUAUAUUUGAUUUUCUUUUAUAUUUUUCAUAGGACAACCAAACAUGAAAAAAUCAUUUUCCUUUGUAUUUUUUUUUUCUUUCCUUAGUAUUUUCCGGGAACCAAACAUAACCUAAAUAUUUAUUAUUAUUUUUCCUAUCAAAAGAAAAUGUCUUUCGUAUAGUUUGUAAUUUAAAAGGUAUGUUAAACAAGAAUUAUGGUUGUUACUACUGCAACCAACCAAACCUCAAACCGGAGAAAACGGAAAGCAGCCAAACCUCAAAUUAGUGAAAACAGAAGACUUAAAAUGAAACUAUUUUUUUUUUUUUUUUCUGAGAUUAGACCCCAUAUUCCACAGCAAAGGGAAGUAAGUUAUAUUUACUGCUAAUAUUGAAAUCAUAAAGGUCUACAUUUCAUAUAUUAACACCGUGAAACUUCUUACCCAUCAACUAAGAAAGAAAAAGAAGAGAAAAACAUUAACAAAGCAACACAUUCAAUUUCUACGAUCUUACCCUCCUUUAUCUAUUUUCUCUCACACUUGCCAAAAGUCUUUGUGCUUGUCUUGGCAUUUGGUACACGCAUUAUCAAGCGAUCCACUCAUGUCUAAGGAUUGCUAAUGUCCAACACUUCUAAAAAUCAAAGUAGAAUAUGCCCUCAUUUGAGUCAACCCCUGUCCCUAAGUCCCCCCCAAAAUUGAGCUAGCUAGUCAAGAAAAAGGAAGACAUGGGCAUAGUUACACCAAGCCACCCAGCAAGAUUUAUGGAAUUGAAGAACCAUAAUUAGUUUAAGUGGUGAGCUAAGAUAUAUCCCUUUCCAACACCAACCCCAUUAAAGAGCUUAGUGCUGAAUGCCAAGAUAGGCACAAAUGACUUUGCAAAGGUCAAAGUAAACAUGUCCACAUCCUGUUGUAGGCCUAACAUGGAAAAGGGAAGUAUGCUGCCAUAGAAAUAAAUGCAACCUUUGCACUUGUCACAAGCAUUCCAUAUUAAUUUGGCCUCCAUUCCUCGUGAUAUUUUUUAUCAAAGGAAAUUACAUGAAACCUACCUCAUAAUUGGAUUGAAAAGAAUAACUACUUUGUGAAGAGUACAAAAGAAAAGAAGUGCCAAUAUAUUAGUGAGAACAAAUGUAUCACAUACUGAUAUCAUUCAAAUGGAAGAAUUAAUUGAUAAAGAUUACCUGAGAGAGAAAAAGGGAAAGCUUCUCCUAUAUAGUUCUUUAAAUAAAUAAAAGACUUAUCAUUUGAUAACUUAAAAAAAUGUUGCAUAUUUUAUGUAAUGGAAAUGAUUUGUUAUUUGCUCCUAACUAUUUAAUUAGUUUUAUGCAUAAUUGGUUCUUAGAAAUUAAAGUUCUUGUCUUUAUUUCAAAUGAGAAACUUGCAAUACCAUAGUAUAUUUGGGGAAGGGAAAAUCCUGUUGAGUAAAUGAUUCAACUGUUAAUCCAUGAUAUGUCAUGGAUACGUUCUCAUUUGUGUUCUAUGACAAAGGACUUCAGCAUCUGGUUGAUAAACAAAGUCAUUUUUUUUUUCAUUUUUUAAACAAAAUCAUCUGGUUGAUAAAAAAAUAUAUGUUGAACUGAUGAAAUAAAAAUUCCCAUUUACUUCAUAUCCAAAAGAUUUGUGUAUGUUAUAUCCUUACUCUAAAGUUUCUGGAAAGAAGAUUUAUAAAAUGAUGAAUAACAUUACCCCCUUCUCUUCGCUUUUCAAAUUAUAAAAAAGAUUAAGGUAAGGAUAUUUUUACUUAAUUUCUUGACACAUGCAAAAGGCUAAUCUAAUGACUACACAUCCCACCGAAAUUCCAAUGCAGAAAUGGAGGUAUGCCUAUUUGGAGUUUCUAGUUCUACGUCCUAGUUCAUGCUAUAUAUCUGAUCUAUUCUAGUAUAGAAAGCAAGGCAACCCUAUACUUUUCACGGGAGUUCUCUUAAUAAUUUCAUCUCUUUUUCCAUUGAUAGGCAAUAACAUGGGAUAGAUUAUUUGAUAUGAAUAAAAAAUACUACCUAGAUUAUUAAAGAAAUAAAAAGGUCGAAGAUAAAAUUAAAGUUAUGAGAAUGGAAAUAGAGAUUAUAACAAUUCUGCAAUUAUUCAAGUUAAGCUCCAUGUCGGAAGCGUUUUCAAAAACAUUUUUGAAGAACAAUUUUUUAAAAUUGAUGUUUUGUCGAAAAGACUUUAGAAACUUAAAGAAAUUGUUUUAAUUUGUUUUCUAUGUUUUUAAAUAUAUUUUAAAAAUAACUUUUAUUUAUAGUGCUUUAUUUGUUAAACAUUCUCUAUAUUUAUAUAAUUAAUUUUUAAAAAUAACUAAAAAAUAUUUUAUGAAAAUAUCAUAUUUUCUAUUUUUUGUUGUAUUGACAUAUUUUUCUAUUUUUUUUAAAUUUAUAUAUUCUGAAGAACAUGAAAUUGUUUUCAACAACAAUUGCUUAACAAGGUCUAAGGCAUGUAGAUCCCUACCAUACGCACUCAAUUCUUAUUUUUUAAGCACUUCAUUUUAAAAUUUUGUAAUUUUGAAAUAAACUUACCCAUGAUAGGUGAUUUAAGUGGACUAUUAAUUAUGAAAAAUAACUCUAACUCUGUUAGUUUUGUCUCUCUCUUAGUGACUAAAAUAUAAGAGUUGUCCAUCAACCAACUCCCAUAUAGAAAUAUUCAUGGGAUGGGACAUAUAUAACGUAAAAAUAAAUAAAUAAAUAAUUUAGGGCCUUUUAUAAAUUUGUGUGUUUUCGUCACUUUAUGGGAUAAGGUUUUCUAGGCUUCCACUAUUUUAGAAAAAUUUGGCUAUGUUUGAUUCCUGAAAACUUUAAAGGAAAAUGUAAAGGAAAGAAAAUAAUUAAGAAAUGAUUUUUUUUUAUUAAAAAAAUUGAUUUCAAAGUAAUAAAUUAUUUUUAUAUACUAUUUCAAACUCAUUUAAUUUAUGUUUACUCUUCUAUUUUUUUUUUAUACAUUUUUAACUAAUUUUAAUCAUAUAUGAAUUUAUUUCUAUUUUUGAUGAUAAAACCAAAUAUAAGAAAAUUAUUUUCCUCGGAAUUUUUUCUUUUCUUUUAAUGCGUUUUUAAAACCAAACAUAGCCUUAAUAAAAAAUAACAGAGCUUUGAAUUUCCCAUAUAACUUACACCCACAUAUAAAAUAAUGUGCAACAUAAAUUCUUUUGAAGCAUAACCUAAAUGGUUACUUCUGCAACCAAUUACGCUUUAAGGAUCUUUGAAGGUAAUUAGAUUUAACAAGACUAUUGCUUAUUUUUUCUAUUAAAUAAAGAAAUUAAAGAGCUAAAUUUAAUUGAAAUAAACAUAUAUUCUUCAUAGAUCAAUGUUAAACAUCACCGCAAAGGAAGAUGCUUAGAGUUUAUACUCUAUUUGGGUCAUGUAAAGUUUGAAGGAAAAUACAAUUAAAUUUUUGGACAAAGAGUAUCUAUUGGCCAUUAAGAGAGUAAUUGUGUACAUAAAAUAAAAAAUUUAGUUCAUUGACAUAUGUUUAAAAAAAGUGAAUUAUACUUACUUCUCUAAUUCAUUAGAAAUAAAAUAUUUUAACCAAUUUCAUUUUCAAUAAAAAAUAUAAUUUAUACCUUUAUUAAAAUAUUAAUAUCUAUAUUUUAUCAUUAUUUCUUAACAAAAAAAAUAUCAUUCAUAUAUUACUAAAUACUAUUUAUAAAGUGUCUAGUGAGAUUUCUUACUAUUGUAUUAAUUCUUUUAUAAAAUUUUAAACUUAAUUUCUUAUUAUUUACCCAUGGUUUUUUAUUUUAUUUAUGUUUUUAAAUUUGUUAAUUAAUAUCUAAAAUUAUUGAGAAUGACAACAAGGGUAUUAUUAAAUGUUUUUAAAAGUUAAGAAUGCAUGGUUAUCAUAUGGGCAUAGGGCCGGAGCAUUGUUAGAAAGAUUGAGCCAGUAAAGCCCCUUGGAAUCCUGGAGUCGCUCUUUGGAAUUUGUUGAUUUGCUCAUCCUUGUCAUUGAGAACCAACAAAUAUCAUUCCACGAAUAUCUUGGGAUUUCAAACUCCAUAUCUGCUUGCAUAUAGAUUGAUUGAUAUGUUUUUUUAAGCUAUCCUUAGGCUUAGGGGCUCCUUUAAGCAAAAUCUCCAUUUAUUAUAUGACCUGCAUUGGCUUAAGCUGAUGAACCGCCUCUCUCUUAGAUUGAUGACUUGAUAGAAGCUCUGGUGGAGCCCAAAUUCCACAAGCGAUGAGACCGGGAGAAAGCUAGUCAACCACAAAAAUAGUGUACGUCCUUGACCUCUUUACAGUUGUUGAAUUAAUGGCCAAAAUUCAUUUAAGAAUGCUGGGCCUUAUAUGAAAAACUCCAAAAGAAGCUGACUCCAUUUGGAGUCACGCUCACUCUUUUUCCAAGUUCAAGCGGCAAACGUGAAGAGAAUGGCAAAAGACUUCAGCAAAUGGACAGUAGUAUAUGUAUGAAAGUCUAUUUGGGAAAGAGAAAAUUCUGUUUGGAGUAAAUGAUUCAACUGUUAAUCCAUGACAUCCCAUUGGAAUUCCAAGGCAGCAAUGGAGGUAUACCUGUUUGGAGUUUUUGGUUCCAUGUCCUAGUCCAUGCUGUAUAUUUGGUCCAUUCUAGUAUAGAAAGCAAGGCAACCCUGUACUUUUCAUAGGAGUUCUCUUAAUAAUUUUAUAGCUAAAUCUAGAAUAGUAACUAGAUUAUUAAAUAAAUAAAAAGUUACAAGAUAAAAUUAAGGUUCCGAGAUAUAAAGAUAGAGAAUGAUAAUAGUUCUGCAAUUCUUCAAGUUAAGCUUUGUGUGGGGAGCAUUUUCAAAACCAUUUUUGAAGAACAUUUUUUAAAAACUGAUGUUUUAUAAAACAAAAGUUUGUUUAAAAACUUGAAAAAAAAAUAUGUUAUUAAUCUAUUUUCUAUGUUUUUAAUAUGUUUUAAAAAUAACUUUUAUUUAUAAUACUUUAUUUGUACUUAUUCUCUAUAUUUGUAUAAUUAUUUUUUACAAUAGCCAUGAGAAAAUAACUAAAUGAUACUCUUUGAAAAUGCCAAGUUUUCAUUUUUUUUUUUGUCAAACAUGUUCUCCUUUUUUCUUUAAUUCUAAAGAACAUAAAAUUGUUUUCAAUAACAGUUGCUAAAUAGGGUCUAAGACCAGCACAACCCUAACAUAUGCACCAAAUUCUUAUUUUUAAACACUUAAUUUCAGAAUUUUGUAAUUUUGAAAUAAAUUUACACAUGAUAGGUGAUUUAAGUGGCCUAUUAAUCAUCAGAGAUAUCUCCCACUUUGUCAGUUUUAUCUCUCUCUUAGUGACUAAAAGAUAGAGUUGUCCAUCAACCAACUCCCUUAUAGAAAUAUUCAUCUUAUUCAUGGAAAAGAUAUAAGUUAAACAAAUUUUAGGAUCUUUUAUAAAUUUGUGUGUUUUCAUCACUUUAUGGGAUAAAGUUAUUAUAUACACUCGUAAAGAAUUGUGAUACUUAGAUAACACAAAAUCUCAUGAUUAUGGCUAGAGGUAAAUUUUCUAGGCUUCCAUUAUUUUAGCAAAAUUUAAGCUAUGUUUGCAGUGAUAAAUUGUUUUUUAAGAAACUAGCAAGUCAUUUAGGAUAAGUUUUGGUUAAUGAUUUUUUUAAUAGUUUUAAGUUUUGUGGAUUUAAUUAAAUUAAUUUUAAGGUUUCAAAUUAUUUUUAAAAAUGAGUAAAUCCUAUAUGUCAAAAUUUGUUUGAUUUUGAAUCUAUUUACUUAAUAAAAUCAUUUAAAGAAGUUAAAAGGACAUUCAUAAAAAACUAGUUUUUAAAAUGGAUGUAAUAAUUAUCCAUUUUUCCACACUAAAAGCCCUUGUCAAGGUCUAGUGCCAAAGGUAAAAACAUUUUAUAGGUAUAGGCCAAACUAACUGCCUACACAUUCCAUCGGAAUUAUAACAUAAAAGUGUAAGAAUAUUUUUUUAAACAACUUUCAAAAAAAGUUCUUGUUAAAUGUAGUUUUCAAAAAAUGGUUUUUGAAAACAAUUUUUAAAAACAGUUUCUACAAACAAUAUUUUUCAAAAAUAAUUCUCUGAUCAUAUUUUUAGAAUAAAAGUUUGUUCAAGACUUGAAAUAUUCUCAACAUAUUUUCUGUAUUUCUAAAUGUUUUUUAAAAAUAGCUUUAAUUGACCUAUGGUGGUUUAUUAUUAAUCAUUCUCCAUAUUUAUAUAAUUACUUUUUAAAAUCAUUAUGAGAGGCAAGUGAAAGCAACCAAAACAGUUAAAAUAUACUAUUAGAAAAUACCAUGUUUUUAAAGCAAUUAUUAAAACCCUAUUUUGAGAAUAAUUGACAACCAAACAUUUUCAUUUUUUGGAGUUUAACUAGGCUGCGAAAGCAAAGCAACACCAUAUAUUUAAAAUAUUGGGUCGGGGGUAGGGUAUGAAGCAAGAAACACAUUGAUUGAAAUCUUUCAAGGAAACUGUGGUUAGAUGAUUCGGUCUCUGUGUCUCCCUGUUUCCUUCCUUCUCCAUGUUUCCAAAAGUUUUCAUGUACAAACCAUUUAUGUUUCCACCUGGUCAAGCAGUAGCCAAUAGAAACUCCAGUUACCAUUAAUAUGAUUUUCAAGUCAAAUCCCUGUCAAUUGAUUGUCUCAACAAGAUAACUGAGGAUGGAUGAGGGUGGGAUUGUAACUGAUCGUGUAGCAUAUUAGGCCUUAGAUUCAAAUGUUGGACACUAGCACCAGGAAGAGCAGGCAAGGCCAAAGACCAUUUUUUUUUUUUAAUGAAAUGAACAGAGAAAAAACAUGUAGCAUUAUCAAGGACUCCACUCAUGUCCAAGGAUCGCUGAUGUCUAUGUAAAGUUCCAAUAGAUGAAGCUACACUCUUAAAUGACUUAUGAGUCAAUUUGUGUCCCUCACUUUCCCAACAAAUUGAGCUAGCUAGUCAAGAAAGGAAGACAAAAUCAAUACACCAAAUCAUCUAGCAUGCUCGGUAGAAUUAAAGAAGCAUUUUUUGUUCAUAUAGUGAGCUAAGGUAAAUCCCCUUUCCUACAAUAGGCCAACUUAUAAACCUUAAGUACAUAAUGCCAAGACAGACAUAAAUGACUUGUAAUCAUCCGUUUCCAACUGUGUAAAUAUUAUCUGCUCUAAGUUUAAAGGAGAUAUUACAACUUCAAAACAUAUCUACAAGGUUAAGAUCUUUCCCAACCGUGUAAAUAUUAUCCACCCUACGUUUAAAGGAGAUAUCACAACUUCAAAACAUAUCUACAAGGUUAAAAGAAGCGCGUACAUAUAUAACAUUCAAAAUUUUUUCUCCUAUUUGAUAUGAGAUAUCAUAAUUACUCUCGUGUAGAUAUAAUGUUCUUAUUGUAUCCCACAGGAUUGUGAGGUUAAACAGAUAGACACUCGUUGUAAGGUCGAACAAAUAGACUCUCACAUUAAAAUUGAAGAUCGACUCUAAUACCAUUUGUAAUAACCAACUCUCAAUUGUGUAGAUAUUAUCCGCUUUAAGCCCAAAUGAACCUUCAUAGGUUAAGAGGAGUCCAAAUAUAUAUAUAUUGCUAAGUACUUUGUAUCCUAUCUGAUGUGAGAUAUCAUAAUCACUUCCCCAUGCAGACACAACACAUAGUAUCCUCAUUAUGUGUCAUAGAAUUGUAGAGUCAAAUAGACAAACACUUCUUAUAGGCCAAACAAAUUCCCACAUCAGGAUUGGAGUGCCAUUUAUAAUAGUCGUUCCCAACCGUGUAAAUAUUAUCCACUCUAAGUCCAAAGGGAACCCCACAACUUUAAAAUGUGUUUAUAAGGUUAAGAAAGCACAUACAUCUAUAGUGUUGGAAACUUCUCCCAUCCAAUAUAAGAUAUCAAAUGACUUGUGGUCAAGGGUUGCACAACCAUGUUCAGAUAUGAAGAGGGAUCUAUGCUGCUAUAGAUCUAGAAAGAACUACAACCUCGAUGCUUAUCAUAAAUGCUCCUUAUUUAUUUACUUCCAUUUCUCAUAAUAUCUCUGAAAGGCCAUAUUGCAUGAAACCUAUCUUAUAAUUGGAUUAAAAAUGAUACAUGCUUCGUGAAGAGUAUAAAAGAAAAGAUCGGAUAAAAAAAAAAAAAAGUGCAGUUAAUACUAUAAAUCGCACAUGUGAUAUUAUCCAAAUGGAAGCAUUAGUAGAGAUUGGCAGAGAAUGAAAAAAAAAAGAAGAAGAAUUGAUUAAUUUAUUACUUGCUUAUAAGCUUUUAGCUUUAUCUUAGAUGCUCAAGAGUUUAAAGUUUCCUUAUUUUAAAUGAAAGACUUCCAAUACCAUAGUACCUCCAACAUAUAAUUUCAUUUAGUGCUACUGGCCAUAUCGACCUUGUUGUUGGCCGGUUUGUCUGCUUUCUUAAAUUGGAUGCAUAUUUGUACUCAAAAAAUAGUUUAAGAAAAAUAAUGUUUAAAGAGUAUAUAUAAAAGCAACCAUUGCACCCAACUUGAUAAAAGAAAGAAGGGAUAAUAAAAGAAGUAAUAAGACCAACACUUUCAGUUGCAUUGCUACAUAUAAAAAACCCAAGUAAUUUUUACAUCCUAUAAGAUCAAUGCUAACCUCAGUCCACUCACCAACGAAAACAAAAGUUCAAAACAUCACCAACAAAGUAAGAAAAAAAAGAGAAAAGAAGAAACAUGAAACCCAACAAUGGAAGCAAUAUACAUGGAUCAAGACACCUUUCAAGGAAACUAUGGUAAGAUAAAUUCAGUCUUCUCCGUUUUAGUUGCUGCCUUCCAAAAGUUUUCACAAACCAUUCAUGUUUCCAUUUGGUGAAGCAAUACCCAAUAGAAAUUCCAAUCACUAGCCCGCUUCCAUAUCCCAUUAAUACAACUUUCCAAUCAAAUUCACUUGGUGGACCUUGUUUAGGGGAUGAUGGUGUUAUAUAUUAUUUUAGUUUAAUUAUUUUUUAAUAUCAAUAAUAGUCUUUUUAGCUUUUCUUGUUGACCUAUAUAAAGCUUUUUAUGUAAUAUCUUUUUUAAGUCUUUUGUUAGCGAGACCUAGCCUAGCUUUCUUCUUAUUCCUUUUCUUUGUUUUCGCAGUUCUCACAGAUGGAGCUGGUGGUGAAGCCUCAGAAUUUCCACAUGGAAACUUUUGGAUAAGCAGAAGGAUCAUAAAAAGCAUGCUCAUCAAUCAAAAAGCUUUGCUUGAACUGAAGCAAGGCUGAGCUCUCACUAACACAGUGGCUGCUGCAUAUAUAGAUGAGGAAGAGUUAGUCACAAUAAGAUAAAAAGAUGAGAAUAAAAGGAGAAAGCGCAUCAAGAUGAAGAGAUACAAAAUUGACCCCAUAAUUCAAAUCAGUCACUUUACCGUACUCUUGAUUAAAGUAGGAAUCUGACAAUGAGCUUUUAUAGAUAGGAGUAAAGUCCUGUGUAAUGGUUUCCGGAAGUGAUGAAUAAUAGGCGUGUCCCUCAAGUCAUUAGUGGAGCUUGAAGGCAAAUUUCAAAGUCUAAAUAAAUAAAUAAAUAAUUCAUUUGCAGAAGGGGGCAUAGUAACAUUUAAAGUACUCUCUGCAAACUGGGGGAGUCAAACUCACUUUUUUUCCAAGCUCAGGUGGCAGACAUGAAGAGACUGGCCAAAGAAUUCUUCGUAUGGACAGAAGAACCGUGUUUGAAGAUCUAAUGGGGAAAGAGAAAAUCCUGUUUGCAGUCAUUUAUUCAACCGUUAUUAUCUUCAAAUACAAGACAUUCCACUACGUACCAAAUGGGUAUUAGAAUCUCUCCUUUGAAUUUGUUGCUUGAAAGAUCAAUUGCUCUGAAGAUAACAGGGAUCUUAUCGAACACCCUCUCCAUGCCCUUGUUUAUCAUUGUCAUCGAGUAUGUGUAAUUGUCAGAUAACCUGAUUUGCUGUGUAUUGAAAGAUCUGUGCUUGCUUGUAUGUAUGCCAGCUUGUUGACAUCAACAGAAACUUUCACGCAAUCUAAAUUUUUAUCAGAUAAGCCUAAGUCAGUUUUUUGAGCUUAAGAAACAUAUGCCCAGCUCCAAUGCGCCAUUCAAGUCAUUUGAAAGUAGAAUAAGAGUUUCAAGGUUUGUGAGGUUAGGUUUUUGGAGCUCCAAUGGGUUUGAUCAUAAGAAACACAGUUCGUCUGUAGGAAAUUUAGUCUCAUUUCCUUUUAUUGCAGUGGCUGGUGUUGAUGUUGUUGUUUGUUAUUGGAAAUCAAUUGCCUCUUUGUCACAAGAUUUUUAGGUGAGAAGAUGGAAAUGGAGGAUCCAAAAUAGAGACAGGAAGUGAGAUGUGUUUUAGAGCAAGUCAAAUUUGAAGAAAAGAGAUGAAGUAGAGACACACAAAUUUGUCACAAAUUAUUAAAUAACAAAGACAAGCGAGUCACAUUUACUACUUAUAAGCAAAUCAUCAGAGCUCUCUGCAUACCAUAUACUUACCCCACACUCGAUAAAGAAAUUAAAAAGGAAACCACAACAAUACAACAUUACGUCUUAUUUACAAACCAUUCAUGUUUCCUUCUCUGCCUCUUGCCUCUUGCCAAAAGUAUUCACAAACCAUUCAUGUUUCCUUGUGGUCAAGGUGUGCCCAAUAACUACUCCCACCACCAGCCCACUUCCAUAUCCCAUCAAUACCAUCAUCAACUCAACUCUGAUUCCCAACUUGGAGUCUUCAACUUGUCUGGAGGUUGAAAGCGGCAGCGGUAAUGACUUAAAGAUCCUGCACUUCUUUGACAAAGGGACCUCCUCACAAUCCUGGGUUUCCCUUGUAUGACUCAUUUUGAAAUGUAUCAAAUUGUUUGCCUUGUGGUAUAGGUCCUGUGAGAUGAUUGUGGGAAACGUUGAAGAACUCAAUGAAUGUCAUCCUUGUUAGUUGCUAGGGGAUCUCUCCUGAUGCUUGUUCUAGGACAGAUCCAAUGACUCCAUGUAACGCCCAAGUUUUCUUUUUAAAGGGUAAUUUAGGAAAUUCUUAAUAAUGAUAUUAAAUUAAUUAAUUAAUUAAUUAAUUUAAUAAAAUGGAAGAGGGGUGAAAAGGUAAUUUUACGAAUAAUACCCUAGGUAUAAAUAGAAAAUUCUCUUUUUCUUGUUCUUUUUUUUAAUCGUAUUCCUGUUCGCAGAGAGUUUCCAAAAAACGUGAAGUUGAGGUUAGAUUUCAAGGUUUGAAGAACAAACCUCUAUAGGUAAGAUUCUAACCCUAGAUUAUUAUUUUAGAUUCAUUAGUUAAUUUCAAGCACAUUAGAUAUUUUUUUUUUUUGGAAAACCCCAAAUCUAGAUUAGAGUUAGUUUAUUUAUUUUUUAAUUCGUCUUAAUACCAAAUAGUGAAAAUUUAAGAUUUUGAUUUAUUAUUGGAAUUGGGGAGAUCUUAAGUUUUUUUUUUUUUAGAAAAAAAAAAAUUCCUAUGAAGAUUUCGAUUUAGAUUAGGGUUAUUUUAUUAUUAUUUUUAAUUCGUUUUAAUAUCAAAUAGUGAAAAUUUAAGGUUUCGAUUUAUUGUUGGAAAUCGGAAAUUCUUAAGUUUUUAGGAAAAAAAAAACCUAGAAGACGCGUGUGCACACUGUGGAAUUGGAGAAUGAAAAAAAUAAUAUAAUAUAUAUAUGGGGUGUGGGUGUGUGUACGGAUGGAUGAAGAGUGUUGUUAGUUAAUAUAUAUAUAUAUAUAUAUAUAUAUGUCUAUUGUUUGUUGGCAAUAAUGGAGUAUUGUUGGGAAUAAAAUUUAUGUUUAAAAAUAAAAAUAAAAAUGAGAGAAUAGAAGUUUUAAAUAAAAAGGAAGUAAAGUUUUUUUUUGAUAUUAUAAUUAUGAGCGUAAGUUAAUAAAUAACAUAGAAAUUAAUUAUUGAAAUAAAUUAUAGUUUAAUUAAGUUGUGUCCCAAGAAAUAAAUUUUAAAAUAAAUAAAUAAAUAAAUUCAAUUUUAUAUGAAUUAGAAAUUUAUUCAUUUUUAAAAUAUGAAUAGAUUAAAUUACCUUUCAUAAAUAUGUAAAAAUAAUAAUAAUAAUUUGAAUACCUAAAAUUUUAGAAUUGUCAAACCUAUAAUUUUAGAUAAAUAGUAAUAAUUGUUCCUCUUAUGUUUUGUUAGGUGAAGAGUAGAUUUUCAGGAUUAUUUUUCUCCAAAGUUUUUGAGGACUUCUUUUGAGGUAAGGGAAAUUAAUGCAUUUGUUAAAUUCUUUUUUUGAAACAAUUUUAUAUAUAUAUAUAUAUAUAUACAUUAUUUGAAAACGUUUGAGGUUAUAUUCCGUUUUAUGCAUGGAUCAAACCUGUUUUGCAUGAAAAGUAUGUUAGAAUUUUAUAUUAUAUUUUUGACAAAUAAAUGUGGAGAUAUUAUAUGUUGUAAAUUUGAAUAAAUGAAAUAAAUAUUUGACUCUGGUUUGUUUGGCCCUUGUCAACGGGAUAUAAUAGUUGACUUUUGGCCCUUGUUAGUGGGAUAUAAUAGUUGACCUUUACAUUUCUUGGUGGGGAAUGUAAUUGAUUUGAACCCCAGCCUUUAGGGGUUUCGGUUAGAGGUUACUAGUACUAGUAGUGUUUGGUUCCGUCCACCUUAAAGGAACAAUUUGAGGCUAGCCACCCAUUUGAAAAGUCCCACCUAAUUGGGCACCCUUUGAUGUUUGAUGACCAGAGUAAAUAACUUAUUGGAAUGUUUUGAUUAAAUUUGAUUUGAAAUUGUUUGAAUCAGAAAUAAAUGCAUACAGUUAGAAAUUUUGAAUGUAUUGGCAAAAAAAAAAAAAAAAAAUCUACUCACAACUUUAUGAAAAUGAUUGAUUACAAUAUCUCCUAUUUUGCAAGUAAGUUUGAAAUGUUUGAUCCAUGGACUGCAUUAAUGUUCCUUAUUUGGCUGUGAGCUCAUUCCUAUUUGUUGACUACUUUUCAGGUACCCUUAGUUCGGGUGAGGAGUGAUGGCUAGGCUGAGGAAUGGUCAUCAUUAGAAUUUGACUUAGGAUUUUAUAUUGGAUUUUGUUUAACUGUUAGUUGUGUUCAUUUGGAUCUUUUGAUAUUUGGAAGUUAUUUGGAUAUUGAUCCUUCAAAUUUUAUGUUAGAUCAAAGUUGAGUUUUGGAGAUUUUGAAAUUUGUUCUAGUACUUGAAUUAUUUAAGUUUGCAAAUAUUUGGACCAUGGAUUUUGGAUAGUGGAUGUUUUAGUUUUGAAAUUGAAUUUUGAGGAUUUUAGAUUUGUUCUGCUACUCUGAACAGGUACUUGGUAAUUGGUAACUUCCGAUUACAAGAUAAGUGUUUGGGUCAGGUUACACUGUAAGCCUUCGGGUUUGAAGUGUGAAAUGACCAUCACGCCCUUAGAGUGGGUCUUGGGGCGUGACACUCCAGUUGUGUUAGGUUCCCAGGGAGGAUGGGAUAUGACCAGUAAGAUUGUUGCCGCCAAUGUUGAACAAAUGAAGCCCCUUGAGGCUCCCAAUGGAGGUUGGAAUGUGUCCUUUGAAAUUGUUGUCUGAGAAAUCAAUUGGUAUGAAAAUAUCAGGGAUCUCCUCAUACAACCUCUGCAUGCCUUUGUUUGUGAUUGUCAGUGAGUACAUGUAACCGAAACUCCAACUAAACCCUGGAAUUUGAAUCUUUGGUUGUACCUCUAUGUACCUAAGGUCCUUUGCAAUAUCUGUAAGUUUCAUGGCAUCCCAAUUUUGGAAAUACUUUGAUGGCUAAUCACCUAUAAACUUAUUGUCAGAGAUGUCAAUGAUGCGCAACUUGGGAAACUUGAAAUUGGAGUGCCAACUCCCUAUUGCACCAUGGAAUCUAUUGGAUUCAAAAUAAGAACCUGUAACUGUGGGAGAGCUCCUAACCAAAAAUGGAAAAUAUCAUCAAUUUGAUUGUUUCCAAGAGCAAGGUACUCGAGCAUUUAGCAAUUGACCAAUGAUCUUGGUAUUUGGCCUUGGAAUUGAUUCUCACUUAAGUCAAUUGUCCUCAAAUUAUUUGGCACUAUGCAUGUUUGAGGGAUGGGGUCAUCAAGGCCAUUAAGGCCUUGGAAUUGAUUGAUUCUCACUUAAGUCACAUUACUUCUAGUAUAUAAUUUUUCUAGACUUCUAGUUGUUGUACCCCAUUGGACUAGAGUUGCAGUUCAUUAUUGAACGAAGUUUCUAAAAAAAACAGAGAGAAAAAUCAAACAGCGGUAGAAUAAAAAGAAAAAAGAAUGGGAACAAAAUAGAGCAGUACAAGAGACAUAGAUUUAAAUCUCUCAAGGGAAAGACAAAAAAGAAAAAGAAAAAGGAAAACACUUUUCAUAAGAAAAAAAAAGUUUUUUAAUAUUAAAAAUAAAAAAGGGUAAUUGUAGACAAUAUCUUUUAGUUAUUUUCACUUUUUUCUUAAAGAUUGUUUUAAAAAAUAAUUAUAUAAAUAUUAAAAAUAAUGCACUAGAAAUAAAUGAUUUUUAAAAUAUAUUUAAAAACAUAGAAAAUAGGUUAAAAAAAUUUCAUGUUUCUAAACCAAUUUUUGUUAUAGGAAACAUCAAAUAACAGUUUUAAAAUUUUUUUCUCGAUAAUAAUGUUUCAGAAAUGUUUUCGACAAUAGCUCUCGAACAUAGUCUUAGCCUUUGUGUCUCUGUUUUUCCCUCAUUCUCCAUUUUGGUUACUGCGGUCCAAAAGUUUUCAUAAUCCAUCAAUAUGAUUUUCCAACCAAAUACACUACGAUCAGAGGUUGAAAAUGGUGGUGGUAAGUUGGUAACACAUCAAGAUUAGCUAGCCUUGAAAGUUGGAAAAACAAAAAAACUUUUCCUAUGGAAUUUCAUGGAUAAAUAGAAGGCUUCUCAUUUGAUUAACUUAAAAAUAUUCCAUAUCUCUCUUGAAUUUUCUGUUUUGUGGUUAGGUGCUCACAUAUUGAAGUUUUUGCCUUUAUUUCAAAUGAAAGACUUGCAAUACCAUAGUAGACCCAAACAUACAAGUUAUAAGAUUGAUGUAGAUGAGCCAAAAACAUGGUUUCACUAGGCCAACUGCAAGAAGCUUUGCAAGUAAAACAAACUCAAGGGACCAGUACUGAUGCUUAACUUCCCAUAAAAUAGAUCAACUCUAAUGCAAGGCAACUUUCAUUUUGCCUUUUCCUUUUUGGAUACAAAAUAUGUAAAAGAAUCUAAUACAUGCAAGCUAGUGAUAGUACUUCUAAUAUGUAAGCGCCCAACUCAAUAAAAGGAAGAAAGAAUGAUAAAAGAAGUGAUGAGACUAACACAUUUAGUUUGCAGUUCAGUACAAGCCAUAAUCAAGUUGCAUUGCUACAUUACAUGUAAUAAAAAAAAACCUAAGCAGUUUUUACAUUCAUUGGCCAACACAAACACAAGUUGAAGUAACAACAUGACUAAAAUGGAAAAAGAGAUGAGGAAAGAAGUCUAACAAUGCAAGCAGUAUACAUAGAUUAAGAAAUCUUUCAAGGAAAUUUUGGUUGGACAAAUUCAACCUCUCUGCUCCUUUCUUUCUUUCCUUGUCCAUUUUCUUUGCUGCUUACCAAAGGUUUUCACGAACCACUCAUGUUUCCAUGAGGUCAAGCAAUACGCAAUUAAAACUCCAAUUACUAGCCCACUUCCAUAUCCCAUUAAUACAAAUUUCCAAUCAAAUUCUCUAGUUGAACCUUGUUUAGAGGAUGAAAGUGUUGGUGGUGAUGCUUGAGAACUUUCACAUGCCCUUGACAAAGGACUUCCACACAAUCCCGGGUUCCCAUCAAAGGAAGCAUUUGGAAAUGUUGUAAAUUGAUUUCCUUGUGGUAUAUGUCCUAUGAGAUGAUUGUGGGAAACAUUGAAGAACUCAAGUAAUGUCAUCUUUGUUAGUUGCAAAGGGAUCUCACCUGAGACCUUGUUCUAGGAAAAAUCCAAUGACUCCUGCUAUGUUAGGUUCCCUAGGGAGGAUGGGAUAUGGCCAAUAAGAUUGUUGCCGCCAAGUUUGAGCAAAUGAAACCCCUUAAGGUUCCCAAUGGAGGUUGGAAUUUGUCCUUUGAAAUUGUUACCUGAGAAAUCAAUUGCUAUGAAAAUAUUAGGGAUCUCCUCAUAAUACCUCUGCAUGCCUUUGUUUGUCAUUGUCAUCAAGUACAUGUAACCAAAAGUGUACGUAUACCCUGGGCUUUAAAAAUCUUGAUUGGCCUACAUGUACUUGAGGUGGUUUGCAUUUGAAAGUUUCAUGGCAUCCCAAUUUUGGAAAUACACUGAUGGCAAAUCACCUAUGAACUCAUUGUCAGAGAGGUCGAUGAUGCACAACUUGGGAAACCUUAAAUUGGCGUGCCAAUUCCCUAUUGCACCAUGGAAUCUAUUGGAUCUCAAAAUAAGAACUUGCAGUUGUGGGAGAGCUCCAAGCCAAAAAGGGAAAAUAUCAUCGAUUUGAUUGUUUCCGAGAACAAGGUACUCUAACAUCAUGCAAUUGGCAAAUAAUCUAGGUAUUUGGCUUUGGAAUUGAUUUUCACCUAAAGCAAUCACCCUCAAAUUAUUUGGCACUGUGCAUGUUUGAGGAAUGGGGCCAUCAAGGUUGUUGUUUCUCAGAUCUAGUACAGAGAUUAGCUCUAGUUGGCCAAACAUUGAGGAAUCCUUGAUUGAAGCCAAAAUAUGUGCUUUAAUGGCACAUAUUCUAUAUAAUUUGUGCACCAAAAGACAUUCAAAUCACCCAACUUGACCUAAAUCAAUGCUAAGGCCUUAGCCAUGAGUUUAAUUUUUUACUUUGGAGACUUAUCUCAUGUUCAAGGGAAGAAAAUGGUGCAAGUUGAAUCACUUUAGAGUUUGAAAGAUCAAGAAAGGGCUAAAUGAGUGAAGACUCAUGAACCAUAAGGAAAGGCAAGAUGAGGAUAUCAUGAGUUUUUAAGAUGAGAAAUAACCAUUAUGGAGUAAGAAAGAAGGCAAGAAAACAUGGGCAAUGAGGCAUAAAGCAAGAUUCAGCUGCAUGAAAAUUUAGAACUCAAAAAUCUAAUGGUAUUAUAUACUCUGACUUUGAGGACAAAUUUAGAGCACUUCCUAGAGUCCAUUUUAUACAUACUAUAUAUUGUUUCGAAGAUCAAGAAGUCAGGAGUCCAACGCUUCAAACGGUGUGUAAAUCAAAGCUAAAAUGAAGAAGUUAUGACCAUUUGAAAACAACUGCACUAAGCUGGAGGGUCAUUUCAAAAUGAUUUCGAAAUUCAACUUAGGAAUUCGAAAUCCACUUUGAAAUGACACCAAUUUCGAAUUCACCCACUGCCACUUUGAUGUUCCGCCUCCUCUACCUCGGGAAUUGCAUCUAUUCAACUUAUGAAUUCGAAAUCCACUUCAAAAUGACACCAAUUUUGAAUUCACCCAUUGCUACUUUGAUGUUUCACCUCCUCUACCUCGGGAAUUUCAUCUAGGGCACUCCAUCCACCCUAAGUGAACCCCACACAACUAGAAAUCACCAUUUUAUUAUUUUUUAAUCAUUUUUAGGAAAUUAUUUUGUAAUAAGUGGCCAAUGAGAGUAUGCCACAUGUUAGGUAAUUGAUGAUAUUAUAUAAACUCUCUCAAUUCUAGGUUUUAGGGAUCUUAGAUCUUUUUCCUGAGAGUUUGACAUUAAAGGUGGAAGAAGAUGAGAACUUUGGUUUUUUUUCUUUUUCUUCUUUAUUAAAUAUAUUGUUUUUAGUUUCUUUUGAUUCAAAUUAUGGAUUUUUACCCUAUUAUGAAUUGUGAAUGUGACAUCACCCCCAUGAGAGGCUAAAGGCCAACUUGGGGCUUGAAGCAUGAAAACCUAAGGGCUAGGAAACCUAUAGGGACAAUGGGUAAAUUAUUAUAACAAUGAGAUUAAUUAUUGAUUGGGUGACAAUUUAUCAUUUUUUAUCCUAUCCUUGUGAGUUCGUUUAGGGAAUGAUAUGACAGGUUAUUACUUGAUACUAGUGAUUCUUGGUAAUUCUUGAUCAUUAGUUAUCCUCAUCUACACUACUGUUAUUUGCCCUUAAACAAAGCUAUAAAGGGUAGGAAGGGUUAAAAAGCCAAAUCUUAAAUUGGUAAUCAAUCUCAUUCAUUUGAUGGUUUUAGGAAUCUGUUUUAAAAAGGAAAAAUUAGGUUUCAGAUGCAAUUUUGAGUUAUAGAACUUAACUUGAUCGCGAGCGGCCAAGGAUCCCAAAACCCUAAGAUCAUAUUACUUAAAAGACCCUUGUUUUCUUUAAUUUCUAUACCCUAGGUUGGAUUGUGGAAAACCCCAAACUUGAAUCAAUUGAAUUUAAAAUCAAUAUUCAUUUUUUUUAUUAAUUUAAUUUCUUUUACUUAGUUUCACAUUAUUCACAUAUUGAUUUUCACUUUCGGAUUUAAACAAAAGCAAUUCAUUUAUUCUAGUAUUGACAAUUUCCAUAAGUCAGUCUUGAGGACGAUACCCGGAAUAUUACAAAAGCCGUAGUGACUCUUUCUCUAGUUUUUCUUGACUAGAGUUGCUACGUAAAAAGGCUAAGUAUUUUGGUAAAACAAAGAAGUUCGGUCAAUCCUGCCACUCAAAUUGUUACUAGACAAAUCAAGUAACAUAAGAGAACUCAUGUUGCAAAUAAGUGGCAAAAUUUCUCCGGUCAGUUUAUUUCAAGAGACUGAAUAUAAUAUGGUUGAUGGUGGUGGAAUUGGAAGUGGUCCUUGCAGCAUGUUAAAAUCAAGUUGUAAACUGUAUAACCUGGGCCAUGGAAGCACAAUUGGACGUUGGUCAAAGCCUGUUAAAAAGUUUCCAAAAAGGUCCAGAGUCUCUAGCGUUUCUUUGCUUAUGUUCCACACCCACUUUGGAAUUGGUCCAUGAAUUUUAUUAUCAGAAAGGGAAAGCACCUCCAAUUCAUCUUGGUUCUGCAGGAAAUCAGGAAACUCAGUUAAGUUGCAUGACCCCAAUCCUAAAAGCUUGAAUGUAGGGGGAGUGGCAUUGGUUCUGGUGUAACUGAGCAAUGAUAACCUGUUGCCUGAUAAUAGGAGUCCAGUGGGAUUUUUGAGCUUAGAUAACAUGUGGAGUUCCACUGUUCCAGUCAAGUUAUUUCCUUAUACAGAAAGAGCUUGAAGAUUUACAAGUUCAAAUAAUGAACUUGGGAUCCCACCCUCUAAAUUGUUUCCCCCAAGAUCUAAUGCAGUUAAUUGGGUGAGGUUCAUGAGCCAAGAUGGGAUCUGACCACUCAAUUGAUUAUUUGCAAGAGCCAAAAGAGUUAGUUGACUCAUAUUUACAAGAGAGAAUGAGAUUUCUCCAAUUAAAUUUAUUUGCUCGAGAUAUAAAUAAGUGAGUUUUGUUUGCUCACCAAGCCAAGCAAGGGUUCUGACACUGAAAUCAUUCGAAGAAAGGUCUAAAUAAGUGAGUUGGGUAAGAUUUGCCAAGAAAGAAGGAAUGUGGCCACUAAAAUGGUUAUUUGAAAUGCCCAAAUAGGAUAGCUGGGUAAGGUUGCCCAAGAAAGAAGAAAUUUGGCCACUAAAAGAGUUCCUUGAAAGGUCCAAAUAGGAUAGCUGGGGAAGGUGACCAAGUGAAGAUGGGACCAACCCUGUGAAAUUGCACGAGCUGAUAUCCAAUUCAAUCAAAGAAGCAAACCUCCCAAUUGAAGUUGGUAACUCACCAGAAAAAACUUGUACCAGAAAGAUACAACAUUUUGAAGGGGACUGGUUUCCUGAAAUUCAGGCAAAUAACCAAUCAGAUCCGUAUUGUACCUCACACUAAGAUACUAUAUGCAUGGUAACUGAAAAUUUUCCAUUGGGAAUUCACCGUGCAAUCCACAUUCUCUGAGAAAGAGAGAUGUCAGUGAAGAUAAACUUGCCAACUCAUGAGGUAUCGUUGAACAAAUGUUCACCUGAGAUAGACGAAGUUCCUUUAAGUGGGUUAAGUUCUGAACCAGAUUUCCCAAGCCAGGCUUUUCAAGCUGCAACAUUGGGUUUCCGAGAGAUCAAGGAAAACCAAUUUGGACAGUGCUAAGAGUUCUGAUGGGAUUUGGCCAGAGAAUUGAUUACUACCAAAAAGUGCUAUUUUGUAGACCUAAUUAUAAUGGUUUUAAGAACCUUUGAGUAGUAAUCAUAUUCAUUUAACCCAAUUAAUUCAUUAAGGUCCUUAGUAAUUGGUUUUAACCAUUUUGUGGCAAGUUUACAUGUUUUUAUCAACUUAUGAAUCAAUUCAAGCAUGCCAAAUGAUGGAGGAGCUACUUGGACAAGUUAUGGCAAAGCUUUUGGAAGCUCAAAUUCAUGAAGAACCAAGCUUUGGAGCUCCAUAGCCCUUUGCCAAAGUCGUUCAAAUUAUGCAAGAAAAGAACAAUGGAGAAGAGGAAAAAUAGAGUGAAGAAAACAGAGGACAUCAGAUGCAGUCUUCUUGCGCACUUUUGGAGUACUUCCCGAAGUCCAUUUUCUACAUGCUAUAUACCAUUUCAAAGCCCAGGAAGUCAAGAAUCCAAUGCUUCAAACGGUGCGCAAUUCGGAGUUGAAAUGAAGGAGUUACAGCCAUUUCAAGCCGAUCACUCCAAGCUGAAGGAAGCAUUUUGCAAAGUGUUGCGGAAUCAGCCUUUUGUUGCGAGAAUUUCGCAGCCUUUUUGUACAGUGUUUUGAAAUUCCUCCUGAAGUUACCCGAUAUAUGCCGCAAGCUGGAAGCUGAGAACACCAAGGUGGAAGCCAACUUCGCAGCCCUGGGAGGAUAGCAUGUUGUUGCGAAAAUAUUUCGCAGCCCUCUUGAGUGUCUGCGAAAUCUCGCAGACACCAUUUUUCACCUGCGAAAUGUUCCUGGAGCUUCCCGAUAUUUGUGACCGACACAUUGAGAUAUUUUUCUUCAGAUUUUUGUGUCUAAAUUUCCAUUUUCUCCUUGUAUUCAACCACUCAUGUAAUUCCUUAGCUAGGAAGUAUCUAAGGAAGGGUAAAUUACCUUCCUAUAUAAACUCCCUUGCAUCCACUGUAAGAAAAUCAUGUAAUCAUAUAUGUAAUAUCGAUCAAUAUAUAGAAUAUACAGAGCCUUGCUCUGUUUUUCCUUCUCUUUCAUUUUUCAUUUCUUUUUAUUUCUAGCCAACCAAACUUUGAGGAUUUUUCCUUAGAGGAUGAGAGGCUAAGUUUUUUGUCUCUUGGAGUGAGGAAAGCCGGGUAAGUUUCCACAUGCAUAAAUUGGAAGUUUUGUUGUUUUAGUUUUUAAUGAAGAGAAAGUGUAACCCGUUAGUGAUUUCUAUGUUUUUAGUUAACUUAAAACACCUUAGAGUCACCUGGGCCAACACUUGGUAAGGCAAGUGAUCUCCGUCCAUGGAGAUUCACUAGUUUAUCUCUUGCGAGCCUUUGGGAGGUGACUUGAAGGUAGGAUUUUCUAGAAUAGCCAACACUUGGUAAGCUUUUCGACUCCAAGGAGACAUCCAUUAGUUAUCUCUUGCGAGCUUUUGAAGGGAAGUCCAAGGUUAAAGAUCAUCUUGAAUGGCAAGUGCUAGGUGAGAGGUAUGAGCCAUUGCAAGGUGCAUCAGUGAGAGGGAUUUAGUGUUUGAACCCAUUAAUGGGAAGCAUCUGUACAACACCGGUUAGAGAAUUAACUAUAUGUUAAUUCUCUAAUGCGAGGAAAAGAAACAAGUGACCGGAACUCCCUUUUUGUAUGAGGAAUCUGAGCCUAGUGAUCUGAACUCCAAGAAACAUCUUUCUUUGUAAGUAAAAUCAGUUACUAUUUUUGGUUAGCUUAAAACCAAUCCUUUUUCAUUCAAACAUCUUUAUGUUUUCUUUUAAAGCUAACCUUGAAAUGAAAAGGCACCAAUUCAACUUUGAAUUAACAUCAUUUGUGAAGUGAAAACCCAUCCCAGUGAACGAUCCUAGAGCCACUAUGCUAUUGUAGCUUUGUCUUUGCUACCCUAGUAUAUGGUGUAAUAGGUUAUAAAUUUUGUUGAUUACUCCCUCAAUCAAGGAGCACCAGCUGGACACGAAUCAGCUGAGACACCAAUUGGGCACGAAUCAAAUGGCGCUGUUGUCGGGGACCGAACCCCGAAUCAGAUGGUGCCAUUGCCACUGCCACUGCUAGGGACGAAUCAAGAAUCCAGAAAAAGAGAGGUUGAGACUUCUCAGCCUCGAAAGCUGUUCAAUUCCAAAUGGGAUCUCAGAAUGAUGAAAAUAAUUGUCAGAGAGGUCAAGACUUUGAAGAUGAACAAGACGGAAGAGGUUGCUACUGGAGUUGAUAGAAUCAGAUAGGCAACUGCUGGCAAGGUGAAGGCCGAUCACAUGACCAGUCUCCCUGUCACACUCAACACCAUCCCAUGAGCAACAGUCACUUCCUUCUCCUUCUUUAUGGGAUUUCCACAAUGCCACUUUUGGAUAAGCAGAAGGAUCAUAAGAAACAUGCUCAUCAAUCGAAAAGCUUUGCGUGAACUAAAGCAAGGCGGAGCUCUUACUAUCAUGUGGCUGCUGCAUGGAAGAGGAAGAGUUAGCCACCAUUAGAUAAAAAGAUGAGAGUAAAAGGAGACAGGGCAUGAACAUGAAGAGACACAAAGUUGAGCCCAUAUUUUCUAUGGAUAAUAAGAAAGCAAAUGGGAAUGAUGAGGGUUCACAGCCAGGAUCCAUAGUCUUAUAUAGUAAUGAGUACUGUGCAUUGACUGCAACCCAGCAGACUAGUCUGCCCAUAAAUUUUAAACAGUUUCAGAAUUUGCCCCUCAAUGAAUCCCUAUUACUAAUAUUAAAAAUCACACUCACAAGUCAAGUUGUCUCCGUAGGCUUAGGGGUGGCAUUAUGCAAAAUCUCUAUUUAUUAAAUGACUUGCAUUGACUUAAGCUGAUGAAUAGCCUCUCUCUUCAAUUGGUGACUUGAUAGAAGCUUUGGUGGAGCCCAAAUUUCCAUUAGUGAUGAGACCGGGUAAAGUUUAUUGGGAGAAUUGUGUUUUGGGCCCUGGGCCCAAAAAUUAACAUUUGGUCCUCCAACCACCCAUAUUUAAGUCCAAUGAUAUGAGAUAGUAAUUGACAAAAAUAUCCACUUGACUCAUUUUUGUCUUUAUUCUACUACUUGCCACUCUUCUUUCUUAUUUAACCAUUUUUAGAUUUUUCAUUUUUUUAAAACUCUUUUAUAAAUAAUUGAAAAAUUGCAUUAUUUUUUAUUUUUAAAUAUAAAUAAAAAAAUUAUAUUAAUGAUUCAAAGACUAUUUUAGAAAAUACUUUAAAAAAAAUAUUAAUUUAAAUAAAUGAAAAUUAUCUUUUAUAUUUAUUUUUAUCGUUUACAUUUUAGAAGUAAAUAAUUUAAUGAUUAAAAUACCAUUUAAAAUAAAUAUAUUCACUAUUUUAUUUUUUUUAUACUAAAAAGUAUUUUAAAGUUUUUUUUUACUAUUAUAAAAUAAAAAGUUCAAUUUUUUUUUUUAAUCUUCUUCCUUCCUUAUUUUAACAACUUUUUGAACAUGACUUUUAGUAAUAAGUUAUAUGAAAUGCUACAAAUUUGUUUAUUAAGGAUUUUUUUUAAUGAUUUGAAUUAAUUAAAAAUUUAUUAAAAUAAGAAAAAGAAAAAUAAAGAAAGGGGAUGGAUUGAGAGUUUUUAUUUUAAGUACUCGAUUAAAAUGAGGAUGGAUGGAGAGUUUUUAUUUUAAGUACUCAAUUAAAAUGUUUUUAUAUGACCUAAUUUUAGAAGUGAAUUAUAUCAAUACAUAGUAGAGAUUGAUUUUUUUAUAUAUAUAAAAGGGUUGAAAGGUAUAUUUACUUGUUUUAGAUGAAAACAAGUAACUAAAAAUUAUAUAGAUUAUAUUUGAGUUUGGUUUUAAAAUAUUUUUCUAGUUUUUAUUUUUAUUUUCUAUAUUGCCUCUUUUUGAAAAUACGUUUAAGUUAUGACAAAUAUGAAAUUUAUGUCAUUGUACAAGGGUAUUAUACUAAUUGUACAAGGGAAAUGUGCUAAGUGUACAAGGGUGUACAAGGCUCCUAAUAGCAACUUGAAUUUGAUAUUAAGACGAUUAGUGAUAAUUUUUUUUUCUUUUUUUUAUCAAACUAUUUCAUUAAGACUUUCCCUACAAAAAUUAACACAUAAGAAAUAAAAUUUUGAGUUAUUUGAGUUAUUGUACAAGGUAUUACACUAACUGUACAAAACAAAUUUACUAAUUGUACAAGGGUGUACAAGACUACUUUUUUUUUUUAAGGAUUUCAAGUGAUUUUGAAAAAUUUUCCUAUUUUUUUUCACUCAAAGAUUUUCCCCCCACCCAAAUUCUCUCACUCAAGAAUUGUUUCGAAUUUUAUUUUUAAAUUUCAUCAUAAAAAAUUUGUAAUUGCAUAUUUUGUUUUUGUAGUUUUAGCAAUGUUAUUUCUUUUCACUAUAUAUAUAUUUUUUUGUGAAAUUUUAUCCAAAUGAAUCUAUAUUUAAAAUUAUAAUCAUAUUUAUCAAAAUUUUUACUAAGAUUAUCUUUAAUUCUUUUAAUAUAUUUAUACUCAUUUAUUUAAAAAAUGAAAAACUAAUUUUUUUUUUUGUAAACAUGUUCUAUUACCUUUCAAGUAAAAAAUUAGAUAAGUUUCAAAGUCAAUAAAUAAAAAAAUUAAAUACCACUUUCAAUAAUUUUUAGAUAAAAUUUUAUAUAAUAUAUUUUAUUUGAAACUUAAUUUUUAAAGUUUAACUAAAAAAUUGUAUUGACAAUUUUCUUAUUGUGGGUCAAAAUACUUUGCAUUAGUCUAUCUAGAUAAGAAAAAUUAUUAAUAUAAUAUUAGAACUUCAUAUCUUAAUUAUUUUUUUUCAACAAAUUUAUCUUUUUAAAAAUUUUAAAAUAAAAACAUUAAAAAUUAAAAAGCUAAAAAGAUAUAUAUAUAUAUAUAUAUAUAUAUAUAUAUAUAUAUAUAUAUAUAUAUAUAUAUAUAUAUAAAAGAUAAAGUGAAGUGAUAGUUAAUUUUAAAAUUUUUUAAAAUAUGGUUAAUGUAGAAAAUAUAAAAAAUAAUUAAAAAUAAGAGAAAAAUGUAGAUGAAAGGGUAAUAUAAAUUUAAAAUAAAAAAUGAAAAUUAAACUAAAAGAUAAAUACAAAAAGAUAAAAAAUAUUUGGAUGAAAAAUCCCAAAAUUUUUAUCAUUGCUUUUAAUAAGAGCAAAAAGAUUUAAUAUCUUUAAAAAUGAAAAAUAAAAAAAUAUUAUUGUUUUUUAUUUGACAUAAAAUAGAAAUAUAUAUUGGAAUAAAAAGGAAAAAAAAAGUUAGAAUUGAGUAAUAUUUAAUAGGGAAUAGAAAAAGAAAAAAAACACAAAAAAAAUUACAAUUCAUACUCGCUUGUAGGCAUAUAAGGGAUAAGGGUAUUUUAGGAAUUAAUGAAAGACAAUAUCCUUCAUCUUAAUUUUCAUACUUUGUUUGGAUCUUGAGGUUAAAUAUGGGUGGUUGGAGGACCAAAUGUUAAUUUUUGGGCCCAGCUGGGCCCAAAACACAAUUUUUCCAAGUUUAUUUGGAAGAGUGAAAAGGCACCUACAAGCUGCAGUGAUACUGACAGCUACCCAAUAUGGGCAUAAUUCUACAUGGAUAUAUGGUUCCACAAAGAGCCCCUUGCCAUGUCUUGGUCACCACCAAAAAACUCCCACUAACAUGUCCAAGUAGUCUCCGUAAGCUGGGAUCUUCAAGCAACACUUCACACCACAUUGUUCUAUAAUUCAAGUUAGGUUCCAUGUGAAAAGUGUUUCUGAAAACAAUUUUAAAAAACGAUUUGUGAAAAUUGUUGUUCUCUAGAACAAAAGUAUGUCUAGGACUUGAAAAAAUGUUUUUAAUAUAUUUUUUAUAUUUUUAAAUAUAUUGUAAAAAUAACUUUAUUUGUAAUUUUUUAUUUCCAUUAUUCUCUAUAUUAGUAUAAUUAUUUUUAAAACAAUCAUAAAAAAAGUACAACGGAAAGUAAGUAAAAGAUGUUUUCUAAAAAUACUCUAUUUCUAUUUUUAAGAAUAGAAAACCAUUUACCAUUUUUUUGUGGUCAAAUAAUUUUUUUUUCCUCAACGUUAAACUGUUUUAAAAAAAUACUUAGUAAACAAGUCUAAGACAUAUCUCUAGCACAUGACCCAAUCCUUGUUUUUAAGCACUUGAUUUCAAAAUUUUGUGAUUGUGAAAUAAAUUUAAUCAUGUUGGGUGACUUAAGUGGGCUAUUAAUUAUAGAAAUAACUCUCAUUGUCAUUUUGAUCUCUCUCCUAGUGAUAGAAAGAUAGAAUUGUCCAUCAACCAACUCCCUUAUAGGAGUAUACAUUUUUAUUCAUGAGAAAGAUAUAAUGUAAAAAAAUAAAAAUAAAAAUUGUCUUUAGUCUAAUUAUAUAAAUUUGUGUGCUUCAUCACUUUAUGGGUUAAGGUUAUUAUGUAGAUUCACAAAGAAUUGUGAUAUUGGGAUAAGAGGUAAAUUUUCUAGGCUUCCACAUUUUUAGAAAAAUUUAGGUUAUGUUUGGUUUUCCAAAAAAAUUGAGGGAAAAUAGGAAGAAAAGAAAAUAACAAAAAAAAAAAAAGUGAAAGAAAAAAAAAUAUAGAUUUAAAAUCAAUAAAUUAUUUUUAUAUAUCAUUUUAUUUAUUUAUUUUAUAUAAAGAUUAAAAAAAUUUUUAAAUGUAUAAAUUUUUAACUAAUUUUAAUUAUAUUUUAUUUUCUUUUAUAUUUUCAAUUAAAAAAAUCAAACAUAAAAAAAAAAAAUUUCAUUAAUAUUUUUUUUUUCAUUUUUUAGUACUUUUCGAGAAUCAAAUAUGGUUUUAAUAAAGAAAAAAAUCAGCACUUUGAAAUAUCUAUUUAAUUAAUACCCACAUGUAUAACAUAAACUUCAUUGAAGUGUAAAACUCGUGGUUUUAAAAACCGGAUCGGACCGGUCGGUUCGACCGGUUGGACAGCCGGUCGGUCAUGGUUCCGGUUCGGUCUAGUCACUAGACCGGAUGGAGACCAAACCGGGAUUAGAUCGCUUGAACCGGCGGUCCAACCAGUGAACCGGACGAAUCGCCCGGUUAUGAGGGAACCAGUCGGUUAAAUGAAUUUAAUUUUUUUUUUUUAAAGCAUCAAACGACGUCAUUUUUUGUUGCUUAUAUAAGCAAAAUUAAACCCAGCAGCCUCCAACCCUUCCUCCUCGGGCCGCUGUCAGCUGCGACCCCCACAAGACAAUAGGUUCCCCGGUAGCCGCAACACCCACGGCAACCACGACGGCAGCCGCGACCCCCAUAGCAGCCCCGCUGCAGCUCACGACGCCCACAGGGCCACAGCAACACCGCCGGAGCCUCGCGAUACCCACAGCAGCACCGCCGGCAGCUCGCGACGCCCACAGCAGCCCGCCGGCAGCCCGCCUGCUCCUCGUCAUUCUCGGUUUGUUUCCAAGUUCCAACAGUCCACUUUCCAUUAUACAACUUUAAGGGAUUUUAAAUUUUUAAUAUUUUAUAAUGGUUUGGAAUCUUUGGAUUGAUUUCUAUUUUCUGAUAAUCAGAGGACUUUGAGGAAUUUUUUAUUAUUUAGUUAGAGAACUUUGAGAAAUUCAAAUUAUUAAUUAUAUUGAUGGAAUGAUGGAUAUUAAAAUUAAACAAUUUCUAGACCACCUUAUGAAUUUUGACAUGCUGUUAAUGAAUUUUGACAAUUUCUUCUAAAAGAAUUUUUUAUUAUUUAGUAUUAUCAAAAAUAUUUUUCUAAUUUAUAUCUAAAUAUUCAUUUUUUAUUUAUCAAAAUUUUAUUUUUAUUUUACAAAAAAUGAUACUAAUAAAAACACACAAGUUAAAAAAAUGCAUCUAUCAAGAUUCAAAAUCACCACAAGCCCACCAGCUUUGAAUUCUUUCCCCAAUUAAUAAAAAAAUAAAAAAUACACACAUGCACAUGUAGUUCAAGAAUUCUCGGUUUGUUUCCAUUAUACAACAAUUUGUGCAUUAUGAUAUUAGAUUGCAACUCAACCAUAGAUUCAUGUGCCUAAAAUAUGAUAAUGAUUUGAUGUUUGAUUAUCUAAGGAAUCAUAGGUGAAAAAGUGUAUUUUUUACUAUGAUUAAUAUGUGAUAUGUGAUUGUAAAUUGUUGAUGACUUGAUUAUAAAUCAUUAAAUUGUUGAUGACCUUCAUUCUCUAGAUUGAUAUGGGAUUUUUGUUUUUAAUUUGAUAGGGAAAUAAAAAAUGGCAUCAAACUUGACUCCAUCCUCUGGUCAAGAUUCAACUACCCAUUCUCAAUCAAGUAGAAGUAAGACCGAUCCUGCACGGGAGCAUGUUUCUGAAGAAAGAUAUGGAAAUGGAAGGAGAGCUCUUAUUUGUUUGUAUUGUAAAAAGAUUACAAAAGGUGGAGGUAUUCAUAGAAUGAAACUACAUCUUGCUGGAGUGAAAGGAGAUAUUGGUCCAUGUAAAUCGGUUCCACCUAAUGUCAGAUUUCGCAUGGAAAAUUCUUUGCAAGAGUUUGUGAAUGCUAAGAAAGCAACCAAAGAAGCAGAUGAAUAUAGAAAUCCUUAUGGUCCUAAUGUGUCACAAUUUGAAGGGGAUAUGGCAGAAGGUGAAGAAGAGGUUCAAGAAAUGCAAAGUCCUAUGGCAGCUAGUAGUGGAAAAAGGAAAAAAUCAACAGUGGAUAAGUAUUUUGCACCAAGAAAUACACAAGGAGCUCAACCUUCCAUGAGGAGUGUGCUAGCUGGGAAAGAAGCUACUUGGAGAGCGGAUAUGGCGGUUGGGAGAUUCUUUUAUGAUGCAUGCAUUCCUACUAAUGCUAUGAAUUCCUUCUACUUCAAGCCAAUGUUGAUGCUAUAUCUGCAAUUGGUCCUGGAUAUAAGGGUCCAAAUUACUAUCAGUUGCGGAUUAAUCUUUUAAAGGAUGCUAAGAAGGAAGUUCAGUUACUUGUGGACUCUUAUCGUGCAAUUUGGGCAAAAGUUGGGUGUACAAUAAUGGGUGAUGGUUGGACAUAUAACAAACAAAGAACACUCAUCAACUUCCUUGUGUAUUGUCCUGAAGGAAUAUCGUUUGUGAAAUCUGUUGAUGCUUUGGACAUUGUCUAGGAUGCAACUAAUUUGUUUCAGUUAUUUGAUGAGGUGAUUGAAUGGGUGGGUCCACUCAAUGUAGUUCAUGUAGUGACUGAUAAUACAGCAAAUUAUGUGGCCGCGGGGAGAUUGAUUUCUCAGAAGCAUAAACACAUUAAUUGGUCACCUUGUGCAGCUCAUUGUCUUAAUUUGAUCUUUAAGGAUAUUGGUAAGAUAGACCAUGUUGCUGAACUUGUAAGACGUGCAUCAAAGGUGACAAUUUUUGUGUAUAAUCAUGUUGCUUUGUUAAGUUGGUUGAGAAAAAGGGAAGGAUGGACAGAGAUUCUGCGACCUAGUGCAACUCGCUUUGCUACUACUUUCAUUGCACUCAAGAGUCUUCAUGAUCAUAAACAUGACUUGCAAGCUUUGGUGACUAGUAAGUUCUUUGUGGACUCUAGAUAUUCAAAGGAUUAUAAAAGCCAAGUUGCAGUUUCCAUCAUCUUGGAUAAUAGAUUUUGGAAUGAUUGUUUGAUUGUUGUGAAUCUUAUGUCUCCACUAAUGCGUUUAUUGCGUAUUGUUGAUUGUGAUGAGAGGCCUUCGAUGGAAUAUGUGUAUGAAGGCAUGUAUAGGGUUCGUUUGGGCAUCAAGAAAUUGUUUAACUACAACGAAAGACUAUACGAGCCUUAUACAGAGAUCAUAAAGCAACGUUGGGAUCAACAACUAAAGAAAAGCAUUCAUUCAGCAGCUUAUUGGUUGAAUCCAUGUUUCCAAUAUGAUCAGGAAAACUUUUGUAAUAAGCCAAAUGUUAUUGGAGGUGUUAUGGAUGUUAUUGAUCAAAAAGUUCUGAAAGGCAAGAUUGAAACAAUGAAUGAAAUGAGGUUAUUUCGUGAUCGAUUGGGAAGUUUUGGAAGAGACCUUGCUUAUUCUUCAUGUGAAGUACUUCAACCUGGUGAAAUAUUAUUUUCAUUUAUUAGUGUGUUUGUUCUUUUUUAUUAGUUACCUACUUACUAUUUAAUAUUUUAAACUUGCUAAUGUGUUUGAUUUUUUUCUUAUUUUUAAUGUGAAAUGGUAACUAGAUGAAUGGUGGAGGCUACAUGGAUACAGUGCACCACAUUUACAAAAAUUGGCCAUUCAAAUAUUGAGCCAAACCGCAUCGUCUUCUAGAUGUGAGAGGAAUUGGAGUGUCUUUGAACGUAUACAUACCAAAAGAAGGAAUAGAUUGGAACAUCAAAGGCUUAAUGAUCUUGUAUACGUUCAUUACAAUUUGCGGCUAAAAAAUCAGUAUAAAUGCUUUCUUAGUUGUUUUGAAUUCAAAUUCUUCUAUUCACAAUUAUGAAUAAUUAUAUGCUUUUCUUUUUUAGGUUUUAUAACAAGAAAAGAAUCUAUGAUCCCAUUGACUAUGCAUGCAUUGAUGAGACCGAUUUUUGGGUAGUUGAUGACGAUUAGCCAGCAGAGCUAGAUGUUGAAGAAUUGGAAAAUCUUCUAUAUGAAGAAGGGUCAAUUCCAAUAAAUGAAGUGGAAGGUUCAAGUUCUCACAUUGGUUAGUAAAAUAUUUAAACUUAUAAAAGUUCAAUAAUUAUAUUUUUUCUUCAAAAAUGAUUUCUUGUUGAUAUAUAUUCAAUAUUUUUGUAGAUGAUGAGGAUGGUGGUGACAUGGCUAGGGAAGGGCUUGAUGUGGAGAAUUUUGGUUUUCCAAAUGCUCAUUUUCAAUCUCCAUAUUCCAAUUUCCCAAAUGAAUGAAGACAUGAACUUUAUAUUUAUUAGUAUGCAAAAAUCUUCAUGAAUAUUCAAACAUUGACAUGUUAUGUUUUUAUUUUGAGUAAUUAUUUAAGUGUUGUGGACCUAUGGUUGACAUUUGUAUUAUUUGUUAUGGACAAUGUGUUAAGUUAACAACUCUUUGAUAAUUUGGUUAUUAUAGGAUAGUAAUGGUUUUAUUAUUUGAUGAAUAUUGAGUUUAUUGACAUUAUGAAUGUAUAACAUCUUAUAUUGUGUUAUAAAUAUCAUAUAUGAUAAUUGAUGACUUCUACAGGUAAAAAAUUUUGUGACAAAACUCAAGUUACUCAAUAAACAAAGUAGAUGCUGUCAAAAUUUACAUAGAAUUUAUUAAUUUGUUAAUUUUUUAUAUUAUAUAAAAUAAUAAAAUAUAUAUUUAUGACGUCACCGGUUCGAUAGCGGUUCAACCGACGGUCCGACCAGUGAACCGUGAAUCGGUAACUUUUCCGAUUCAAUGACCGGUCCGGUUUUUAAAACAUUGGUAAAACUUAAUUGAAAUGAACAUAGAUUCUUCAUAAAGCAAUGUUAAACAUCAAUACGAGCUUGGAAAAUGCUUAGAGUUUAUACUCUAUUUGGGUCAUGAAGAGUUCAAGGGAAAAUACAAUUAUAUUUUUGGACAAGUAAUAUGUAUUAGCAAUUAAGAGAGUACUUGUGUACAUAAAAUAAAAAAUUUAAUUUAUUUACAUUUGUUAAAAAGAGUGAAUUGUCCUUGUUUUUUUAAUUCAUUUUAAAUAAAAUAUUUUAACCAAAUUGAUUUUCAAUAAAAAUAUAAUUUAUACUUUAUUGAAAUAUUAAUAUCCAUAUUUUAUCAUUAUUCCUUAACACAAAAAACACCAUUCAUAUUUUACUAAAUAUUAUUUAUAAAAUUGUUUUCUUCAUUUUUCACAAAAUUUAAAUGGAAUUUAAUUUAAUAUUAAUAUAAAAUUGAAAUUAUAAAUCUUUUUACAAACUAAAAGAAAUUACUUUCAUAAAUGACAUACUUAUUUUACUUUUUUUGUCUUUAAAAAAUGUUUGCAAUCAAUUUUUUAUUUUUUAUUUUAAAAAUGAUACUAACUUCUAUAUAAAAUAUAACAAUUCUUUUGACGCUUAAAGAGAUAUUAAAAAGAACUUUAUUACAUCAAAUUUUAAAAAUUUACCCCUCCAUGACUCCUUGUUACUAAUAAAAAUCUCUAUUCAUUAAAUAACCUGCAUUGGCUUAAGCUGAUGAACCGCCUCUGUCUUCGAUUGGUGACUUGAUAGAAGCUCUCGCGGAGCCCAAAUUCCACGCGAUGAGACAGCAGAAAGCCAGUUAACCACAAAAAUGGUGGUCGUCCUUGAUCUCUUUGGAGUUGAUCAAUUAGUGGCCAAAAUUCAUUUAAGAAUGCUGGGCCUUAUAUGAAAAAAUCCAAAUGAAGCUGUCUCCAUUUGGAGUCAUGCUCACUCUUUUUCCAAGUUCAAGCACAAACUAAACAUGAAGAGAACGGCAAAAGACUUCAGCAAAUGGACAGAAGUAGGACUGUGUAUGAAAGUCUAUUUGGGAGAGAGAAGGAGAAAAUUCGGUUUCGAGUAAAUGAUUCUACUGUUAAUCCAUGAUAUGUCAAGGAUGUGCUCAUCUGUGUUCUAUGACAAAGGACUUCAGCAUUCUCUCAAUUUUUUUGUUUUAUUAUUAUUAUUAUUAUUAACUCAAAUAAAAAUUCCCAUUUACCCGAUAUCCAAAAGGUUUGUGUGUGUCAUAUCCUUAUUCUAAAGUUUCUGGAGAAAAGAUUUAUAAAAUGAUGAGGUAAGAGUACUUUAAUCAGUGAGGUAAUAAUGUAUCCAUUUUUCACGCCAACCCAUUAUAUAUCGGUCUAUUCUAGCGUAGAAAGCAAGGCAAUCCUGUCUCUUAAUAAUUUCAUCUUUUUUUUUUCCAUUGAUAGGACAUCGGGUGGAAUAUAUAUUAUUUGACAUGAAUUAAAAAUAGUAACGAGAUUAUUAAAGAAAUAAAAAGUUACAAUAUAAAAUUAAAGUUAUGAGACAUGGAGAUAAAGAAUGAUAAUAGUUAUUCAAUUCUUCAAGUUAAACUUUGUGUAGGAAGUAUUUUCAAAAAUAUUUUUGAAGAACAAAUUUGAAAUUGAUGUUUUGUUGAACAAAAGUAUAUUUAGAAACCUAAAAAAAUACAUGUACAAAAAUAUUUCACAUUUUUCGUACCAUUCCUCAUAUUCUUCAUAAUCUCUCUAAUUUUGAAGUUAUUACUUUAAAAAAAAUUUUAGUUCAUAAUUUCCAUAAAUUUUAAAGUAUGAAUAAACACUAUUACUUUUAUUUGAAGUGGAGAAAAGAAAUUCUUAAAACUAAAACAAAUUAGAAAUUUGGAGGUUAUGAAAAAUGUAUGAAGGAUCUGAAAAAUGUGAGGGUUUCAUCUUCAUAUUCUUCGUACCCUUCAAAUUUACAUUUAUUUUAAUUUUAAGAUUUUUUUUUUAUCCACUUGAAAUGGUUAUGAUAUUGGUUAAAAAUACUAAUUAUACUUAGAAUUGAUGAGAAUUAUAUGCAAAAAAAAUUUUAAAUCUAAAAUACUAAAAAUUUGGGAAGGGCACAAACCUCCAAAAAUUUUUACUUCUUUGAAGUUUAAGAAUUUUUUUCCACUUCAAAUAACUAAAAUAUUGUUUUAAAAAACUAAUUACUCUUAAAAUUGAUGAAAAAAAUUGAAAACUUUAAAUACUAAAAAUUGGAGAGGUUAUGAAGAAUGUGCAGAUUCCUCACAUUAUUCGUAUCUUCCGAAAUUUUCGCUUCUCUGAAUUAAAAAAAAAAAACACUUUAAAUAGCUAUGAUAUUGUUUAAAAAUAUUAAUUACACUUAGAAUUGAUGAAAAUUAUGUCCAAAAAAAAUGAAAACUUAAAAUACAAAAAAAUUGGGGAGGGUACGAAGAAUGUAAGGAUUCCUCAUAUUCUUCGUGCCCUUCAAAAAUUUCACUUAGAAUUUUAAGAAUUUUUUUUCCAUUUCAAAAGGUUAUGAUAUAGUUUAAAAAGACUAAUUACACUUAGAAUUGAUGGAAAUUAUGUCCAAAAAAUAAUUGAAAACUUAAAAGAUUAAUAAAUUGGGGAGGGUAUAAAGAAUACAAGGAUUCCUCGUAUUCUUCACACCCUCCAAAUUUUUCACUUCUUUAAACUUCAAGAAUACAAGCAUUCGCAGACCAUGUCAGCAGGGUCGAAAUUGAACCGAUGAAAAACAUAACAACACUUGUAAUGUCCUACAUCUAGGACUUUCCUUGUCUCUCAUUUGAUACCCGUUUCUUUCAUUAUUAUUCACUCCGUCAUCGAGGGGAAGCAAAGAACCCUAUAUAUUUUUCAACAAUUUGUCUCAUUUCAUUUCAAAAGCCUUUAAUCCCAAACUCCAAUCUAUAGUUUUCUAUCUUCAAUCCCUUCUCCUCUCAAAGUCCUAACCAUUUGAACUUGAUUGUCCCAAUUUCCUCACCCCUUCGGACAAAAGAAGUCAAAAUUUGCAAAAUUUCACACAUUUGAAAUUGUAAACCUUUAAUCGAAAACCUCAAUCUAAAUUUUUGUUGCUUGUGCAAAUUGUGAAGAACCAAAUGGAGCACUGCAUUGAAACAAUGUCCAGUUAAGAAGACGACUUGAGGAGGGUACGUUUUGAUUGAAAUUCUAGUUUAAGAGAGUGAACCUGAAUGGAAACGACAAUUGUGAUAUAUUGGCUUCAUGAAGAAAAAAAUCUCCUCUUCAUCUCAUUGGAUGGCAUUUUGCUCUAACCCCCACAUAAAAUUUGAAGGUAAUUGAUUUUUAUUUAGGGUCGUUCUAUUUUUUUUUUAAAUGGAUCACUAGAGCGAUUUUCUAGUGGUUGUUGUAUUCCAAAUUUUUUGUGCAUUGGUGAGGCCAUAUCUUGAGAUGCAUAUGGAUUUUGGAGCACAUGAUCGGACUUCAAUCUCAGCCUUUUUGUGGAUUGGAGACUCAUAAAAUGAAAAAAUGAAAGUGGUGAUUUAUUUUUUAUUGUGAAAAGAAUGUUGUGGAGAUAUAUAGAAAUUAGGUGGAAUACUUGUGUAUUUUUUGUCAUUUUUAGACUGAUGGUAAUUAUUGAUGACUAUAAUUAGGUAAGAUCAUCUUUUGGCGAAAAACUUGAUAAUUCAAUCAUAUUUGUUGAGAAUAAAAAUAAUAAUAAGAAUAAGAAUUAAAAUGCAUAAAUUAUGUGUUGGUUAGUAGAAAUUGUUGGUAGUGUUUGUGAAUUUGUAAUGUUUGUUGGAUUUUAAGUGUACAUCUUUCGUCACUGAAGACACAAUUCUUUCAUUGCAUUAUAGAUUGGAGCAUGACCUUAUUCUGUUGUUAUUGGUUACUCAAUGUGUAGCUUAUGUAAUCAUAAUAGGAUGAAGGUACUACCUUAAUGUACCUUAAGUACUACCUUAAUGAACCUGAGGUACUACCUUAAUGCACCUCAGGUACUACUUUAAUGCAGCUUCGAGUAAUGUUGCUCUUAUGUCACUGAAAACACAAUUAUUUAAUUGCAUUAUAGAUUGGAGCAUGGCAUUGUUCUGUUCUUAUCGUUUACUCAUUCGGUAGCUUAUGUAAUCAUCACAAAUUUAAGGUACUACCUUAAUGCACCUCAGGUACUACCUAAAUGUCCCUGAGGUACUACCUUAAUGUACCUCAGGUACUACCUUAAUGCAUAUUCCAGAAAUGUUGCUCUUCUGUGACUUAAGACCUAAUUAGUUCAUUGCAUUACAGAAUGUAACAUGGCAUUGUUAUGUUCUUAUUGGUUACUCCAUCAGUAGCUUAUGUAAUCAUAACAAAUUUCCGCUCAUUAUAUUUAAUGUUGGGUUUCAGGUGAAAAAAAAACAAAUUUUUUCAGAACUUUAUCACUAUCAUGCUGUUUGGUGCGAUUGGAACACUAAUAUAUUGUGGCAUAAUAACAUCAGGCACUCUACUGAUUGAGAGGUUGCCCUUAUGAUGCUUAUGAAAUACCUUUCCUACAUACUUGCUGAACUAUUCUUUUUGAGUGCCAAUCUCACGGUAUUUUUCGGUGGGAUUGUAAUGUCCCAUUACACUUGGCACAAUGUUACAGAGAAUUCAAGAGUCACUACCAAGCAUGCUUUUACUACCUUGUGAAUUAUAGCUGAGAUUUUCAUCUUCCUUUAUGUUGGUAUGGAUGUCUUGGACAUUGAGAAAUGGAGAUUUAUGACCAAUACUCCUGGAACAUCAGUUGUUGUGAGUUUGAUACUAAUAGGUUUGGUUUUGGUUGGAAGAGCAAUUUUUUUUUUCUCUAUCCUUUUUAUCCAACUUGGCCAAGAAGACCCCAACUAAAAAAAAAAAAAAACCACUUUCAGGCAGCAAGUUAUAAUAUGGUGGACUACCAUAUAAAGAGGAAUGGCCAUUAGAAAAGGGGCCACUAAAAAAACUCUACAAGACGCACUCCCAUUAAGAGGAACAUGCUGCCACUUUGAGGAUCCACCAUGCAUCAUGAGAGGCAUCAAUUGAUGAGGCAUCAAAGCUGAUCACUUAGGAGCCACCAUAUUUUUUUUAAGACUUUGUGGGCUGCAAUUUUGGAGAGCACACAACUGCGUAUUUGGAAGUCGCAGCAGGCUGCCAUGGCAAGACACACAGUUGUGAGAUCUUCUUUCUUCACCACACAUGGGAUCGAUGGCCACUUUGGGAGCAUAAAGGCACACAGGGCUGCACCACUUUGGAUUCUCUUUAAGGAACACGCACAACCCACAUAAAAGAAAACAACCUGCAGAUUUGGACUUUGAAACAACCCUCAUGCAUUGAUAUGAAAGGUAAGUUCACAUUCUUAAACUUGUUUUAUUUUAGUUUAAAUUUAUCCAUUUGGUUUAGAUUUUUUAUUUCUUGUUAUUUCAAUCCAUUGGUAAAAUUGCUUCUGUCCUAUAUUUUUUUUUAUUUAAAAAACCCAUUUUCAUCCAUUUUAAUUAGUUUGGAUUUUAGUUUUGAUUAGUAUGGAUAUAUUCACUAUAUCAGCUCUGACGAUUGGAUUUUAGUUUUGAUAAGUACGAAUAUAGCUUGUUGUAUUGGUUUUGAUGAAUAAUGGACUUUGGUCUUCAAAUAACUGUUGAUGGUAAUUUGGAUUUUAGUUUUUGAUAGAUAAUGAGGUUAGUUUGAGUUUGAGUUUUAAAAUUUUCAUUGAGUAUUAGUUUCUUUAGGUUUGCAUGUUUGAUGCCUUUUAAAAAUUUAUUGAAUAUCCAUUUGUUUAAAUUCACACGGUAGAUACCUCUUGAAAAAUUCAUUGAGCGUUAUAUGGGAUGUUAUAUGUGACUGAAUUGUUAGUUCUCUUUAUCUUUGAUACUUAUUUUAUAGACACCUUAUGGAAUUCUUGAGUUUGAACUUUUUUUUAGAAAAAGUUUUUUUGUUAAUUUGAUAUUUUGAGUUGAGUCAAACUUUCCUUUUUUUUCAAAAAUGAUUUUUUCCAUCAUAAGUUUGGUUCCUUGAUCCCAAAUAAAAGGUAGCCAAAAAGGGGAUCCAAUUUAGCUUUUCUCUUAUUUUCAAAACUCUCUUAAGUUAGAAAAAAAAAAAUCUCUAUGUUGUGUCUAAUUAUUGGGAUUUAACAAAUCAUUGGGUCCCUUUUUUUUCACUCCCCUUAAAGUCAUUUUCAAAAGCAUUUAAAUCACCAAUAAAAGGUUUUAGAAAACGUUCAUUCUAGCUUUAGGCAAAGAACACACUUUCUAUUAAAAUUAUGCAACUCAUUUCACUUAAGUUGCAUUUCUCCUUUGUUGGUUUUUUAAAAAUUUGGUUUUUAUUCACAAAGGUUUGGACUUGUGCUCUCAAACUAAUGGAGAUAUACAGGUAAAACUUAUGGAAAUUGAAUGGGGACUUGAUGGAACCCCUACAUAAGAAAUUUUUUCAAAACUCUUCCUUGCUGCCAGUUUUCACUCAACCACUGACCCUUUAGUUUUAAAAUUCCAUUUUACUACUUUAGAAUAUUUAAAAAAAAAAAAGAAAUUCCAAAACUUGUAUGAUUUUCCUCACUUCUUGAACUUGAAUUUAAGAUUUCUUUUUGAGUUAGAAAGCAAUUAUGAAAUAGAAGAUAUAAACGAGUCUUUAGGGAGACUCCAUUUUCACCCAAUUCUGGACAUCCGAGAUAUUUUUGAAAAAAUAAAAUACCAGACGACUUUUUAAAUUUGAUUCAAUAUUUUUUUUCUCAAUUCUAGGCUUCUUGAAAUUGAAAUUAGACACAUAAUAUAUUAAAAAAUGUGCCUUUUUGAGGGAGAUAUGAUUUUUCAAAUUCAUACCUACUAUGCAUGAUGGAAUCUGAACAUCUGAUAAUUUAGAGCAUUUAAAAAAAAUUUUUGUGUAAUACCCAACCCUGAAUUUAUUUUUCUUGUGAUAUAGACACCUUUAACGAUGUAUGUAAUUUUUUUGUAUGAAUUUAUGUGAUGUCUUAUUAUUUUUUAAAAAAAUUCGUUUAUGCAUGUCACCAUUUCUUUUUACUUAACUUGAACCUUUUGGAACCUUUAGGUGUCUUUGCUGCAAUCUGUCCUUUGAAUUAGUGUUUGGCUUUCGGUAUGUUGAUCUAGAUGUGUAGGAGUUGUUUCCUGAAAUUUUUCAUAAUUAAAUUCCACUCUAAGCCAUUUUUUAGGAAUUGUUUUGUGAAGCUUCCUUUUCUAACUUCAUGCUGAUGGUUUUAUACUUUACUUGAAAUUGUCAUUAUCUUUAGAGUCAUUUGAUUUAUCUUAGCUCAAUUUUGGCUUUGGUACUGUAUAUUAGACAUAAUAAAGAUGUUAUAUAAUAUAUACUUGUCCUAACCACUCUAGCCUUUUUUGAGGAAUCUUAUAAAUUAUGCAUGCAAUCCACGUACGCUCUCUAUCACUAACUUUUCAGAAUUCCAUGAACAUGCAUGUUGUUAUGAGCCUUAUUUAUGCUUGAUGUGAUCCUUAGGUGCUUAGAUGUAUGCUGGAUUGCCUUAAUAUAUGUUCGAUCGUUUGAUUUGCCCUUAUUAAAACAAAUGUUGUGUGCUAUAUUUCUAUACUAACUUUGAUGUUUUAUGAUAACACUUGAGAAACUACUCACGUACACCCCCUAAAUCUUCUUUAUGAUUAUGAUUGGUUUUUCUUGUUUGGCAUGCAAUUUUUGAAAUCACCUAGCCUACUUAGGUAUCCUCAAUCAAGCAAUUAAUUGUCACAUUCCCCUCAACUUAGUCAGUAGAGACCUCUUUAGGGCUUAGAGGGGUGCUACCUCUUAGAGGUACCUUCCCAAUAGGUAACCUGAUUCCCGGACCUAGACUCAGGUUUUUCAAAGACACACUUUUACAAAAACUAUGGACUCACUUCUUUAAGGUUUUCUUUCUUAUUUCGUUUUCUCUUAAAAAAAUAAAUUAAAUAAGUGGCGAAUUUGACUUUUCCAAAAAUAAUUUUUCAUUAUAUAAAAGUGAGUCUUGCCGAUUGAGUAGGGGUGCAUGUGAAAAAUACAGGUCCGCACAUGAACCCUCUUUGAGGUUCGUAGUUGAUGAUAUGAGGGUUGAAAGGCAUGGAGAGCAUGUCAUCCAAUUGCCUACUGACAAAGCCGGGGGGACCCCUACUGAUUAGAUCCCCCAGUGGUUGUUGUAUUGGUGGAUGAGGGAGCUAGUCGAUUAUGGCUGGUGCAGCUAAGGAAAUAGGACAUGCCUCUUGGGCCAUCACUACAUGCGGUUUCCCCCUCAUGCUAGGCAUUUGAGGCCCCAACCUUGCGCCCAUUACGUCCGAUAGCUAGGAUUUCCUAUCGCGUCUUUUUUUUUGCUGAAACCCGAGUGGAGUAUGAGCUCUCAUCCUGCUGUGCGUGGCAGGCUGAUGAGGAUCUUAGUUCGGGUUGCAUUUCCUAUUCAUUACAGGGGAUUUCUGCAUUCCUAGGGUAUGUAGCCUCCUCAUUUUGCUUGGAGUUCGUGCAUUGACUUCUAUGUUGUCGACCACGAGGAGGGCCCGAUGAGGACACUUGGAUACGUAACACUUCGUUCUCUUCCCUGAGUGGAGCAGGGCUUACAUCUAUCUCUCGCUCUUACACUAACGUCUCUUCAUACUCUUGUGCCAAUUGAAGUAGUCCUUGCUACCCAUAGUCGACGAUUGACUUUUGGAAGGUGUUGACAUUUGUAUUUCGUUCCCACAAAUGGCGCCAAUGUUGAAACCUGGUCAAUUGAGGAUGAAUUCCUCCCUUAGGCGUGGUAGUGAAAGCUCCCGCUCCGGUACCGGAGUCUAGGUUUUCAGCUUCCCUACACAAAGAUGUCCAAACAGGUUGUCCGAACACACCCUCCAAAGCUCAAGUCAGACAUUAGGAAGAAUGGAAACCCUUAGAAAGAGAGAACGAUCAUGGAACUCACUGUGUCCUCGUCCUUGUUCUAUUACAAUAGGGUUUUUAUAAUGUUCGAAGGUGGAGAGGGGCUCAAUAGUGCUAAGUUGACCAUUGUAGUGAUGAUUGUGCAAUAGUGACAAGGCAAUCAUCAUAUUUAUAGGACGGCUAGGGGUUGUGUCAGACAGCGCAUCAUGACAUAGCUUGUCAUCCUUUCAAUUUUGCUGGUGACCUGAGACUUGACAUGCCUAUCUACUAAAGUAGACGUGAGGAUGGGAAGGGUUCCAUCAGUUAAUCAAGUGUCAGCUAACUAGGGCCUUGCAUGUCAGAGAAUAUUUGAGGCUAUCAGGGGGAUGUGAGCCGCUCAGUGGCUCUAAUGGUCUAGAUAGAAUGUUCAUUCGGGUGCCUUGAAGGUUGUGUGAGUAGUGAUGAAGAACUGUCACAUGGCCCAAUUGGGAUAAUGGCACGUGGAUAGACGUGUGGAUGUACUCGUGGGCGGACACAUGGGAUAAGGCCCCCAUAGUGAUGAGAUCAGGUAAAGUUAAUUCAGAAGAGUGAAAAGGCACCCAGAAGUUGCAGUGAUAGUGAGAGCUAUCUAGAAAAAACCCCUUACCUAGUCUUGGUCACCAGUAAAAAUCCGACUAACAUGUCCAAGUAGUCUUCGUAAGGAGAGGAACUUUAAGCAACACUUCACACCACAUUGUUUUAGAAUGUUGGGUCCAAAAAAAUGAACCUGUCUUCAUUUGGAGUCAUGGUCACUAUUUUUCCAAGCUCAAGUAGAAAAUAUGAAGAGACAACAGAAGCACCUUGUUUGAAGGUUUAAGGGACAAAGAAAUAAUUAUGUAUAGAGUAAUUGAUCCAACUGUUAAUCCAUGAUAUUUCAUGUGUAUGCUCAUACAUUUUUUUUCCCUUUUGAGUGAAAUUGUCUCUUUUUUUUUUGUCUUUAAUGAGAGAUGUAAUAAUGUAUCCAUUUUUCCACACCAUGCCAUUGUCAAGCUCUAAGGGAGGGCCAAAGGUCAAGACACAUGCAAAAGACCAAUCUAAUGGCCACACAUCCCUUUGGAAUUCUAACAUUGAAAUGAAGGUAUACUUGUUUGGAGUUUUUGGUUCCAUGUCUUAGUCUAUUGUCUAUAUCUGGUCUAUUAUACUAUUGAAAGCAAAGCAACUCUUUACUUUUCAUAGUAUUUUUCUUAACAAUUUCAUCUCUUUUUCCUAUUAUAUUUAGGAUAAUUUGAAGAAAUUGAUGGGCAGCUGCAUAGAAUAGAUCAUUUCACAAUGAAUCAAGAACAUUAACUAGAUUAUCAAAGAAAUGAAAAGUUGGAAGAUAAGAUUAACAUGAUGAGAUAUCGAUGUAAAUUAAAAUUAUGAGAUAUUGAUAUAGAGAAUGAAAACAAUUCUACAAUUCUUCAAGUUAGGCUUUAUGCAAAAAGCGUUUUUGAAAACAAUUUUAAAGAACGGUUUAUGAAAAUUGUUGUUCUCUAUAACAAAAGUCUCUCUAAGACUUGGAAAAAUAUUCUUAAUAUAUUUUUUGUAUUUUUAAAUACAUUUUAAAAAUAAAUUUUAUUUAUAAUUUUUUAUUUUUAAUUAUUAUCUAUAUUUGUAUAACUAUUUUUUAAAAAUAAUCAUCAUAAAACAAUUGAAAACAAGUAAAAAGUGUUUUUUGUUUUUAAAAUUCUCUUGUUUCUAUUUUUAAGAACAAAAACUUGUUUUCUAUUUUUUUAUGGUCAAACUUUUUAAUUUUUUUUUUUCCUUCUGAAGAAUAUCAAUCUGGUUUUAAAAACAAUUGCUCAACAAGUCUAGGACAUGUCUCUAACACAUGCAUCCAAUUCUUAUUUUUAAGCACUUGAUUUUAAAAUUUUGUAAUUUUGUAAUAAAUUUAAACAUGUGACUUAAGUAGGCCAUUAAUUAUGAGAAAAAACUCACCCUAUCAAUUUUCUCUCUUUCCGAGUGACUAAAAGAAAGAAUUUUCCAUCGGCCAACUCCCUUAUAGAAACAUACAUCUUAUUCAUGGAAAGAUAUAAGGGAAAAUUUUUUAGGGUCUUUAUUCUAAUAAUAUAAAUUUGUUUGUUUUCAUCACUUUAUGGGAUAAGGUUAUUAGAUCUAUAUACUCACAAAGAAUUAUGACACAAGGAUAAGAGGUGAAUUUUCUAGGCUUCCACUUUUAAAAAUGAAAUUUAGGUUAUGUUUAAUUCUCUGGAAAAAUUAAGGGAAAAUGUAAUGAAAAAAAAAUAAUGAGAAAAAGUUUUAGGAAAGAAAAAGCAAAAAAAAAAAAAAAAAAAAAGACUUAAAAUCAAUAAAUUAUUCACAUAUAAAAAUGUAUGAAUUUCUAACUAAUUUUAUUUAUAUUUUAUUUUCUUUCAUACUUUCAUUGAAAAAGUCAAACAUAAAAAAAAUAUCAUUUUUAUUAACGUUUUUUUUUUUCUUUUUUUAGUACUUUAUGAAACCAAACAUAGUUUUAAUAAAAUAAAAAGCUCAGAUUAUUUAAAUAUUCAAUUGUCCUUAUUAAUUUAAUUCAUUUUAAAUAAAAUAUUUUAACCAAGUUCAUUUUCAAUAAAAAUAUAAUUCAUACCUUAUUGAAAUAUUAAUAUCCAUAUUUAUCAUCAUUUUCUUAACACAAAAAAUACCAUUCAUAUUUUACUAAUUAUUAUUUGUAAAUUUUUUCACAAAAUUUAAAUGGUAUUUAAUUUAAUAUUAAUAUAAAAUUGAAGUUACAAAUCUUUUUACAGAAUAAAAGAAAUUAUUUUUGUCUUUAAAAAUUGUUUGCAAUCAAGAUAUUGUUUGAUACACUUUUUAUUUUUUAUUUAAAAAAAAUAAAAAAUUAUACUAACUUCACAAUUCUUUGAGGCUUAAAGGGAUAAUGGCUUUUAAAAGUGCUUAAAAAUUUAAGAUAUUAAAAAAAAAAAACUUUAUUAUAGCAAAUUUUAAAAUUUUUAAUAACGUGAGGUCUCUGGAAGUGAUUAAGGCGGCCUUGUUAUGCAAUAAUAGACCUGUCCCUCAAGUCGUUAGAGGAGCUGGAAGGAAAAUUUCAAGGUCUUAAAGCAAUUUAUUGCAGUUGAUUUCCAUGUGCACAUCUCAAAGUCUUUAGUGGAGCUGGAAGGAAAAUUUCAAAGUCUUAAAGCAAACUAUUGCAGUCGAUUACCAUUUACACAUCUCAAAGUCUUUAGUGGUGCAAGAAGAGAUGUGAAUAUGUCUAUUUGCAAUUGAUUUCCACCCAGAGAGCACACUACAAGGAAAAAGGUAUAUGACGACAUUUAUAACGAGUCACCAUAAACAUAAGGUGUCACUACAACAUAGCGUCACCUUGUCCACUGACACCAUAGAGGGUACCAAUUGGUGACGUAUUUGGAAGUGACACCAAAGUAGAUAAAUGGUGACCCAUUCAAAAGUGACACCAUAUAUUUCUAGUGAUGAUAGGGUGUCACAUUAAAUACAUCAUCUUUGAGUUAUGAUGUCACAUUAAAUGCAUCACCUUUGAGUUAUGGUAUCACAUCAUUGUAAAUUAUUGUGGAAUAUAUGAUUGGUUUUAGUUGUUGAUUUUUGUAAUGCUUAUGAAUUAAUAAGAUUAACCUGUUUAUAUUUUGUCCAUAAAUAUAACAAUCAUAUUAUAUUUAACUCAUUUUUCUGUAAUGUUUCUGGAAUAACUCAUAAUACAUUGAUCAUCUAAUAAUAUUUGUAUAUCAAAUGUUCACAAAAGGAUAGUACGUCCAACAUAUCAAACCCAUCAAAACUAAAAAAGAAGAGUGAAUACAUACCAAAACAUGAUUUAGAAAUGUUAAAGAUCCCAAGAUUCAUGUAUACCUCCAUUUCAUAAGCAUAAAACCGGCUAACCAUAAAAUGACAUAGAAGUCCCAUCUAAAAAUCUAAAUUUCUCAUUUGCAAUUAAAGUAACGUUUAUGUCCUACAACGUAUAACAUAAGAGUUGCAUUUAAAAACCCAAAAUCUUGUUGCCUUCUUCUUUCUUUUUAUUCUCCAUUUCACUUUCCCAAGAGUGUAUACCUGCAUUUCAAAAUUUAAUGAGUUUUAGAGAUUUUUAUUGAAGAAAAUAAACAUGGAUCUAUGUUAUCAUAAAUGAACAAAUCUAAGAAUUAAUUUUUUUUUUUCAAAUAGAAACAUUAUUCAAAGAAUAAGCAUUACUAUACAAUACCUAUGGAAAAAUUCAUGUAGUAGCUAAGGGACUCACCAUGCAUGGUGAUCAUGAUGCAUCAACAUGAUUCAUGAUUAGUUGUAGCACAAAAGUAGCUCAUUCUCCUCUAAUUUCAUCGAAAUCUACUUGAGAAUAUGUUUUUUUUAUUACCAAACUGAAAUCAAAUAAGAAAAUAACAUUAAAAUGCAUAACAUUUGGAAGCCUAAAACUAUGUACAAUUCAUUAAAUAAAGUAAUACCUUUGAAGCAAUAAUUGUAGGAUAAAAAAUUAUCUUUUUAAUGAAUCUCAUAACAAAGUAGCCACAUUCGAACCCUCCUUCUUGUCUUGGACACUAAUCGAUCAAUUAUAAAAUAACAUUAGUACUCACAUAUAUAAAUGGUGCAAAUGCAUAAGCUAAUGUGUAAAGAAAAAUUUUUGGAUGUCACUUGCACUAGUUGCUAAGAUGGCUUCCUCUUAGAUGUUUUCUUUGCAGAUAUUCGAAGAGCCCUAUGUAAAUAAGUUCAAUGGGUACAUUUUUAAAAUAGGUAAAUGUUAUAUGUUUUAAUAUAUAUAAAUAAUAAAAAAAAUGUGUUUGAGGUGAAUGUAUUUUUUUUUAUUUAAAAAUAAUACUAUGAAAAAUAAUAGGAAGAACUUACAUGUUUACGAUAUCCUUUAAGUCCUCACAUGGUUUGUAAUGCAUAGGGCCAAGAUAGUGGACUAUCAUUUUCCUUGGCUCAAGCACUACCUAAAUAUAAACCCUUUAAGUCCUCAUAACUAUUUCUAUUAACAAAAUAUAAAAAUUUUCCAAAACUCAACUACUUAAAUAUAAAAAUAAAAUCAAAUAAAAUAUCUAGCUAAUUGGAUUUUAGAAACUAAAUAAACUAUAAAUAAACUAAAUAUAAAAACUAAAUAAAAUAUCUAUGCCCAUGAAUUAAUUGAAGAGGAUAAAAAGACACAGAGAGAACAUGGCUAUGGUUAUGAUUUCCAUCUUAUCAUUUCUUGUCAAUACCACACAUGCUCAUUUUAAGGUUGGACAAUACUUUUGUUGCUGGACUUGGAAAGGGAACUUCAAAAUUGAAAACAUAAAUAAACCCUUAUGUAAAAAAAAAUAACAUUAAAAUAUAAUUGAGCAUUAAAAUAUUUACUCUCUUUCAUCACUUUCAUUUGAAUAUUAAUAAUCUCUUAUUGAGAUAGAUACUUACAAUUUAACAAAAUAGAAAUUCCUAAUAAUAAAAAAUNNNNNNNNNNNNNNNNNNNNNNNNNNNNNNNNNNNNNNNNNNNNNNNNNNNNNNNNNNNNNNNNNNNNNNNNNNNNNNNNNNNNNNNNNNNNNNNNNNNNNNNNNNNNNNNNNNNNNNNNNNNNNNNNNNNNNNNNNNNNNNNNNNNNNNNNNNNNNNNNNNNNNNNNNNNNNNNNNNNNNNNNNNNNNNNNNNNNNNNNNNNNNNNNNNNNNNNNNNNNNNNNNNNNNNNNNNNNNNNNNNNNNNNNNNNNNNNNNNNNNNNNNNNNNNNNNNNNNNNNNNNNNNNNNNNNNNNNNNNNNNNNNNNNNNNNNNNNNNNNNNNNNNNNNNNNNNNNNNNNNNNNNNNNNNNNNNNNNNNNNNNNNNNNNNNNNNNNNNNNNNNNNNNNNNNNNNNNNNNNNNNNNNNNNNNNNNNNNNNNNNNNNNNNNNNNNNNNNNNNNNNNNNNNNNNNNNNNNNNNNNNNNNNNNNNNNNNNNNNNNNNNNNNNNNNNNNNNNNNNNNNNNNNNNNNNNNNNNNNNNNNNNNNNNNNNNNNNNNNNNNNNNNNNNNNNNNNNNNNNNNNNNNNNNNNNNNNNNNNNNNNNNNNNNNNNNNNNNNNNNNNNNNNNNNNNNNNNNNNNNNNNNNNNNNNNNNNNNNNNNNNNNNNNNNNNNNNNNNNNNNNNNNNNNNNNNNNNNNNNNNNNNNNNNNNNNNNNNNNNNNNNNNNNNNNNNNNNNNNNNNNNNNNNNNNNNNNNNNNNNNNNNNNNNNNNNNNNNNNNNNNNNNNNNNNNNNNNNNNNNNNNNNNNNNNNNNNNNNNNNNNNNNNNNNNNNNNNNNNNNNNNNNNNNNNNNNNNNNNNNNNNNNNNNNNNNNNNNNNNNNNNNNNNNNNNNNNNNNNNNNNNNNNNNNNNNNNNNNNNNNNNNNNNNNNNNNNNNNNNNNNNNNNNNNNNNNNNNNNNNNNNNNNNNNNNNNNNNNNNNNNNNNNNNNNNNNNNNNNNNNNNNNNNNNNNNNNNNNNNNNNNNNNNNNNNNNNNNNNNNNNNNNNNNNNNNNNNNNNNNNNNNNNNNNNNNNNNNNNNNNNNNNNNNNNNNNNNNNNNNNNNNNNNNNNNNNNNNNNNNNNNNNNNNNNNNNNNNNNNNNNNNNNNNNNNNNNNNNNNNNNNNNNNNNNNNNNNNNNNNNNNNNNNNNNNNNNNNNNNNNNNNNNNNNNNNNNNNNNNNNNNNNNNNNNNNNNNNNNNNNNNNNNNNNNNNNNNNNNNNNNNNNNNNNNNNNNNNNNNNNNNNNNNNNNNNNNNNNNNNNNNNNNNNNNNNNNNNNNNNNNNNNNNNNNNNNNNNNNNNNNNNNNNNNNNNNNNNNNNNNNNNNNNNNNNNNNNNNNNNNNNNNNNNNNNNNNNNNNNNNNNNNNNNNNNNNNNNNNNNNNNNNNNNNNNNNNNNNNNNNNNNNNNNNNNNNNNNNNNNNNNNNNNNNNNNNNNNNNNNNNNNNNNNNNNNNNNNNNNNNNNNNUAAUUGAGCAUUAAAAUAUUUACUCUCUUUCAUCACUUUCAUUUGAAUAUUAAUAAUCUCUUAUUGAGAUAGAUACUUACAAUUUAACAAAAUAGAAAUUCCUAAUAAUAAAAAAUAUAAAAUUUCUAUUUCUAUUUCUAUUAACAAAAUAUAAAAACUUUCCAAAACUCAACUACUUAAAUAUAAAAAUAAAAUCAAAUAAACUAUCUAGCUAAUUCGAUUUUAGAAACUAAAUAAACUAUAAAUAAACUAAAUAUAAAAACUAAAUAAAAUAUCUAUGCCCAUGAAUUAAUUGAAAAUGAUAGAAAGACAUAGAGAGAACAUGGCUAUGGUUAUGAUUUCCAUCUUAUCAUCUCCCGUCAAUACCACACAUGCCCAUUUUAAGGUUGGACACUACUUUUGUUGUUGGACUUGGAAAGGGAACUUCAAAAUUGAAAACAUAAAUAAACCCUUAUGUAAAAAAAAAAAAAAAAAAUAACAUUAAAAUAUAAUUGAGCAUUAAAAUAUUUACUCUCUUUCAUCACUUUCAUUUGAAUAUUAAUAAUCUCUUAUUGAGAUAGAUACUUACAAUUUAACAAAAUAGAAAUUCCUAAUAAUAAAAAAUAUAAAAUUUCUAUUUCUAUUUCUAUUAACAAAAUAUAAAAGCUUUCCAAAACUCAACUACUUAAAUAUAAAAAUAAAAUCAAAUAAAAUAUCUAGCUAAUUCGAUUUUAGAAACUAAAUAAACUAUAAAUAAACUAAAUAUAAAAACUAAAUAAAAUAUCUAUGCCCAUGAAUUAAUUGAAAAUGAUAGAAAGACAUAGAGAGAACAUGGCUAUGGUUAUGAUUUCCAUCUUAUCAUCUCCCGUCAAUACCACACAUGCCCAUUUUAAGGUUGGACACUACUUUUGUUGUUGGACUUGGAAAGGGAACUUCAAAAUUGAAAACAUAAAUAAACCCUUAUGUAAAAAAAAAAAAUAACAUUAAAAUAUAAUUGAGCAUUAAAAUAUUUACUCUCUUUCAUCACUUUCAUUUGAAUAUUAAUAAUCUCUUAUUGAGAUAGAUACUUACAAUUUAACAAAAUAGAAAUUCCUAAUAAUAAAAAAUAUAAAAUUUCUAUUUCUAUUUCUAUUAACAAAAUAUAAAAACUUUCCAAAACUCAACUACUUAAAUAUAAAAAUAAAAUCAAAUAAACUAUCUAGCUAAUUCGAUUUUAGAAACUAAAUAAACUAUAAAUAAACUAAAUAUAAAAACUAAAUAAAAUAUCUAUGCCCAUGAAUUAAUUGAAAAUGAUAGAAAGACAUAGAGAGAACAUGGCUAUGGUUAUGAUUUCCAUCUUAUCAUCUCCCGUCAAUACCACACAUGCCCAUUUUAAGGUUGGACACUACUUUUGUUGUUGGACUUGGAAAGGGAACUUCAAAAUUGAAAACAUAAAUAAACCCUUAUGUAAAAAAAAAAAAAAAAAUAACAUUAAAAUAUAAUUGAGCAUUAAAAUAUUUACUCUCUUUCAUCACUUUCAUUUGAAUAUUAAUAAUCUCUUAUUGAGAUAGAUACUUACAAUUUAACAAAAUAGAAAUUCCUAAUAAUAAAAAAUAUAAAAAUUUCUAUUUCUAUUAACAAAAUAUAAAAACUUUCCAAAACUCAAAUACUUAAAUAUAAAAACAAAAUCAAAUAAAAUAUCUAACUAAUUGGAUUUUAGAAACUAAAUAAACUAUAAAUAAACUAAAUAUAAAAACUAAAUAAAAUAUCUAUGCCCAUGAAUUAAUUGAAGAGGAUAGAAAGACACAAAGAGAACAUGACUAUGNNNNNNNNNNNNNNNNNNNNNNNNNNNNNNNNNNNNNNNNNNNNNNNNNNNNNNNNNNNNNNNNNNNNNNNNNNNNNNNNNNNNNNNNNNNNNNNNNNNNNNNNNNNNNNNNNNNNNNNNNNNNNNNNNNNNNNNNNNNNNNNNNNNNNNNNNNNNNNNNNNNNNNNNNNNNNNNNACACAUGCCCAUUUUAAGGUUGGACACUACUUUUGUUGUUGGACUUGGAAAGGGAACUUCAAAAUUGAAAACAUAAAUAAACCCUUAUGUAAAAAAAAAAAAAAAAAUAACAUUAAAAUAUAAUUGAGCAUUAAAAUAUUUACUCUCUUUCAUCACUUUCAUUUGAAUAUUAAUAAUCUCUUAUUGAGAUAGAUACUUACAAUUUAACAAAAUAGAAAUUCCUAAUAAUAAAAAAUAUAAAAAUUUCUAUUUCUAUUAACAAAAUAUAAAAACUUUCCAAAACUCAAAUACUUAAAUAUAAAAACAAAAUCAAAUAAAAUAUCUAACUAAUUGGAUUUUAGAAACUAAAUAAACUAUAAAUAAACUAAAUAUAAAAACUAAAUAAAAUAUCUAUGCCCAUGAAUUAAUUGAAGAGGAUAGAAAGACACAAAGAGAACAUGACUAUGGUUAUGAUUUCAUCUUAUCAUCUCCCGUCAAUACCACACAUGCCUUCUCGAAUUGGUCCUUUUGGGGUUGGAUACUCUCAACGAAAUUCUAUAUCUCAUUCCCACUUAGAUACAAACAGAAAAACCAUUCUUUUUUUUUUUCCUCUCGUUUUUUAGAAAGGAUGAAGAUUAUGUGAUAGUAUAUCUUAAAAAAAUUCUAUACCUGUCAUUCUCACACAAAUACAUAUUAAAAAUCAUUCAUUUUUUCCUGUUUUUCACUUUUUUUAAAGGACUUGAUCAUGUGUUUGGUUUAGAUUAAAAAAAUCAAUUAAUCUAUAGUUUUUUCUUCCAUGCUAGAAGAUUAAACCUAAAUUUUUCUUCCGUACAACUCAUGAAAACACAAUUCACAAAAACCAUAAUACAAAGAUGUUGAAACAAUUAAUAUAAUGACAUUAAUAAAAGAAAAAAAAAAUGAUAGAUCCAAGAGAUUUUGGGUUACCUGGGAGUCCACAAAGUGAAGAAUGUCGGUUUUGAGCGUGUUGACUAUGGAUGGGUGACAGAAAAGGUUGAAGAAGAUCAUGAUUUUAUAUAUAGGAUUUAUAUAUUGAGAUUUUUUGGAUUGUGAGUGAGAUAUGGAAACAAUGGGAUUUUUAUAUAGUAUCCAUCAUUAUUAAUUCUAAAAGUGGGCUCAUUAAGUUAUAAUACUUAAAAAAAAUUAUUUUAUAUGAUGUCACUUCCCAAAAAAUGACACUAUAAAUAUAAAAUUAAUAUCAUCUAACUACCUCAAUUGAAGAUUUUUUAUAUAAUGUGUCACCUUUAUUAAUUAUAAACCCUAUGGUGUCAUUAUUUUAAAAGUGACACCGUAAAUAAUGACACCAUAAACUAUUUUUGUAGUAGUGGCAAAAACAACAGCAGAUGAGCAAAGUAAACGAGUUUGAUUACUACCAAAUAGUGCUAUUUUGUAGACCUAAUUAUAAUGGUUUUAAGCACCUUUGAGUAGUAAUCAUAUUCAUUUAACCCAAUUAAUUCAUUAAGGUCCUUAGUAAUUGGUUUUAACCAUUUUGUGGCAAGUUUACAUGUUUUUAUCAGCUUAUGAAUCAAUUCAAGCAUGCCAAAUGAUGGAGGAGCUACUUGGACAAGUUAUGGCAAAGCUUUUGGAAGCUCAAAUUCAUGAAGAACCAAGCUUUGGAGCUUCAUAGCCCUUUGCCAAAGUCGUUCAAAGUAUGCAAGAAAGAACAAUGGAGAGAGGAAAACAGAGGACAGCAGCUGCAGUCUUAUUUCGCACUUUNNNNNNNNNNNNNNNNNNNNNNNNNNNNNNNNNNNNNNNNNNNNNNNNNNNNNNCCAAUUUCAAUGGCCAUUGAAAGGUGAGUUUAUCACUUGGAAUGACUUUGAGUUGCUAAUAUUUGGUAAGCUUUUGGCUUUAGACCAUUAGUUAUCUCUUACGAGCCAUUCAAAGGAAGUCUAAGGUGACUAACCAUUGAUGAAAUUCACUACCAUCUGUUUUGCCAUUUUAAAGGAUUAAAACUUGAUUUGCUAAAUCCAUACCGGUUCAGGAAGCAAGCAUCACCAUAGUUGCAACCCCAACGCGAGGAGCCUAUCCUGAGAUUUCCAAUUUGCAUAAGAGCCAGAGCAUAGCUAUCCUAUUUUGAGAAACUUGUUUUUACACCCUUUCAUUUUAGUCUUUAAUGUUAGCUUAGAUUAGUUUAAAUCUUUCUAAAACAUUUGCAUUUUCUUUUAAAGCUAACAUCCAUAAGAAAAUCACCUAUUUUCCUAAUUCGAAUGUCACUAGUGUUUGCGAAAACCCUUCCCAGUGAACGAUCCUAGAACCACUAUGCUAUAGUAGCUUGGCUACUUUAGUAAUAGUAUUCAAGGUAUAAAUUUUGUUGAUACGCCUUUAAAGCUAAGCUACCAUGAGUCGCAUCAGAGUUCAUAUUCUAUUGCAGGUCUAACAUAGAAAGGGAUAUUUCCCUGUAUGGAGUUUCUGCAUGCCCAUAGAGUCAGUCCAUAAUGCUCAUUUAUUCUUGAAUUGGGGAGAUCAGAAACAAUAUUACAUAACAGAGAGAAGCAAGUUAUAUUUAGAAUGCCAUAAUUUUACAUGGUUCCAUAAUAGGCCCCUUAUCAAGUCACCAACAUUUCAUGUAGUCUCUACAAGCUGAAAACCAACACUUCACGUAAUGGGUCCAAAACUCAUUUUAGAAUGUCCCCCAGCGCCCUCCAAACUUGUGGUCCGGUAUGAAAAACUCCCAAUAGAACCUGUCUUCAUUUCAGUCAAGCUCACGUUUUUCCUAGCUACGGUGGCAAACAUGAGGAGACUGGCCAAAGACUUGUUGGAAUGGACAGGAGAACCGUGCUUGAAGUUCUACUGGAGAAAGAGAAAAUCUUGUUUGGAGUCAUUUAUUCAACUGUUAAUCCAUUAUACGCUGUGGGUGCUCUCAAGCAUAAUUAUGAUCUUCAAAUACAAGACAUUCAACUGCGUACCAUGAGGAUUCUACUUCCUUUCAGAUAUGUACCAAACACACACCAUAGGAAACUGUGAGGAACAGAUUUGAUAAUGGAUCACAAAAAAGAAAAGAUGAAUGAAGUGAUAUACCAAAUCAUCUAGCAGGCUUCAUAUAUACAAUUGAAGUAGUACUUUUUUUCAAGUAGUGAGCUAAGAAAAAUCCCCUUUCAAACACUAGACCUCAUUAUAAAUUAACCUUAGUGCCAAAUGCCAAGACAAACACAAAUGACUUUUGCAGAAGGGUGGCGCAACUAUGUUCACAUAUGGAGAGGGAUCUAUGCUAUUAUAGAAAGAAAUGCAACCCAUACACUUGUCACAAAUGUUUUUUUUUUUUUUUUUUACUUCCAUUCCUUAUAAUAUCUUUGAUAAAAGAUAACUGCAUGAAAAUUAUCUUAUAAUUGGAUUGAAAACAAUAAUUUCUUUGUGAAUAGUAUAAAAGAAAAGAUCAUAUAAAUCGAAAAGAAGUAUUAAUACUUCACUGACAAAAAAUAAAUCGCAUGUGUUAGAUUAAUUCAAAUGAAAGAUUAAUUAGCAAAGAUCAGCAAAGAGUGAAAACAGAAUUAAUAGUUGUUCUUGUGGAAUAUUUUGGACAAAUGGAAGAUUAGUCUUUUGAUAACUUGAAAAUAUGAUAUAUUCUUGAUCAUAAAAUUGAUUUGUACUUGCUCCUGAGUUUCUUUUUAACAUCUAUUUAAAACUUGAUCCCUUAUUUUUGAGGUUUUAUCCUAUGCUAAAAUGGUUUGGCAAUAAUUUAAAUUUAACAUCUAUUAAAAAAUUGUCAUUGAACUAAAACUUAGAAGGCAUUGUUUUGUGAAAUUAUUUUAUUACUUUUUACCUAUGCAGCUCAAUAUACAUAAUCAGACUAUUCUUCCAGUAAUUACUAUAAUUGUCUCCCUCUGAAAUUGUUUUACCUGUGUAGAAGAACAGAGACUAGAAGUGAGAUGUGUUUUAGAAUUUGCUUUCUACCCAAAUGAAGCAAAUAGUUUUGUAUUGACUGCUGCAUACAACCAAAUCCUGAAUUGUUCUAAAGCAAAGAGUUGAAGAAGAAACACACAAAUUAUUACAUAACAAAGACAAGCAACUCACAUUUACUGCUUAUAAGCAAAUCAUCAAAGCUCUCUACAUACCAUGUAUUAAUUCUGCGUCAUUGCUUACCCCACACUUGAUAAAGACAAAAAGGAAACCACGACAAUACACUAUUACAUCUACUUUCAAUGUCCUCUCCUAUUCCCCUUUUUCUACCUCUUGCCAAACGUUUUCACAAACCAUUCAUGUUUCCUUGUGGUCAAGGUGUGCCCAAUAACUACUCCUACAACUAGCUCAUUGUGAGUGUUUAGUUAGGUUGACAAUUUCAGACAAAAUUCCUAAGUGUCCCCUAACUCGAUUUUCUAAUUCCUCUUUAGACUAUUUGACCUUUAAAGAUUAAGACUUUGCUAAGAGGCCGAGGUAUGUAGUUGAUUGUGUGGUGAUUGAAUGUGAGUCAACCAUGUUUUUCAUCUUUAAAAGAGUUAAGCUGGAGAAAUAUUUAUACUGAAAGGCUUUUGUUCUCCUAUUUUUGGAUUGAUCUACUUGUAGGGGUAGAUCGAUCCAACUAACCUGUUUUUAAGAUCAAUUUUCUCUCAUUUCUAGGUGUGGUGAUUGCAGCAGCCCGAGAAAGAGUUUUUAUUUCCUCACCAUUUUGAGGGUGUUUGCCUACCUAGAAAAUCCUAUCCAAGUUUUCUAAUAAAUUUUUUUUAAUGGAUUUUCUGAAAAUGAACUUGGGUUGAUUUUUGAAACAUUCAUAUCUCAUUCUCUUGGAUUUGUGCAAAAACCUAUUUUCUUCUUGUGUGAAUCCAAGAAGAGGUCGAGAUCAAGCUUGAUGCGAACUCCAAGUGUGCUCUGGAAGAAGAAGGUGAGAAGUUGACAGUGAAAGUACUAGUCAAGUGGUUCAAGAAGGAUUGGUUGUCUUAAACUAGGUAAAACCUUGUAUUCAGUUUUUAUUAUUCAUAGUGAAUGUUUUCAAUCGGUAGUAAGCCCAUGGGUUUUUAUCUCUUCAGAGUUUUUCCACAUUAAAAAUCCAGUGUCAAUUGUCUCUUUUCUUCACUCACCUCUUGGAUUUAUUUUCAGUUUUUGAUAUCAUUAGAUACAUGGGCAUAUAUGUUGAAUGGAAUAUAUAUGAGCUGAAAUAAGUGUGAAUAUCCAUGGAAAUAUCUUCAAUUAUCUUUUUUUGUUCAUUUUGGUUAUGAUUUCUUGUAGAAAAUUGAAUAAAUUUUGAGGAGUGUUGAAGCAUUUGCAUGUGAAUUGCAUUUAUAAAUUGUUAGGAGAGUGUUGGUGCAUACAUACUUGCUUGUGGAUGUUAUACUUUGUUGAAAAAUUUUUGGAAAAGAAGUUUACUGACAUUGAGAAAUUCUAAGGUUAGGUAAUCUUUGUUGGGAAAUUUUUUUUAUAGUUCAACAAUAUCUAUUCACGCCAUCCCCCACCCUCUAAGUGUAGUCCAUUAUUGAGAUUCACCUUUUAAUCAGUAUCAAAGUGGGUUUUUUUAAAGCAAAAAUCAUUUUCGAUCCUUGAAUCUCAAUUAUGGAACCUCAUCAAGAGAGAGCUUCCAUUGGGAGACCACCAUUCUUAACUGGUGAAAAUUAUUUUUAUUGGAAAGUGAGAAUGCAAUAUUUUCUCAAAAUGCAAAGUGAAAAUUUUUGGAAUGUCAUUGAAUUUGGUUAGUCUCCACCUAAGGUGUUGGAUAGAGAAGGUAGACCAAUAAAUGUUAUCAAGCUUAAGUUGUAAUGGGAUAGAGGUGACAAUGAAGCUAGUGAGAACAAUGCUAAAGCCAUGUAUUCCAUCUUUAAUGCCAUUAGCACAGAUGAAUUCUAUAGGACAACUACAUGUACUUUGACUAAGGAGGCUUGGGAAAUCCUCUAAGUGACUCAUGAAGGAACUAAUGUUGUGAAAGUGUCCAAACUUCAAAUGUUAACCUCUAGGUUUGAGACAAUUAGGAUGGAAAAUCAUGAGAAAUUUGGAGAGUUUCAUGCAAAACUUAUGAACAUUGUGAAUUCUAGCUUUAAUCUAGGUGAACCCAUCCCUAACUCCAAAGUGGUUAGAAAAAUUCUAAGAUCUCUUCCAGAGAGAUCUAUAGCAAAAGUCACCGCCAUUGAAGAGUCCAAGGAUGUGGAUUCCUUGAAAGUAGAUGAACUCUUAGGUUCACUCCAAACCUUUGAAAUGACUCUUGGAUCACCUAGGAAAUCAAAGGGCAUUGCCUUGAAUGCCAGUAAAAAGGAGUCCUUAGGUUUUGAAAGCAAGGGUGAUGAGAAAAUGUCAGAUAGAGAAGUUGCUAGAUUUGCUAGAAAAUUCAAAAAAUACAUGAAGUUUAGGAAAUAUAAGAAGAAGUCCGAGGAAGAUGCUAAAAAAUGGAACAAUUCAAUGGGAAAAUCAAAUUUAAAAGACAAAAAGAAAGACAAGAGUGUCAAAAAGGACCUUGAGGUUGAGUGCUUCAAGUGUGGGGGAAAGGGGCACUAUGCCACUGAAUGUGUCUCAAAGAAAAAAGGAAAAAAAAAACCAUGCAAGUCACUUGGAGUGACAUGGAAUCAUGUCAAUCAAGUGAAAAAGAAUCCAAUGUAAGUGAUGAAUGCACUAAUUUCAUAGCCUUUAUGACAAGUGUCAUUGACAAACCACCUAAGAAAGAGGUUCUUAGUGAGUCUUGUGAGUUAAGUGACUCCGAUGGUGAUGAGAUGAGUUUUAACUCUGUAUAUGAGACUUUGUACAAAGAGUGCUUAAGUCUCAAAUAGGAACAAGUUGAGUGGAAGGCUUCUAAACGGAGUUUAAUCAAUGAGGUUAAAACUCUAAAGGGAGAAAAGAAGUCCUUGCUAGAUAAUGUCGCCUUUCUUGAGAGUGAACACUUUGAAAUGAAGAAAAUAUGUGAUGAAUUGAAGAGUGAAAAAUCAAGUGUUUAAGAAUGAGUUGAGUUUUAGGAAAUAAGAGUUACAUCCUAGCUCUAAAAAACUUAGUGAUUUGAUCAAUUCAGGGAGGAAAUCAUUUGAUAAAAGAGGCUUAGGUUUUGUUGAUGAAACUACCACUCUAAGUAGUGGUAAAAAAUGUUUGUCAAGCCUUGUGAAAGAGUGGUCCCUAAGAAAAUUCCUCCUAUACUGAAACUUCAUUGCACUCAUUGCACUAAAAUGGGAUAUGCCAUUGAUGGAUAUUAUGCAUGGAUGUUUGAGAGUUUCCAAAGAAAGUUGACCAACCUAAUGAAUGAAUCAUUCACUUUGAGAAAUAAGUUGUUACAAGGAGGCAAGAAAAUGUUCAAGAGGGAUUCAAAUGCCCCUCAUCAUAGUGGUUUCCAAGGAAGCACUUCCAAUGGAAUGACCAAAGUCACAAGUGUCAAACAAAUGUGGGUUAAAAAGAAUGAACUUAAUUUCCUUGUUGUUCACACUAUGCUUAGGGCUAGUGAGUCACACUCAUGGUACUUUGAUAGUGGUUGUUUACAUCAUAUGACAGGUAAUAGAUCAUUCUUCACUAAUUUAAUUGAAUUUGAUGGAGGAAAUGUGACUUUUGGUGAUGGUAAUGUUGCUAGUGUGAAAGAAAAAGGCACAAUUUUGUGCUCCCAGCAUCCCUAUUCUUGAAGAAGUCUUGUAUGUGGAAGGAUUGAAAGCUAACUUGAUUAGAAUUAGUCAAAUAUGUAACAAGAAGUUCAAUGUUCAAUUCUCACAAAAUUUAUGUAAAGUGUUUGAUUUGAAUGGAAAUUAUGUGAUGAUUGGAUUGAGAACUUCAAAUAAUUGCUAUGUUGUUUGUCAAAAUCCUUCUAACUUUUCAUCUUCUCCCUUGUGUGUGGUAGUUUAAAAGUUAAAUCAAUUGAUUUGUGGCACCAUAGGUUGGGUCAUUUAAACUAUCGUGACUUGAUGAAGGUUGCUAAUAAUGAAGUCAUCAAAGGGAUUCCUAAGCUUGGAAAACCCUUUAAUCCUAUUUGUGGUACUUGUCAAAAGGGAAAACAAACUAGGAGUACACAUAGGAGAGUUGAUGAAAUUUUGACCUCUAAACCUUUAGGACUCUUACACAUGGACCUCAUGUGACCAAUGAGAACUAAGAGUUUAGGAGGCAAGAAAUACAUUUUGGUGAUGGUUGAUGACUAUUCUAGGUAUGCAUGGGUUGCAUUCCUAAGAGAUAAAAAUGAGGCAUUCAUAAAUUUUAAAGACAUUGGUUUGAAAAUUCAAAAUGAAAAAUGGUAACCCAAUGAAAGAAUUAAGAGUGGUAGGGGGAGAAAACUUGAUAAUUAUGAUUUUCUAGAAUUUUUUCAUUCUCUAGGAAUCACACAUGAGUUUUCCGCUCCUAGAACACCUCAACAAAAUGGGGUAGUUAAGAGAAAGAAUCAUGUCCUUCAAGAAAUUGCCUAAACAAUGCUAAAUCAACAUGAACUUCCUACACAUUUUUGGGCUGAAGUCAUCAACACAGCUUGUUAUACUUCCAAUAUAAUUCACUUACGUCCUCACACUAGGAAGACUUGUUCUGAGCUAUGGAAAUGAAAGAAACCUAGUGUGAAGUGCUUUAUGGUGUUUGGAAGUAGAUGCUAUGUCUUGAAAUAUCAUGAAAAUCCUGGUAAAUUUGAGUCUAAGAGUGAGGAAGGGAUAUUCUUAGGAUAUUCCACCAAAAUUUGGGCAUAUAGAGUGUACAAUUUGAGUUCAAAAUGUAUGGUGGAAUCAAUCAGUGUGAUUGUGGAUGAUCUAGGAUCAAGGUCAAGAGAGUGUGAUGAGGGUAGAACUGAUAUGUCAAAAGAUAUUUAAUUGAUUGAUGAAAAAUAUGAAGAUGAAAAGUUAAGUAAAUAGGAAGAAAAGAAAGAAGAGCAAGGAAAGAAAAGUGAUUGGGGGAGAAUUGGGCCAUCAAAGAAAAAUAAGUCAAGGGUACCUAAGAGCCAUCCAUUGAGCAAUGUGAUUGGGAACUAUGAGAAUAACAUGGUAACAAAGAGACAAACCCAGCUAAAUGAGAUUAGUUAUGCUUGUUAUAUCUCCCAAAUUGAACCAAAAAAUGUUAAAGAAGCCUUGAAUGAUGAAGCUUGGUUAAAGGCUCUUCAUGAAAAGCUAAAUCAAUUUUCUAGAAGUGAAGUUUGGUUUUUAGUUCCUAGACCAAAAGAUGUGAAUGCCAUUGGAACAAAAUGGAUUUUCAAAAAUAAGAUGGAUGAAAAUGGAGUGAUUGUGAGAAAUAAAACUAGGUUGGUUGCUCAAGGGUUUAAGCAAAUUGAGGGAAUUGAUUUUGAUGAAACCUUUGCUCUAGUUGCAAGACUUGAAUCAAUUUAAAUACUCUUAGUUGUAGCUUGUCUAUGGAAAUUUAAAUUGUUUCAAAUAGAUGUCAAGAGUGUCUUCCUUAAUGGGAUCCUUAAUGAAGAAGUGUAUGUGGAGCAACCCAAAGGUUCUCAUGACCCUAGGUAUCCUAAUCAUAUCUACAGACUUAUAAAAACUUUUUAUGGCUUAAAGCAAGCUCCUAGAGCUUGACAUGAAAGACUCACAUCCUAUCUUCUUAAGAAAGGAUUCAUGAGAGGGAAGCAUAUUGAAUAUUGUUCAUUAGAAAAAAUGAUGAAGUGUUCUUGGUAGCACAAAACUAUGUAGAUGACAUAGUGUUUGGCUCUACAUCUAGUGAGUGUGCUUUAGAUUUUGCCAAAGAGAUGAAAAGUGAGUUUGAAAUGAGCAUGGUAGGGGAAUUGACCUACUUUCUUGGUUUCCAAGUGAAACAACUCAAGGAUGGGAUUUUUUUAUCCCAAUCCAAGUAUGCAAGGGAACUUGUCAAAAAGUUUGGGCUUGAGUCAACUAAACAUUUUAGGACACCAAUGCUUACCAACCUAAAGCUAAGCAAGGAUGAAUCCAAAAUAGGGGUAGAGGAAACAUUGUAUAAGAGCAUGAUUGGUAGCCUCUUGUACCUCACUGCUAGUAGGUCGGGCAAAACUUUUAGUGUUGGAGUGUGUGUUAGGUGUCAAGCAUGUCCUAAGGAAUCUCAUCUUAUAGCUCUUAAGUGAAUCAUUAGGUACAUUGUUGGUACUUUAGAGCUAGGCCUUGGGUAUCUUUUUGACACUCAUUCUGAUGUAGCUUGCUACACUAAUGUUGAUUGGGCUGGAAAUAUGGAUGAUAGGAAAAACUCUUCAAGUGGUUGUUUCUAUAUUGGAAAUUGCUUGGUUGCUUGGAUGAGUAUGAAACAAAUUUUGUUUUACUCUCCACAGUUGAAGUGAAAUACAUUGUUGUAGGUAGUUAUUGUUCUCAACUUCUAUGGAUCAAGAAAAUGUUGAAAGACUAUGGAAUUGAUCAAGGAACCAUGGUUGUAUUUUGUGACAACACCAGUGCUAUCAACAUCUAUAAAAAUCCUAUUCUUCACUAUAGGACAAAACACAUUGGCAUGAGGCAUCACUGCAUUCAUGACUUAGUUGAAGACAAAGUUGUGUCCUUGGAAUAUGUUCUAAUAGAGGGUCAAAUUGUCGAUAUUCUUACUAAACCUUUGGAUGUAUCUAGGUUUGAAUCACUUAGAAGAUCCAUAAGUUUAUGCACACUCAGUUGACUUUCUCUAGAAGUUGUCUAGGACAUUCUUUUGCAUAUGCUUGAGUCAUAGUUGUCUUCCUAAGUUCCUAAAUGUAAUCAAGUUGAUGUUCUUUUUGUUUUGGUUCAAUCUUUUCUCCAUUUUUCAUAAAUUUUGAACAAUUGCUGAGUUCAUGAGAGUGACAUGCUUAUUCAUUUUUCUUUUAAAGUUAGAUUGACUCAUAAUGAUCUUAAAAGCUUCAAAAUGUCUUUAUCUCCAUGGCUUGAUUGAUAAACAUGAUAUUGAAUCCUUGCUAUUUUGAUUUGGUUAGAUAAACUUCAAAAGAUUAGUUUCACUUCUAUUAAGUGAGUAAAAGCUCAUUGUUGGACCUUGUGUUUGCAUAAAUGGUGAAUGAUGUUCUUUUAAGUCUAAAUGUAAACUUAUACCCAUUUAAUGAGCUUUAAAGAGCGAGUAAAGGCAUCCGGAAUAUCCUUGAGAGGUUGAAAUGAUUCGUCCUUGAUUGUUUGCUCUUUCUUUGAAAUUAAAUUUUUUUAAAAUGAAAAAGAAAGAAAAAUAUGAAUUUUCCUAAAAUGGUUAUGACUCUUUGGCAUUGUUUCAAGAGUUAAAAAGCCUUCAUGUUAAGAGUAGGACAUCCCUUAUGUUGUUAUGUUGUAAAGGCAUUCUUAAAGAUCCUCAGGUCAAAAAUUGAUCUUAAGGGUAAGCCUAUAUCUUUGUAUUCCUUUCAAUGCUAAAUGUGAAAAAGCAAAUAGUGUAUGAAUUUUGUUAAAGAGAUGUGAUUAAGCCAUGUUAAACAGAAAUCCGGCCAAGACGGGUGCAAAUUGACUUCUUGGAACAUUAUCUUGAAUUUCUCUAGGUAGGAAGAAUGUCUUGAAAAUGAUUUUUGGCUCAUAAAUGAAUAUAAGUUUAUAAGUGGAAAUUAUUUAACAUUCUCAUCGUUUGACCUAAGUGACAUGCGUGUAAGUUAAAAGGUGUCUCGGUGAAUCUAAGCGGGUCAAGGUUGGUGCCUAAUGGGUCAAGUGUAUCUAAAAGCUAUCCUAAAAAUGAAUGAAAAGCCUAAGUCUAAAUUAGGGCUGCCAAGGGUCACAAUAAGGGGUCAGAUAAUCCCUCAACCAAAGUCUCCGAGGUGGCUCAAAAAAAAGGUAAGUAGUAUGAGUAGUAAUGGGCCACCAAGGAACUAUUUUGAAGCACUGAAAACGAACUUAAAGUCAUGUGCUAAAGGGACAAAAUUGAGGGUCUACACCAUGGGCUAACAAUCUCCCCCUUUUUUAUGAUGACAAACCUUGGUUAUCAAGGAGAAGAAAAAUCUCCCCCUUAAACUAAUCAUGGAUCAAUCAAUCAAAAUUUAUGAAGUUAAAACCAAGAUAAUCAAGACAUGCUAGAGAGAAUGAAUUUUCAAUAAGAAAUAGUGCAAGUCAUGAAACAUAUAGACAUAUCAUAUAUAAGUCAAAUGUACAUGAAACAUAUAAGCCUAUCAUAUAUAUAAUCCAAACAAAUGAUAUGACAAUGAUAUGAAUGUAUAAGUCUCCUAGAUCCUAAAUAUCUCCCCAUUUUGGCAACAUCAAAAAGGAAUAAAGGGGGUCUUUAUGAAAUCAAGGCUGAAGAGGUGGAGGUUGAAACACGGAGCGUAGGUAAGCCAUCAUCUCCUGAUGCUGACUCUCCAGGAGAUCCUCAAUGUGCUCAAUCCUCUAUUGCAUAUACUAAAACUGAGGGGUGAAGCCAGCCUACUUUUGAUCCAUGCAAUCCUCAAUACGCUCAAAUCAAGAGGUAAAGUCAACCUAAUACUGAUCCAUGUGAUCCUUCAUGGAGUAGAACUGAGUAUCAUUGACUACAUCAAGCUCCUCCAUGUGAGUGCCUAGAGAGCCAAUCUGAGCAGAUAGAUCCAUCCAAGGUGCAUGAUCAGGAGUGUGGGGUGCCUAAUGAUGUGGUAUCUUUAUGUGAGGAGGCUCAGUGAAUGAUGGCUAAGAAGAUGGUCCCAUUGUAUAAGUCGGCUCAGAAAUCAUUAGCUCAGAAAAUGUGGCCUUAAACUGAACACCCUCUGACUGGAGUGGAGGAAUGUCAAGCCCGGGCUCUCUAUGCUGAUAUCCACUCUAAGGGUCUACUCCAUCAUUCAUCUCUCGUAUCUUGGUCUCCUCUUCUACUCUGGGAUGUGUUUGUCCCUGUUUCCGAGCCUGUGCUGGUGGUCUCUCUGCUCGCUUAACCCAAGAACCAUUGGGAGUCUUCUCAAAUUUCAUCCACCCCAUCGACUAAUCAUCAUAUGCGUCAUAAAUGUUGGAGGCCUCAAAAUUUGUCUCUCUGCUCAAAUCAACCUUGGCAUCCUUGAACACUCUGGUGAGGAAACAGCCAUAAGAGAGUAUGUGGGUCGUGUUCUCGCAACAUGAGAUCAUGUGCAUCACCAUCAAGUACCCUAAAUGGAUUCGUCUCCCCAUCAAAAUAGAGUCCAUCAGGAAUGCCUCAUAAUAGGAGACCUCGUCUCAAUGUCCACCCUAUGGUAGUAUGAUAGAGCAAAUCAUGUAAUGUAGUACUCUACUGAUCAUGGUCAAGUUGUGGGCCGAUGGUUUGCCCAUCCCCUGGGCAUCUGCAAGUUCGCAAAUCCUUUGAAUGGCCUCUAUAGGCUCGAAUCCCGGCACAGUGGGCCUAAUCUUAGACUGGUACACCCUGAGUCCAACUGGAACAAUAUCAAAAAUGUGACAGAUGGUCUCAGGGUCCAGACGGAUCUGAACUCCUCUAACGGUGGAAAUAAUUGGGUCACCAAUGCCAUAAGUAGCCCUCGAAUAAAAUACUCGCACUAGAGUCGGGAAAAUCAGCUCUGAAACCAUCACCACGGGCAGCCAACCUAUCCUACUGAAAAGCCCCUCAAACCUGAAAUGUUGGAGUUAAGAGAAAUUGAUAUUUCUCCCUGAAACUACCUUUCUCUAAGCAAAUUUUUGCUUGUACUGCUAAUAAUCCUCCACGGAGCUGAAUAAGACGGUGUCAAACCUCGCCUUGCAGCGAGCCUUUGGCUAAUAAGGCUAAGAUGGCUCAACUGGACACUUGCCCUAUGCCCUAGAGGCAAUUGACUCUCUCGUAGGAGCCAUGAGAAAAAGUGAAACACUAGAGAAGGGACUGGUAGAGAGAGAAACGAGCAAAACCAAAACCCUAGGCGCGCGAAAAAUAAGAAGAACCUGGCUAUGAUGCACGGGAGAAAGAAAAUGUAGUCCAAAACCAAAACCCUAGCUUCCAAUCCUCCCAAAAAUCUAAUCCAAAGCCUUUAAUCAGUCCAAGCCUUGCUCAAACUAGUAUUUGGAAGCCGAAAUAUGAAAAGCCUUGAAGAAUUGAGGAGAAUAGUGGAGAAAAUGAAGCACGAGAGGCUAUUUAAAACCCUAAUCCCGACGAACUGGUCGACCGGUCCUGGUCCGGUCGACUGCUUGGUCAAUGUGGUCAACGAUUUGACUUUUCACCUUUUGAGCAUUUUCUCAUUUUCUUGUCAUCCUACCCUUUUCAGUUGAAAUCCCCAAAUUUUUAUGCCCAUUGCCAAGGGAAUUUUGAUUUUUGGUCGAAAAUUGACCAUUAUCUAAGUAUAUGUCUAUAUGAUGCAUAUGACAUGAAAUCCAUGCAAUCAGAAGGCAUAUUUAUCAAGAAUUUACCAAGAAAUCAUUUGAUCAUAAGGAAAUCACCCCUAGUUGUCUUCUAAUAUCAACAAAUUGUUCUUCACUUAGAGGAUUUUUUAAAGAUAUCGGCAAGUUGAUCUUUUGUGCUUACAAAUUCAAGUGUUAUGUCACCCUUUUGUGCAUGGUGUCGAAGAAAAUGAUGUCUAAUCUCUAUAUGCUUAGUCCUAGAGUGUUGCACGGGAUUUUUUUGAUAUACUUAUGGCACUAGUAUUAUCACAUUUAAUAGGAACAUGCUCAAAAGAUAAAUCAAAAUCAGUAAGUGUUUAUUUCAUCCAAAGAAUUUGUGCACAACAUAAACCUGCUGCCAUGUAUUCGGCUUCCACCGUUAACAAAGCUACCAAAUUUUGCUUCUUACAUGAAACAAGUGAGUUUUCUAGGAAAUGACAAGUGCCACUAGUGUUUUUUCUUUCAACCCUACAAUAGGAAAAAUCGGCAUCUGAAAAACCAAUUAAUUCAAAGUUAUCACUCUUAGGAUACCAUAAGCCUAUGUCCAUUGUCCUUUUCAAAUAUCUGAGAAUUUUUUUUACGACACUUAAGUGAGACUUUAGGACAAGAUUGAAAUCUAGCACACAAGCAUACACUAUACAUAAUGUUGGGUCUACUAGCAGUCAAAUAUAGCAAAGAACCUAUCAUGCCUCUAUACAUAGUAGAGUCAAUGGAUUUACCUUUCUCAUCCUUAUCAAGCUUGAUGGAUGAGCUCAUUGGAGUCUUCAUUGUUUUGGCUUCUUCCAUGUUGAACCUUUUGAAAAGAUCUCUUAUAUACUUUGCUUGAUUGAUGAAGGUUCCUUCCUUUUGUUGCUUGAUUUGAAGUCCAAGGAAGAAGUUGAGUUCUCUUAUCAUGCUCAUUUCAAACUCACUAUGCAUGCACUUAGAAAAUUCUUCACAAAGAGAGACAUUAGUAGCACAAAAAAUAAUAUCAUCAACAUAUAUUUGAACUAAGAGCAUAUCAUUUUCUUUGGUUUUUAUGAAAAGAGUUGUGUCAAUUUUUCCCAUUUUAAAACCCUUUUUCCAAAGAAAUUUACUCAAUCUUUCAUACCAUGCUCUAGGUGUUUGUUUCAAACCAUAAAGUGCCUUAUUAAGUUUAAAAACAUGGUUAGAAAAGUUAAAACUUUGAAAACUGAGUGGUUGUUCAACAUAUACUUCUUCAUUUAUAAAGCACUUUUCACAUCCAUUUGAUAUAAAACAAAGUUUUUAAAACAUGCAAAGGCAAGUAGUAUCCUAAUGGCUUCCGACCUAGCUACAAGGGCAAAGGUUUCUUCAUAAUCUAUCCUUUCUUCUUGAUUAAAACCUUGAGCUACCAAUCUUGCUUUAUUUCUAACAAUUAUGCCAUUUUCAUCCAUUUUAUUUCUAAAGGCCCAUCUAGUUCCAAUAACACUUUGAUUUGAAGGUCUUGGUACUAAUUCCCAUAAUUCACUUCUUUCAAAUUGAUUUAACUCUUCUUGCAUAGCAAUCAUCCGAUUUUCAUCAUCUGAAGCAUCAUUUAUAUUUUUAGGCUCAAUUUGAGAGAUAAAAUCUAGAUUAUUGCAAAUGUUUCUAAGAAAUGAUCUAGUUCUUACCCCACUAAAUGGAUUACCUAUAAUUUGACCUUGUGGGUGAUUGAUGACAAACUUCCAAUCUUUAGGAAGGUCUUAGCUUGAUUCACCUUGCACUUAUUGAGAAGGGGGUAGUGCUAAUAGUGAUUCUUCUUUCUUGGGAUCCUCUCCACUUACUUCAUGUUGCCUUCUAUCGUGAAUUUUCAAUCUUCCCAUAAAGGUCUCUAAACCUAAAUCAUCAUCAAAACUCUCUCUUUCUUGGAGAGAAUUGUUAGAUUCAUAAAAAAUAACAUGGAUUGACUCAUCUACAACCAUGGUUCUUUUGUUAAAACCUCUAAAAGCUUUACUUGAAGUUGAGUAACCAAGGAAAAUUCUAACAUCCGAUUUUGCAUUAAAUUUUUCAAGAUUGUCUUUGGUGUUUAAUAUAAAACAUUUGCACCCAAAGACUUUGAAAUAACUAAUGUUGGAUUUCUUGUUUUUCCAAAGCUCAUAGGGAGUUUUCUUAAGAAUGGGCCUUAACAAUAUUCUAUUUAAAAUAUAACAAGAAGUGUUAACCGCUUUGGCCCAAAAUAUUUUCGUAAAUUGUUUUCAUUUCAUAUGGUUCUAGCCAUUUUUUGAAGAGUUCUAUUUUUCCUUUCAACUACCCCAUUUUGUUGAGGAGUUCUAGGAGCCAAAAAAUUGUGGUUAAUUCCAUGUUCAUUGCAAUACUCUUCAAAAUCAAUAUUUUCAAAUUCUCUCCCAUGAUCACUUCUUAUACAAGUAAUUAAAACACGUUUUUCAUUUUUGAACCUUAUUACAAAACUUUGAAAUUCAUAAAAGACUUCAUUCUUUUGACUUAAAAACAAGACCCAUGUGUAUCUAGAGAAGUCAUCCACCAUAACAUAUGUAAAAGACUUUCCUCCAAAACUUGGUAUCAUAGAGGGACCAAAUAAAUCCAUAUGCAACAACUUAAGUGGCCUAAAUAUGGAAAUGAAGUUUUUGUUUUUGAAAGAGUUUUUGAUUUGCUUUCCUACUUGACAAGCUUCAUAAACUUUAUCAUUUGAAAAUUUAUUUUGGGAAGGCCUCUAACAAGUUCAUCUUUGUUGAGUUGGGAAAUGAGGUCCAUGUUAGCACGUCCCACCUCUUAUGCCACAACCAACUUUGAUCAUGCAUGCUUGAAAAGCAUCUAUCAUUGUCAUCAUAUUUUGAAAUAUUUAUAGCUUAAACAUUAUCACAUAUAUGGCCCAUGAANNNNNNNNNNNNNNNNNNNNNNNNNNNNNNNNNNNNNNNNNNNNNNNNNNNNNNNNNNNNNNNNNNNNNNNNNNNNNNNNNNNNNNNNNNNNNNNNNNNNCUACUAAUAAAACACUUUCAAUAAGAGAGGAUGUGUCAUUACCAAUGUUGCCUUGACCAAUGAUCCUUCUAUAGACCCUCUAUUUUGUUUUCCUAGCACUUGUCCUAUUAGGUAUUUUUUCGAUACUUUACAGCAAUUUCUUGGUGGCUCAUUGCUACUCGUGUAACCUAUAUUUUCUAAGCCACCUUGGAAAUUUUGGUUGAGGGAUUUACCUAACCCCAUUAUGACUCUUGGCAUCCCUAUUUAGACUUAGGAUCACUUAGGCACCUCAGGCUCACUUAGGCACCUCAGACUCACUUAGGCACCUUAGGCCCAUUUAGGCACCCUAGGCCCAAUUAAGCACCCUAUGCCCACUUAGGCACCCUAGGCCCACUUAGGCACCCUAGGCACAUUUAGGCACCCUAGGCCCACUUAGGAACCCUAGGCCCACUUAGGCACCCUAGGUCCACUUAGGCACCCUAGGCCCACUUAGGCACCCUAGGCCCACUUAGGCACCCUAGGCACAUUUAGGCACCCUAGGCCCACUUAGGAACCCUAGGCCCACUUAGGCACCCUAGGCCCAUUUAGGCACCCUAAGCCCAUUUGGCACUACUCUAGGUCCACUUAGGCACCUUAAGCCAAUUUAGAUCAUUUUUUUAUUUUUUUAUUUGCAUUGAUGCAUGGUUUACAUGGCAAGUAGGGUUGCAUGGCUUGUAUGACUAACACGUGCUUUAUUUUUUUAUUUUUUUUUAUUAUUAUUAUUUUUUAAUCUUUUGUUUAUUAUUGCAUGCAUUUAAUAAUUAUAUUUAUUCUGUUUACUUUUUAUUUAUUUAUUUGCUUAUUUAAUAGAAAAUUGCUUGAAUUGCUUUGACUUUAAAUAUGCAUGUGGUUGCAUUAUUAAAUCAUAGAAUCACAUAAUUUAGUCUUUUUUUAUUUUAUUUAUCAAUCUCACGAUUUUCAUUAGUUUUUUUUUUUUUUUUUUUUUUUUUUACUUUUUAAAGUUUAUUUUGUUUUGUUUUGCAUGAGGAAAUGAUUACUUAUUUGGGAAUGGGGAAUCAAGGUCAGAUUUUUUUUAAGGAAAAAAAAAGGUCAAUGGGCUAUGUAUUUUUUGGAAUGAAAAAUCAGGAUGGGAAGAAGAGUGUCUUUUAAAGCCAUCUAUGGAUUUAGAAUAGCUAGGGGAAAUCUGCAAGGAAUGUCCACACACAACCACCAUUAGAAAGUAAUGCGGGGGACUUAAAAAUGGACAACACAUAUUCACCAUGGGGCUAAAGGGUGAUUUAGUAGUAUGUGCAAGAUGGAUCUCCAACGUUCUGGUGAAUGAAUGAAGUCGGUUUUAUGGAAAAAUACAAAGGACAGUUGGGAGAACAUCACGCGUAUGGUUGAAAGAAAUAGUGAGCGUUACAUGAAAAGAAGACUUACCAUUCCAGGAGGGGAGGAGCAAGACGAUUCUGAGCAAGUUGGUGGAGGAUUUUUUAAUUUUUUUUUUAGCGAGACCUUGAAGAUAGAUUCAACCACGUCUUAGGGAGAAAGUUGGCUACACCGUUCUAGAGAAAGAGCGAGUGAUCCUCUCUGUUGGACAUUUUUUGCUAUUAGAAGAAGCACCCUAUUCAUCUAAAACAAAUAAGGCACCAUUAGAAAGAGAAAGAAAGUAGGGGCAAUUGCACCGAGGGAAAAGAGGAACAGUUUGGAACACGGGAGCAGCCACACAAUUCUGGGAGUGAGAGAGCACCAUUGGAAAAUUUUCUGAGUAGCCACACGAUUCCGGAAGUGAGAGAGCACCAUUGAAAAAUUUUUGGAGCAACCACAUGAUUCCGAGAAUGAGAGAGCACCAUUGGAAAAUUUUUGGAGCAGCCACACAAUUUCGAGAGUGAGAGAGCACUAUUGGAAAAUUUCUGGAACAACCACACAAUUCUGACAAGUAGAGAGGUGCAAUUGCACCGUAGAGAAAAGGAAAAAUGAUACAUCCACGCACCAUCAAUUGUGGCUUUUGAACAUGCUCCAAGUCAAGUCAUCAAUUUUUCACAACUCACAGGUUAGUAAUCUUGAUAUUUUUGUUUGUUGAACUUUAAAGAUCAAGUGAGUGUAGAAUGAGAUUAUGGUAGGGUAUGAUGGAGUUAAUGGCUUUUCUUGAACUAAAAAAAAAUAUAAUCAAAUGAAUUUAAAACAAUAUGGUUGGCAGUGAGAGACAUCAAUGGGUGAUGUUUGUCUGCAAUUCAAAAAACUAAAUGAGUGGAAUAAAUACACGAUCAACAUAUUUGUAAAAUACAAGGUAAUGGCUUUAAUUGAUUUGUUUAUUUAUUUAUGUAUGAACAAAAUGAAUGUGUCUAACAUAGAUGGAUGUUAAUGGAUAUAUUUUUUAACUCUAAGAACUAAUGGUAUGAAUUUUAAAAGGUGUGAAAUGUGGCAGAUUGCAGGAUGUUUGUGGGAUGUCGAUUUGUGAAUAAAAAAAAAAUUGAAUCCAUGAAGGUAUGUUGGUGACGUGUUGCCUUUGAAGGAAACAAUAAUAAGAAAUUGAAAGGUUGAUUUGAAAAUUCCAUUUGAGAAUGUAGCUAGUUAUAGAAUAUGUUAGUAGCAUGAGAUUGUUAAAAAAGAAAAAAAUCCAAUGAAUGUGUGUAGCAUAUGUGAGUGGCAUGUUGUUUGUUUUGUAAAAAAAAAAUAUCUAAUGGAUUUAUAUGAGAUAUGUUAAUGAUUGUUUGAAUAAAAUAUAAAUCAAGUUAGGAUUUUUAGUUGUUAGUUUUUGAAUAUAUAUUUUUUAUUUUUUUUAUCUUAGUUAUCAUUAUUAUUAUUGCUAAUCUCAUGUUAAUUUUUGUAAGAAUUUGUCUUGGAUAAUUUAGGAUGAUAGUUUAAAAAUUAGAUGUUUUAUUCGUUUUGGAUAAUUUUGUGAUGUUAAUGAAAAGUUAGAAUAUUUUGUAAGUUUUUAGUUUUCAAUAAUUUGGAUAUUAAUGAAAAGUUAUUAUUUUGUGACGAAUCUUUAGUCACGGCCACAAAUUUCGUGACCAAAGAUAUUAUUUUGUCACGGCCAGAGUAAAAUUGUGACUAUAUGUGUUAAUCAAGGAUGGUGAAAAAAAAAACAUGUUUAGUCACGGAGAUUUUAUGAACCGUCACCAAAAGGAUUGAUGAGAGGGUAUUUUAGUGACAGAUUUAUUUGAAUCCGUGACUAUUUGUAAAUUUAGGGAGGGAAAUUUUGGCGUCAAUACUUUUAGUCACGGUAAUUUUAUCAUUCUUGACCAAAAGUGUAACAAAUGAUGUUUUAGUCACGUUUUUUUGUGAAACCGUCACUAUAUAUAUAUUUUUGUGAAUUUUAGUCACGCUAUUGAUUGACCGUGACUGUAUGGGAACUUAUAGUCACAAAUUUCACAUUGACCGUGACCAAAUACAUAAAGAAAUAUUUUGAACCUAUGGUCACGGGGUUCACACAAUCGUGACCAAAGUCUAUUAUUUAUUUUAAACCAUUUUUGGGUUACCUAUUAUAAUUUUUUAGAUAAUAUAUAUAUAUAUAUAUAUAUAUAUAUAUAUAUAUAUAUAUAUAUAGAUAUAUAGAUAUAUAGAUAUAUCAUAAAAAUUAUUAUUAAUAGUAAUAAUAAUAGUUCUUAUUAAUUUUUCCUUAGUUAAAAUUAUUUAAUUUCCUUGUUAUGAUUAAUGCUUUAAUGAGAAGUAAAAUAAAGUUUAAUAUAUUAGUUUAAAAAUAUGAUGGUUCAAUUUGAUAUUAUUUGGUAAAAAAUUUAAAUGCAAGUGACAUUUACUCCACAAGUCUAUGAGUUUAGCUUUAAAAAACCAAAGCCAAAAUAUUAACUUAGUCUGAGAAGGUGGGGGAGGAGGAGGGGCCUAAUCUCUACUUAGCUGCAUUUGACCUAACUUUUUGAUUGGAAAUGUAGAGGAUAAUAUUGUUUAUUGAGUGAAUCCCCCCGUGGCCCAUUUCUUUCCCAUUAAAUAAAAUUGCCAUGUUUUGGUGAACCGAACGACCCAAUGCCAAAAUAAAUAUUAUUAUUAUUAUUAUUAUUAUUAUUAUUAUUAUUAUUAUUAUUAUUAUUAUUAUUAUUAUUAUUAUUUGGUUCAUUUUCCAAUCUAGGUAAACUUCGGCCACCUCACCUACCCUCUAACUUUAAUCCCUUCAAGCAAAUUGUAGCAUAGCCCUUAACUCCGACCCUUCAUCAAUUACCAGAUUUUUUAUAAGAGUAUGACAGUUUUUAAAAAUAAUGCCUAAAUUAUCGUGGUAAAAAAAAUAAUUCCAAAUCUAUGUAGUUUUGUCCAACGAGGAGAGAGAAUAAAUUUGUAAGUGAGAAAUCGUCUCUUCAACAGACGAUUUUUACAACAAAAAAAAAAGUGAGAAAUUCUCACUUAAAAAAAAAAAACAAACCUUAAAAUUUUUUUUUUCAUUCUUUAUUCUAUUUAUACAAUAAUUCGAUUAUUAUAAAUAUAUAUUAUAAAAUUAAUUAAUUUUAUUUACUAAAUUUAAUUUAUAAAUAAUAUACUAAAUUUAAUAUAAGAUAAAUAAUAUUUAUAUAUUAUUUUUUUCUUUCACUUUGGAAUUAAAAAAAAAAACUAUUAUCAAUUUUAUAUGAAAAUUGAGUUUAAAUUUUUUUUUAAAGUUAAAAAUAUAUAUCUAUAUAUAUUUCUUUGUUUUUUCCAUAUGAUACGUUGGUCAACUUUCUUUUUUGUCGCAUUUUUCAAUGUCAUGUGGCCGCCCAACUCACAUUAUUUUUGUAAUAAAUAGAUUUAAUGAUUUUUUUUUCCCAUCAUGUGAAAGCGAAUCUUGGGAAUGACGAGGCAGUGGAAAGCCAAAUUCUAAUUAUGUUGGCGAUUAGGUUCCAGUGCCCAUUAAUUACUUUGAAGAACGUGAUUCUUUUUUAAAUAUGAUUUAUAUCCGAAAAAAACAAGGGGAUUUUGAUUCACUAAUUUGAAAAAAUAAAAAAUAAAAAAUCUUAUAAAUCAGUUUUAUCCUUAUCUAUUUAAAAAUAUUUUAAAAUAUAUACAUUUUUUUAAAAUAUCAUUUUACUUGAUAAUAUUAAAUAAAAUUAUCAAAAAAUUAAUUUAUUAUUUUAAUUUGAUAAAAGUAUUUUAUAAAUCAAUAUAUUACAAAUUUUUCCUUAUAUAAUAUUAUAUAUAAAUCAUUUUGAAAAAAAAUCAUUAAGAUGCUCAAGUCAUAAAUACUAAUUUAAAAUUUUUUUAAUUAAUAAUGAUUUUAUAUAGUGUUUUAUAUAAAUACAUUCAUCUUUCCUUUAAUAAAAUUGAAUAAAAACAUCAACAAUAAAAUGAGAAAUUUUAAAAGUUAAAUACAAUUAAAAAAAAUUAAAUAUAAAUAAGACAAAAAACUUUAAAAAAUAAAAUAUUGACUUUUAUUGUAUUUCCAACUCUUUCUUGAUAUCUAUAUUUUCUAGUGUUAUUUAGCCAAAAGUUAAUGUUUUAUUUUUAUAUUUUUAACUUUAAAAUUUAAACUCAAUUUUCAUAUAAAAUUGAUAAUAGUUUUUUUUUUAAUUCCAAAGUGAAAGAAAAAAAAUAAUAUAUAAAUAUUAUUUAUCUUAUAUUAAAUUUAGUAUAUUAUUUAUAAAUUAAAUUUAGUAAAUAAAAUUAAUUAAUUUCAUAAUAUAUAUUUAUAAUAAUCGAAUUAUUGUAUAAAAUUUACCUUUCUUGAUAUCUAUAUUUUCUAGUGUUAUUUAAAAAAUAAUGUUUAUCUUAUAUUAAAUUUAGUAUAUUAUUUACAAAUUAAAUUUAAUAAAUAAAAUUAAUUAAUUUUAUAAUAUAUAUUUUUAAUAAUUGUAUUAUUAAAAACUAUAUAUAUAUAUAUAUAUAUAUAUAUAUAUAUAUAUAUAUAUAUAUAUAUAUAUAUAUAUAUAUAUAUAUAGCUUUAUUAAAAGACGUUUUUAAUCUAUGAUGUGGGCUUGGCCACAAUUUAAGAUCUUGAGAAAUUUUUUUAAUUCCUUUUGAUGCCACUUUUCCUUGGCUACUACUUAAUCUAUGAGUGGACAUUGCUUGGCCACAAUUAAGGUCUUGAGUUUUAUUUUAUUUUAUUUUAUUUUAAUAUUUUAAUUAAAAUUCUCAUUGCAUGAAGAGAUGUUGCUGAAUUUUCUAGCAUAUAUUUUCUAUUAUAUAUAAAACUUUAUUUGAAGCAACAAAAUUUUAAUCUCUAAUAAUACAUAUAUUCAAACUAUAUAUUCCAAAAAUAUAUAAAACAUAUUUAUAUACAUAUCCAAAUUGGAUAAUCGGAUAAUAAUCCCCGAUACAAAGUUUUUUUGCUAAAUAACAAAUUACAUCAACCAACUUAUAGGCCAAACAAAAAACCAUAGGCCAUAAAAUUGAAACAUUAUUUCAAUAGACAAGAUGUACAAGUGCAGAGCAACUGCCUCAAGGAUACCACUCCCCUAAUUAAUCACAUCAUUUAUAAAUCAUCAUUUGCACUUUCAAGCAGCCAUCUAAAUUUAUCUCCAAUGAAUCAUAUCUCAAAAGGUAUUUCUAAACUCUGUGGGAAAUCACGUUGAUAAGCCACAGAAGCUUGGGAUUUAAAAGCCAUAGAAAAUCACAUCUUGCCCCUACAAAAGUAAUCAUUCAUUCAAAAGGUAGAAAAACAAUAGCUUUAUUAAAAGAAUUCACUUGAGGAAGAUUUACAACAAUCCAGAGAAUAUAUAACGUAUUUAUUAAAAACUGUCGUACUCUUAUAAAAAAUCCAUCAAUUACCCUCUUUAAGCUCAAUUCUCUUGUUAGAAGAAGAUUUUGUUUCAUGGUGAUUUUAUGGAACAUUUUUAAUUUAAAAAAUAUUUUUUAUAAAAUAUUAGUACUAUGUUUGAUUUAGAAAAAUUGGAAGAAAAAUGAGAAAAAAGAACAUAGAGAAAAAAAAAAGUGAAUAAAUUUUUUUUUAAUUUGAUAAAUUAUUUUACACUUUUUUUUAAACUCAUUUCACUUAUAUGAUAAUGAUUUAAUAUCUUUUAAAAAAUAAAAUAAGACUAAAAAUUUAUUUUACAAUGGUUUUAAAAAGCAUUUUUAAUUUAAAAAGUAUUUGAUAAAAUUUUAAAAAAUUUUAAAAUAUAAUAUUAAAAAAUCACUUGUAAUAUUUUUUUUUUAAAUGCUUUUACUCGAAAAACACCUCCAAUAAAAAGAUUUUGAAUAGAAACACUCCGGAACGUGCUCUAAUUAAAUUAAAAUAUAAUAUUAAAAAAUUUUAAAAUAUAAUAUUAAAAAAUCACUUAUAAUGUUUUUUUAAAAAAAAAUGCUUUUACUCGAAAAGCACCUCCAGUAAAAAGAUUUUGAAUAGAAACACUCCAGUAAAAAUAUCACGUGUUUUUCUCACCAUCUAAUCGCCAUUUCACCGUCACAGAAUCUCUGGCACAGUCCCAACCACGCCUUUUUUCUUUCUCCGGUAGGGUUCUACGACUAAGUAUCACUCACUGAAGCUACUGAUCUGUUAACGACAGAAGUUUGGGGAUCGAUUAUUUGCUUGAUUUGAUUUUUGGGUAAGAUCUCGAUAUUUCCUUAUUUUAUGUCUCUGAGUUUUUUAGAUCUAGAAAUUACUUGUGUCUGUUCAGUUUUAGCGUGAACUGGAGCCAUCUUCCCAUGAAAUUUAUACUUUAUUAAUCUUUUCUAUUUUCAAUUCAUGAAAAGGUUGUUUCCUGUUUCAAGGGUUCUCUCAAAUUAUUUGUUUGUUUUUUCUUUUAAAUUCUCAAAUUAUAUUAGAAGGUCCCAGAUACUUCCCCAAACACACUCAAAUAGCGAAAUUCCGAGGACGUUGCUGUUAGGAAACUCCAGGUAUUUCACUUACCUCUCGAGGAAUUCCUGCUCUGUCGUUAUCUUUGAGGGUUCGGUUAAAUGGUUGGUAAAUUGAGCUUUUUUUUUUCUUCAACUAGGGUUUCUUGUUGAGGAAUUGUUUUUCCAGAACAGAAUUGAGGUUAAAAAUCUAAUCCAAUUUUCAUCUGAAAGUGCAAUUUAUGGGCAUCAAUUAAGGAACGUUGUGAACUUGUGUGAUUAUUGCAAUUGCCUACCAUAAGCUUUCAUUUUGGAAGGGGGUUAAAAACAGUUUUUAUUCUUCAAAAAGAAAAAAAGUUCUUCAAUUUUUAAAAUCACAUUGGAAGAAUUUUGUGCUGAAACUAGUGUUUUUUUAUCCCAAGAAUCAACAUAUUAUAAUAUAUAUAUAUAUAUAUAUAUAUAUAUAUAUCUAAAACAAAAUAAAAUUUUAAAAAUAAAUUUAAAGUGUCUAAAAUAUUUUUUUAUGGUAUUUUAAGAAAUAAUUAAAAAUACAAUGAAUAGAUGGAGAAUAUUGGGAAUAGGGUUGAUAAUGAGAUAGGAUUUUUCGGGUAUCUUUACCUUCAAUAAUAUUUCACUUUCCUAUUAUGAUAAAUCAUAGUAACUAAGAUAUUUUUCAUAUUGAAAAUAAUAAUUAUAUAAUAUAAUUUAUAUUUCCAAUAUGUAUCUUAAAAUGUGAUAGGUUUGUACUAUAACAAGUUCUUUAUUUUUUAAUCCUUAUUUGUUAAUUUUUUUAAAAACUUAUCAAUAUCUCUUAUUAUUAUUACUAUUUAUCUUAAUUUUGUAAAAGACAAUUAUUUAAAAUAAAGCCUAUAAUUUUUUUUAAAAAAAUCUUAAUCUCCUUUUUCAAAUAUAAUAUUGCAUAUAUUGUGAUUUAAUUAAUCAUUUACGUUGUUUUAGCCAUUAUUUUUAUUUAUUUAGAGAUAAUGUCGAAUUAUGUGAAAUCCUUAUUUAUCUUCCAGUAAAAAUAGGGGAAUUUUGUUAUGUUGUGGGAAAUUAUAAAUGAGAAGCCUUGAUAUUAAAUUCUCUCUUGGAGUGCAACUUGAUAUUAGAGUUAUAAUAUUGCAAUAGUUAAUCUUGUGAUUCUUCUCCUAAGUACAGCCGUAAAAAGUAUGAAUUAUGAAUUGUCUUAGAUUCUCAAUUGAUUGCAUCCAUUGUUAUGAUUCUUUCUUUCUUUCUUUUUUAUUUUUUAUUUUUAUUUUCUAAUCACCAUUAGUUUUACUCUUAGAUAAUACUAAAAAUUUAUUUUAAAAAAACACUUUCAAUAAUAACAUGCUUACUCCUCUUUUCUUAUCCUUAUCUUCUCCUAAGCUCGGGGAAGUGCUUUUGGGGUACGUACAAAUUAUCUUUUAUGUCAUUAGAUUUAUCGAAAAAGUAUCUUAAAUCGCUUUUUUUAAUUAAGAAAAACAAAUUUUUUAAAACUUUGUUUCUAAUAAUAUAUUUGAAUUUAUUUUUAAAAAUUAUUAUUGAAGAUAAAAUAUUAUAGAUAAAAGUUAUUUUUAAUAAAUAUAAAAAAUAAAUUUUUAUUUAAAAUAUAUAUUUUUUUUAAAUUAUUCUAAUUUUUUUUUUAGAAUUGUUUUAAAAAAUAUUCCAAAAUAGUCCUAUUAUUUUUCUUAAGAAAUGAAAAAUUGGAUAUAUAUAAAAUUAUAUUAAAUGUAACUACAUCUAUAUGAGAAGAAAUUAUAUAUCUUAAUUUCAAUGUUAACUUAUUAACUUAAAGUGGAACGUUGCAAAUAAACUUUUUGUUUAGAAAAUCUUGGUGGGCCCAUGCCCAUCAACAAAAAAUAAAAGCUUUCGAAAAAUAGGCCACUCAAAUCAAUUCCUCUUUUUUUUUUUCUUUCUUUCUUUUUUUUUUUAGCUAUGGUUAUAACUCGGAUGGGUUGAAUGGGUCUGAAGGUUAAUCCGUGUCAAAUCUAUUGAUUCAUAUGUCCAACCUAUUCUAAACCUAAUAUAAGGUCGAAUCGAAAAGGUCCAAUCUAUUCUAAACCUAAUAUGAAGUUGAAUCGAGAAGUUUCAACCCGUGUUAAGCUAAUGGGCAAUAGGGGCUCCAAUAAGUACUUGUUAGUUUUCAAGGGUUAUCAAACAAAAUGUAUAUAAUAGAACUUUUGAUGAAUAAAAUAUUUAUUUCAAAUUAAUAAAAUAUAAGUCAUAUUAUAGAAUAAAAAUUUUAAAGUUAAAUGUCUCAAAACUAUCAAUUAUAUUAUUCGUUACUAGUUUAAUAUAAAUGACAACUCUAACCUCAAGUUUAAAUAUUCUAAAAUAUUUUAAUAAUUAUAAAGAAUGAUAAAUUUAUUAGCAUAGUACAAUUAUAAAAAGAAAAGGUUAAAAUUCCUUUAUUAUCCUGUUCAUAUUUUUUACAUUUUAAAUAAAAUAAUAAUAAUAAUAAUAAUAUACAAGUUCAAGUUUCAACAAGUUGCUCGUACUUUCAACACACGCCAACCCUAAUCUUCUUAGAUUGAUAUUUUUCUAAUUCAAACUCUUCCUUAACUUGUUCACACCUUGUCCAUGGUAUUAGGAAUAGGAUCAAGGGUGCAUGUUCUCUAGAUCCCAAGAAUACUAAAUCUAUCAAUAAUGAAAGUAAAAACAUCUCCUAGAUCUUAUUCCAAUUGAUGUAAGAAUCUCAUAAACCUUAUAAUCUUCCACCCUAUCACUCAAUCUUUAAUCCUUGGCACUUGUAUAAAGUUGCAUCUAUUGUUGAUUUUAUGCAAUAGAAAUAUUAGUUAUUCAUUUCUAUAAAUUAUCGAAUGUGUUAGUCUCAUUGUGUGUUUUUAUCUAUUUCUUUUCUAAUAUUAUUUGUCAUUAAUUUUAUCAUUUACUCAUUUUCAUUUUAGAAAACCCUAGAAAUCCCGUUCAAGUAUCCUUGCUUGACAAAUGUCUCUUUUAUCAUAUACUAAAAACAGAUAAGUUGUAGAAUUUUGGAUAUGAUUAUUUAUUGUGGUCAUAUUCAAGUUUUCAACCUAUGUGUUUUGUAUAUGAUUGGUAGAAUUGUCUGCAAAUGAUGCUUGAAUUGUCCGUUUGGACAGUUUGGAAAUACAUAAUAUCUAUGAAAUCACACGCCUAUGCUUUAGCAUAUUGAUAAGUUUUGACAGUGAUUCCCUUUGUUCUCUGGGUGCAUAUUUGGAGAAGGUAUGUUUAUACCUUAGCUAAUUCGUGUACUUGGAGAACUAUGGGGAAAUGUUGCCGAAAUUUUAUCUGAAACUAAGCAUGUUAGUGAUUGAUUCAUAGGGAUUAUGUAUUUCUAAAUGGGAUAGGAACCACUACCAAAUAUAGGAAUUUGAGAUGAUAAAAAACAUCACAUUCAUUAUAAGUUGAUAUGAAGAUUCAUUGUUAUGUGAUUGAAGGGUUUAAUUUGCGGAAGUACGAGAAAAAUGCCAAUAGAUAAGAGUUGGAUGCAGAAGUCAAGAGUAAGUAGUGAAUACUAUAAAGGAGUUUUGGAGUUCUUAGACUUUGCCUUUAGCAAUGCACUUGGAAAAGAAAUGCUCCCAUGUCCUUGCAUUCGUUGCAAUAAUUGUUUUAUGCAGAAGCGAGAAAUCAUGUAUGACCAUUUGUUGGACAAUGGGAUAGCUAGAAAUUAUGUGCGAUGGUUGAUGCAUGGGGAAUAUGAGUUUUGCGAACCUACAAAUACUAGCACUAAUGAGUCUGAUAUGCAUGAUGAGAUGCAAGAAAUGUUAAAUGAUGCAUUUGGAAUGCCAAUGCCAAAUGAGGAAUCUGAAAGAAGUCGACAUGUGUAUGAGGAGUUUGAAAAACCAAAUGAGGAUGCAAACAAAUUUUAUAAUUUGUUAAGCAGAGCAAGAACUAUAUCCAGGGUGUAAAAAAUUCACAAAGUUGUCUUUUAUCAUAAGAUUAUUUCAUAUGAAGUGUCUUAAUGGAUGGAGCAAUAAGUCCUUUACAAUGUUGCUUGAAUUGAUGAAGGAUGCAUUUCCUGAGGGUGAGACAUUGCCAAGCAACUAUUAUGAAGCAAAAAAAAUACUUUGUGACCUUGGCCUUCAUUAUAUCAAGAUUGAUGCAUGCCCCUCAGAUUGCAUGUUGUAUUCAAAAGAGUAUGCAAAUGCAAAUGAGUGUGUCGUUUGUGGUGUCUCUAGAUGGAAAUCAAGUGAUGAGCAUUCUACAGAUGAGUUCACUAAUUCAGCAAAGAAAAAGAAAAUUCCUGCUAAGGUCUUGCGUUAUUUUCCUUUAAAACCAAGACUUCAAAGGUUAUAUAUGUCAUCUAAGACAGCUUCUCACAUGAAAUGGCAUGUUGAUGGUCGCAUGGAAGGUGAGAUGAUGAGGCAUCCAGUGGACUCUUUGGCUUGGAAAAACUUCGAUAACGUACACCCUUCAUUUGCACUAGAACCUCGAAAUGUUAGGCUCAGUUUAGCAAGUGAUGGGUUCAAUCCUUUUGGGAAUAUGUCAAUUUCAUACAGCAUGUGGCCUGUAGUUCUUAUUCCAUAUAACUUACCACCUUGGAUGUGUAUGAAACAAACAUUCUUCAUGUUGUCACUACUUAUUCCUAGUCCAACUGCACCUGGGAAUGACAUUGACAUAUACUUACAACCAUUGAUAGAUGAGUUGAAUGACUUAUGGGACGUUGGAGUUGAAACAUAUGAUGCUUCAACAAAACAAAAUUUUUGUAUGCGUGUAGCUAUAUUAUGGACCAUCAAUGAUUUUCCUGCAUAUGCAAAUCUUUCAGGUUGGAGUACUAAAGGGAAAUUUGCUUGUCCUAUUUGUAAUAAGGAUUGUUCUUCAUUUCGAUUACAAAACGGACGGAAAUGGUGUUACAUGGGUCAUCGUCGAUUUUUGCCAAUUGAUCAUAGAUUUCGACGUGAUAAAAAGUCCUUUGAUGGAAAUGAAGAGCAUAGAGCAGCACCUAAACAAUUGUAUGGGGAAGAUGUCCUACAUCAAUUAGAUGGAAUGGAACAUAUUACUUUAGGGAAAACAUCAAAAAAUAAGAUGUCAGCAAAAAGAAAAAAAGAACAUGUUGAACUUGAGCAUAAUUGGAAAAAAAAAGCAUAUUUUUCUAAUUGCCAUAUUGGAAAACCCUCAUUUUACAUCACAAUUUGGAACAAUGCAUAUUGAAAAGAAUAUAUGUGAUAGUAUAGUUGGCACUUUGUUGAGUAUUGAUGGUAAAUCGAAAGAUAACUUCAAUAGUCGUCUUGACUUGCAAGCUAUGGGUAUCAGAGAUCAACUUCACCCCAUACAAAGAGGGAAUAGGGUUAUAUUGCCUGCUGCAUGCUAUUCACUAACUUCAAAUGAAAAAAAGGAAUUCUGUAAAUUUUUGAAAGAAGCAAAGGUUCCAGAUGGUUAUGCUUCUAACAUCUCUCGGUGUGUACAAGUGAAUGAAAGAAAGAUAUUUGGAUUGAAGUCUCAUGAUUGUCAUGUUCUCAUGCAACAACUCCUUCCACUUGCAAUUCAAGGAGUUCUACAUAAGAAUGUUUGUGCUGUUAUAGUUGAACUAUGUAGUUUCUUCAAACAGUUGUGUUCUAAAGUGUUAAAGACUGAUCAAUUGGAGCACCUUGAGAAUGACAUAAUAGUCACACUUUGCAAAUUAGAAAGAAUAUUUCCUCCAUCAUUCUUUGAUGUUAUGGUGCAUUUACCUAUUCAUCUUGCAAGUGAGGCAAAGGUUGUUGGACCAGUGCAAUAUCGAUGGAUGUAUCCUAUCGAGCGGUAUGUUCUCAUUCAAUUAAUCUUAUGGAUAUUAGGUUUCAUAUAGUUCAUGAAACAAAUCUAUCAUGUUGUGAAAUGAUAGGUAUUUACGUACAUUAAAGUCUUAUGUCCGUAAUAAGAGUCGUCUAGAAGGUUCUAUUGCAGAGGGGUACAUAGCAGAAGAAUGUACAACCUUUUGCUCAAGAUAUUUGCAUGAUGUUGAAACAAAGCAUGACCGUGAAGAAAGAAAUUAUGUCAUUGAAAAUAACAUAACAAAUGGUGGAGGGUUAACCAUUUUCAAAUGCAUGGGACGUACAAUAGGGAAGUCAACAUCUCGUGUUCUUAGCACAGAAGAAUGGUCCCAAGCACAUUUAUAUGUGUUGACUAAUUGUGAGGAAGUGACGUCAUUUAUUGAGUAAGACACUUAUUUGAAUAAAACUUUAUACUAAUUCUCAUACAAAAAUUUAAUUUUGGUCUUUGUGAGCAUUAUAAUUAAUUUUUUCUUUUUUAUCAGAGAGCAUAAGCAAUCUAUAAGGGUUAAGCCUCGUAUUGGUGCACGAGAUGUAGAUUUGAUUCACACAAGAGAAUUCAUUAGUUGGUUUGAAGAACGUGUAAGUUCAUUCACUACAUAAAUUGUUCUAUUAUCUAAUACACAUGUAUGUAUUAACAUCUUAUAUUUGAAUCUAUAGAUUAUACAAAUGCGACAUGAAGGUUCAAUUUCUGAACACAUACUAUCAUUGUCUUGUGGACCAAGUACAUUAGUUACAUGUUAUAAAGGAUACAUCAUUAAUGGGUUCAGAUUUCACACAAGAGAACGAGAAAAGAGGAAAAAAAACUCAAAAUAGUGGAGUUGUUGUGACCGUAGAGGUAUCAAGCUUUGCAAGUGCAAGAGAUAAGAACCCAAUUCCUGGUCAUGUUUCUUACUAUGGUGUGCUAACUGAUGUAAUUGAGUUACAUUACCUUGGUGGAAAUAGAGUUAUUUUAUUCAAGUGUGACUGGUGGGAUGUAAUCAAUAGUGGAAGGGGAAUAAAAAAGGAUGAAUAUGGGUUCACGUGUUUGAAUUUUGAACGUACCAUAUGCAUAGAUGAGCCAUUUGUGCUUGCAUCUCAAGCAAAACAAGUCUUCUAUGUUCAAAAUUCAAAUGAGGAAAAUUGGCACACCGUUGUAGAGAUACAAACUCGAGGGGUUUAUGAUAUGAAUAAGAAAGUAUCUACUAAUGAUCCAGAGCCAUAUCAACAGUUUAUAACACCUCAUAGUCAAUGUGAUGUGCAUGAGUUGGCCGAGAAUGAUUUAAUCAAUUGGGAUAGAAAUGAUAUUGCAGGAGAAACUAUCCAAACAGAUGUUCUACUAUCACGACAAGAAAACAUUGUUGAAAGACAUAAUGAAUUUAUUCAGGAUGAUGUGUAGCUAAUAAUAUUGGUAAGUACAUAAAUAUAUACUUACAAAAUAUACAAAUUGUAAUUUAUUUCAUAUUAUUUCUGUAACUUAUUUUGUAUUACUUUUUCUAAUUUACUUUAUUAUGUAGGAAAUGUCACAUCGAAGAGGAAGAGUACAAAUAGUGUCUCCAGAAGAUGAGUUGGACAAUCUACAACUCUUAGACAUACAACCUGCUGCAACUACUACUCCUAGUAGUUCUAAUCCUUCCGAUUCUUCAGAUCCUUCAGUUGUUGGUAUGAUUAAGAAAAUUAUGUUUAACUUUACAUAUGAUAAGUUUACAUAUGUUUAAUUUCUUGAAUGAUAGGUUGUUAAUGUUUAAUUUUAUAUAAGAUAAGUAAAUUAUGUCUCUUUUAAUUUCAUUAUUACUCUUAAUAGGUUCAUCCUCUAGCAAAAAGAGGACACGUGGCCCAACACGUAACUUAGAUUUACUUAGUAUGAAACCCGGGGAAAAAAACCUACAAGAUUCAAUACCAGAGGGCAAGUUGUUUAUGAUGGAAAAGGGGAAAGAUUGUCAAGCUAUAUGGGAACAUUGGUGCGAUCUCAACACAAUGUGCCCAUCCAAGUUCAAGAUUGGAAUCAUGUUAGUGAAGAUGUGAAGGAAAAGAUUUGGGCCUUAGUAUUGGUAUAUGCUAGUUACUAUUCAAUCUAAAUUGUAAUGUUAUUGUUUAAAAAUGAUACCUCUUAUUUAUACAUGACAUUUUAAUGCAAUACAGGAAAAAUAUGAACUAGAAGAAACAUGUAAGAGCUACAUUCUUCAAUGUUGUGGAAAUUUUUUUAGAAGCUAUAGAAAUAAAAUGAAGGCCAAGUAUUAUAACCCUUAUAAUACAGAUGAGGAGAGAUUGUGUCAUCGACCUCCACACUUAUCAGAUGAUGAUUGGAGGUGGCUCAUCCACUUUUGGGGUACACUUGAAGCCAAGGUAAAGAUAAUGAUAUUUUCUUGAUAAUGUAUCUUAUGAUACUCAUAUUCACAUAAAAUUAUAUUUAUUAGUUAUAUCUAACCUAAUACUUCAUGUAUAUAACUUUUAUUAUGUUUCUAUUACCUAUAUAGGUGACUUGCUAUUUUUUAAUUGAUGUAGGAUAUCUUAGAAAAAAACAAGGCAAAUAGGGCAAAGCAAGUGAUAAAGCAUACAUCGGGAUCAAAAAGUUAUGCUCAAAUUCGAUAUGAACAGGUUGAAAAUUUAUUAUUAAUAUGAUUUGUUUGUACAUAAAUAAUUUAUCAUAAAUAACUCAAUUGUUUUACUUGUAAGAAUAGGCACAAAAGAAAGAGGAUCGAAGUGAGCCCAAUAGAAUUGAGAUGUUUGCCCUGACACACACAAGAAAAGAUGGGACGCCUGUUGAUGAUCAUUCUAAGGAGAUUAUGGUAAUGAAGUAAAUAAAUUUUAUAUACUUGUAUUUCAAUCAUAGCCACAUACUAAAUUAUUUUAAAAGUUUAACAAUUUUUUAUUUUUUUUAUAAUUCCAGGAUCAAUUUCAGCAAUUACUAUCCCAACCUGAGGGGACAUCUUCUUAUACUUUUGCAUCAUCUGGAGCAUCUACAUCUGUAUCAUCUACAUCUGUAGGAUCUACAUCUGUAGCAUCUACAUAUGUAGAUGAGAUAUAUACUCAAGUCAUGGGUCCAGAGAGACAUGGUCGUGUUCGAGGGUAUGGAUUUGGUCCUACUCUUAGCUCAAUCUUUGGUUCUACUAGUAGAAGGCGAUCAGGAGUUAUUCUUUCAACACAAAUUGAAAAUGCCCAAGAGAUGCUAAUAGCUGCAGAACAAAAGUUUACAACUGCAACUAAAGAACUCUCAAAUGUGAAAGAGGAACUCUCACAUGUGAAAGAAACAUUUGAAGAGAGGUUGAUAGAAGUUCAAAGGAAGACACGAGAAGAAGUGAAAGAAGAGUUUGAAGAAAAAAUGAUGGAAAUGCAAAGAAAAAUGCAAGCACAAAUUCAAGAACAGAUGAUGCAAAUGAUGCAACAAUUUCAGCAAAAGAAGUAGAAAUUUGAAGAUUUUGCUACAUCUUUAUAUGAUAGAUUCUCUUAACUUUUUUGAAGAUUAUGCUACUUAUUUAUAUGAUAGAUUCUCCUAACUUUUUUUGCUUUCUAUGACUAUUGUGUGAUGUUUGGUUGGUUGAUUUGUUAUAUUAUGUUAGAAUAUGAAACUAAAUUUGAAUCUCUUUAUUAUUUGUUUGUUUGGUUUUUUCUUUUUUGUUAUAUUAUGUUUUUAUUUAUUUAAUGACUUAUAUUGAUAUAUAAGUUUUUAACUAGCUUGGGAUAAUUGAUUGUAAUAUAUUGAAAUUGUUUUAAUUGCAUAUACAGGUCUAAAAUGGGUUUGUUUGGGUUUAUAACAGGUUUGGGAAAUUUGAAUUUAUAAAAAACCAAUUUCCAAAUAUAACAAAUUUUAGUCACGGCCACUAAAAAUUUGUGACUAUAAGCGUAUUUUAGUCACGAUCAGUAAUGAACCGUCACCAAAAUUUGGGGAUAAGGCGGCCAUCCAUGAUUAAUUUCAGUCACGGUCAUUAGUAGUCGUGACCAUAAGUGUAUAUUUUGUCAUAAUAGACCUAACAAUUAGUCACGGUCAAUUAAUUACCGUGACCAUAAGAUUACAUUUAGUCACGGUCAGGGGCAUUGACUGUGACCAUAAGAUUACAUUUAGUCACGGUCAGGGACAUUGCCCGUGACCAUAAGAUUACAUUAGUCACGGUUAGGGGCAUUGACCGUGACCAUAAGAUUACAUUUAGUCACGGUAAGGGGCAUUGACCGUGACCAUAAGCUUACAUUUAGUCACGGUCAUGGGUGACCAUAAGAUUACAUUUAGUCACGGUCAGGGGCAUUGACUGUGACCAUAAGAUUACAUUUAGUCACGGUAAGGGGCAUUGACCGUGACCAUAAGCUUACAUUUAGUCACGGUCAGAGACAUUGACCAUGACCAUAAGAUUACAUUUGGUCACGAUUUAUUACCUGACCGUGACUAAAUCAACUUAAUAAGUAGCAAAGUAUUCUUAACUUUUUUGGUCACAGUUUUUGUAUGGCCGUCACAAAAAAAGAAAUCAUAUGGUCACGAUCACUUAGGAAACCGUGACCAAUACUUUUAGCUACGCCUCAUACUGUGACGCUUGGUCACGAUUUCAUAAGACCGUGACAAUAGGUUUUGGUCACGGAUAUAUAAGAUUUGGUGACGGUUGGGAACCGUCACCAAAAAUCCUAUUUCUUGUAAUAUUUGGAUGAUUUUUUAUGAUAGCUUUGUUCAAAUAAAAAAAAAUCGUAAUAUUUAAAUUAUUUUAAACAUUUUUUUUCUUGGAUUAAAAUAUAAAAUAAUUGUUUAUCUUAUUUAUAAAAUUGAUUAUUCUUAAUAAUAAUAAUAAUUUCUUUGCUUUCUAAAUAAAAAGUUGUGGAAAUCAUCCUUUUGUAAAUAAAAUAAAGUCUAAAAAAAUUAUUAAAUAAAAAUUCAAAUAAAAUUAUAAAAGAUAUUUUUACAUUUAUAAAAUAUUUUUAAAUGGUGGAAUAUGUUUUUUUAUAUAUGGGGUUUUAUUAUUAUUAUUAUUAAUAAAAUUUAUUAUUAUUAUUAACUUUUUUUUUUUUUUUUUGUAUUUUCUUCCUAGGAAAUUCCUUCCUUUGUAAAUGAAGUAGAAUCAUUCAUGGUUUAUUUUUUUAUGAGGUUUUAACACUAAACUGUUUCACGUGGGAAUCAUGGUUUUUUUUUUUUUUUUUUUUUUUUUUUUUGUAAAUAAUUUUUUUUGAAAGCAUUUUUUAAAUCAAAACUUUCUUUUCUAAAUAAAAUUCAUUAAAACUAUCGAAUUGGAAAUCAACUAUUUUUUUAAUACUCAUGAAAUAUUUCUUUUACAAAAGUAAUAACAUUUAUUUUCUUGUAAAUAAAUUUUUUAAAAGCAUUUUCUUUAAAUGAAGUUAAAGCAUUUUGUCUAAAUCCAAACUUUCUUUUAUAAAUAAAAUUCAUUAAAACUAUCGAAUUGGAAAUUAACUGUUUUCUUUAUAAAUCAACACUCAUGAAAUCUUUCGAAAAUGUAUCAUAUUGUGGAAAUCAAACUACCUUUUUUUAGUCAAUUUAAUAAUUUGAUCACCUUAGUGCAUACUUAUGAAUUCUUUUCUAUAUUGAUCCAUGUUGACUUUUAUUUUUACCAGAAUCCUUAGUAGUAAAUUUUAAAAACCCAUGUUAAUUUAUAUUCGUUUCUAAGCAAUAAGUUACUGAUUUUUUUAUGAUCUAUGCCUUGUUCUUUAAAUUAUUAGAUGUUGUUUUGUUGAUCCUGAUGCCUGAUGACAUUUAUUAUUUCUUUGAAACUAAGUUGAUAAUUGUGAUAAUCUCGUAUUAUUAGUUUCAUUUUAAAACUCAUUUAUAAGCGCUUGAUUGAUUUAUCUUAAGUUUAGAUGCAUUUAAAAUUCCAAUGAUUAGUUCUUGAUUAUCUAUGCUAGUUUAAGAUUUUCUUGAAGUCUUUAAUUGUUUUUUUUUUUUCUUAUUCUUGAUGAUCAUCUAAAAGAUAGAAUUUUUUUAGACCCUUGUUUUCCAUAGUUCUUAGUAAUAGAAUGAAAGUUAGAUUUUUUAAAAUGUUAGCUUGUAAUUCUUGGUGGCAAAAUGAAAGUUUACAUGAUCUAAAAAUCCCUGGUUAGUUGCUAUAAUAACUUUAUCUUUAAUUUUUAGAGGUCAUCGAAAAAUAGUGAAAAUUGGCCUCCAUUCUCACCACUUUAGUUUGCUCGGGUUGUCAAAAAUUUCAUUUUGUGGAUUCGUUUUCCUCUGCUUUGCUCGGUAUUUUAUUUCUUAUGUUUUGUUGUUUUCAUAUUAAUUCCCUUUAUUUUUAAAUCAAAUGUUUUUCUCAAAAGAUACCUUUGAAAAUUUUGUGUUAAAAAUAAUUCAUUUAAAGUCCUUAGAAUCAAAAUCUCAUUUUUUUUAAAUAAUAUACAACCAUUUUUUUUUUCUGUUCGCAUCCUACUUAGUUUUCAAUAAAAACUACGAUUUUUAGUAAGACACGAAUCCAAGCUUGUGGUCCCAAAUAAAUGGGAUAAUUCCAGGCUAGAUUUGUGUAUAUUAAUUAGGGAAUUGGUGAAACCCCUACAUAAAAUCAUCUUUUCAAAACUCAUAUUUGUUGUCACCCUUGCCAUUUAUUGAAAUCAUAUCUAUCUAUUUUUUAGUAAUUAUAUAUAAGAUGUGUGUGAUAAUUAAUGAUUUCGUAUACUUUGAUUAUUUUUGUUAUGCUAAUUAGAUAACAAGCAUGCUAGGAUUUCUUUAUUUUAUUAUUAUCUAACCCCUCAUGUCCUACAGAAACACAUUAUAAGUUAUUUAUGUUGUCCUGGUAUGUCCUCUACCACCCAUCUUCUAAAUUCCGUAAAUAUGCUUGUCAUUAUGAACUGCAUCUAUACUUGAUAGUGCUUGAGUGUCUUGAUAUAUAUAUUUUUCAUUGUUCUAUUAUUUCUAACAAAGCGCAUGCUGGAAGAUAUAUAAUUUGAACUAACUCUGAUGUCUUGUGACAGCGCUUAAGAUGCGGUCCAAGUAUGCACCCUAAAUCUUCUUUAUGAUUGUGCUUGGCUUUCUUGUUAGGCGAGCUAUUUUUUAAAUCACCUAGCCUGCUUAGGUAUCUAUAAUUAACCAAUUAAUUACCGCAUUUCCCUCAAUUUAGUUAAUAGAGACCUUUAUAGGGCUUAGAGGGGUGCUACCUCUUAGAGGUACAUUCCCAAUAAGUAACUUGAUCCCCUGACCUAGACUUAGGUUUUUCAAAGACACGUUUUUCCAAAAACUAUGGAGUCAUUUUUUAGGGUUUUAUUUCUUAUUUUAUUUUCACUUUAAAAUAAAAUAAAAUAAGUGGCGACUUUGACUUUUCCAAAACUAAUUUUUAACCAAAUAAAAGUGAGUCUUGUCGAUCGAGUGGGGGCGCAUGUGAGAAAUGCGGGUCCACAAAUUGGUGACUCCACUAGGGAUCUCGAGAAUUAAGCUUGAAUACUAAUUGAGGAAAAUGUAGCGUUUAAUUGGUCGACUGGAGGGUACCUUAAUUUUUGUUAGGCAAGGUGAUUUGGCUUGUUUACUUUAUUUGUUUGCUAUCUUAACAUGUUUGAUUGCCUUGAAUGAUCACUUAACUGCUUUGUUCACUUUGGCAUGAUUCACUCUCAUAUAUGAUAGAUAAGACUUUGUUUGUAUGAUACUUAUUUGCUUGGUAUGAUUGCUUGUUGCAUGAAAACCCUAUCUCUUGCAUGAUUGUAUGAUUGCAUGUCUCUGUUCACUAUCUCACUUUAGAUUUAGGAUUUUUUGGAUGCACCCACAUCCUUCACUGUGCACUUUAAAUUAUCCUUGAGUGUUGAGAUAUGAGAGAAUCUUCGCCAUUUAGAAACCCCAUAGGAAUACGAGGAAGUGCAUGUGUGGAGGUGAUGACCACCUUGCAUGGAAACACCCCAUCUCCUUGGAGACAUGCAGAGGGUUGCGUACCACCGGAGGGUACGAUCGCUUCUGCUAGGGAUCCUUUAACCCACCCAUUUUAUUUUAUAGAGCCACAUCAACCUUGUAGGUUAGCUUAGACCCAAUUAGGAUUUCAUUCCUACACGUGGGUACAUAUGUGGACCUUUAGAGCUGCCUUGGUUACAGUUGGGUUUGGUUACCCUCUCCAUAUUCUCAUUUUGGUAUGAUCAGAUACGAGUAUUAGUUUAAGUAUACAUGGGUUGUAUGCUUGAUUACCUUUUAGUUGGUUCUUACAGAGGUAGCCCUGUACAACACCUCAUCUAGUGUUUUCGUGUUUAUAGGAGUAUUUUGUGCCCAAUCUGGAUUCGCCUUCGUGGACUAGAGUUAGGGACAGGUUGACUAGAGCAUUAGAUAAGCCAGACUAGAGAGUAGAUCAAAGAGAUAUGGACUCUCAAGUAGUCACUGUUGACCAGUUUGCCGUGGCCAUGGCUUUGAUUCAAGAGGUUAUAUUUGACCUCGACCGGAUGAUAGAUGGGUAGUAGGCCCCACUUCAGGAUAGUGCACAGUAUGACUCUGUGGCACCACCACCCCCUCUACUCAAUCAAUCGGUUCCACACCCUACACCAUAUGUUUUACAUAGUUAGACUGAUGCUACCCCACUUCCUAUCGUAGUACCCAUUCAGGCCUCAGAGGAUGCACAUGCUUGUAUGGAUAGACUCAAGCAAAAUAUGAGACAUAUGAGGGUUUCAGAUGGAGCUAUCAGUUAAGAUGAUUUUGACGGAGCACUGGUGGCUAGUUUACCAGCCCAGUUCAGAAUGCCAGAGAUUGAGAGGUAUAUGGGCAUAGGUUGCCCUAAGAUUCAUUUGAGGCUAUCUAGUAGUGUGAUGAGGGCCCAUUGGUUGGAUGAGGCCCACUUAAUUAUGUUUUUUCCUAUGUCCUUGAGCUAUACAACACAAUGUUGGUUUACUUCUUUGGAUGUUUCACGUCGUAGGACUUAGGAUGAUUUGGCCUAAGAGUUUUUGAAACAAUUCGCGUUUAAUACUAUCAUUGAUGUCUCAAGGAGAGAGUUAGAGACCUUGAGAUAGAGACUAGAGGAGUUAUUGACUUCAUUUAUCUCUUGAUAGAGAGAGAAGAUCGCCCAGAUUGUUGAUCGUCAUUCGGAGAAGGACCAGAUUAGUAUGAUUUUGAGGAGCUUACAACCCAAAUUUGCCAAACAUUUGAUGGGAUUUCCUCAUACAGAUUUUGGAUCCUUGGUACAGGCUCUAUAUGGUAUAGAGGAGGGCAUUGCUAGAGGACAAAGGGGAAGAAGCCCUCAAGAGGACAAAGACCAGGAGAUGUGGGUACUAUCCGUUCAGCAGGAUUGAGAUAUCUCAGGCGCUAUCAGACAUUUGGGCAGACUUCAGGAGCCUAUUACCCAUAGCAUUAUGUUCCAUAUAGACCACCCAAUCUCAUGGCUCUUACAUACUUACACUAGACCCCAGAGCCUAUUUUUGCUACACAGGUCUCAGAGAGGCCUCCUACUUUAUACCCUCGGCCCCGAGCCCCAUAGACUACUAUUCCUUUUGUACAGAGGCCGACACGAUAGUUCUCCCAUCUAGGUAUACCUUUGAGUUGAGCUUUCUAGAAGCUCAUGGAGGGUGGUUUUUUGACUCAGUUGGCACCUAGGGUUGUACCCCAGCCUGUGCCACUACGCUUAAGGAUGGAUCAACAUUAUUCCUACCAUCAGGGUCCAAGGCAUGACAUGAAUCAUUGCGCCGCCUUGAGACAUGCUAUAUAGGACUUGAUAGAUCAGGGUUUGGUUAACUUGGGGUAGCCAAGUGUAACCACAAAUCCUUUACCCGCUCACUCUACGCAUGCAGUGCCACCACCCCUCGAGCAAUAUCCAUCACAUAGAUUUUGUAGAGGAUGACAACAUACACAUGAUGAGUUGGGAUGAUGGAUUGCUUGAGCCGAUUUUUUUGGAUGAUGGUUAUGAGGUUGACACAAUAGGUUCUCAGACUUUUACUCUGUUUAGUUUGAUUUUAGAUUGGAUACCAUUUGAGUUGACUCCUACUGCAUCGUCGGCUAUGACAUGUCAGGGCUCAUCCGUCCCAUUUAUCCUAUGAUCAAAUGAUGAUGAUUUAGAGAGGAGAAAUGUACAGAUUAUGACCCGUAGUGGGAGAGUGGCUCAGUCUCCACCUCUAGUAGCUAGGCCAUUUGAUGGUGCAGUCUCUCAUGAGGAGGUCAGGAGAGAGGAUGAUGAGAUACUGAGGCAGUUACAGAGUACACAGGCCCGCAUAUCUAUUUAGAGUUUGCUAGCAUCUUCUAGUACUCAUAGAGAUGCAUUGAUUUGGGCUUUGAGCCAGAUCCGUGUGGAGACCACCAAUGCUCCGGAGGGGUUGGUUUGUAUGAUGACAACCGACAAGGCCACAUGUAUUGUGUUUUCAGAUGAUGACUUGCCACCCAAGGGUUCAAACCAUACAUGUCCUCUAUAUAUUACAGUUGGUUGUUCAGGCCACAAAGUUCCAUCCGUCCUAUUGGACAAUGGCUCGGCCUUGAACGUCUGUCCAUUGGCUACUGCUAUUUCCCUUGGUUAUGCACCUUCAGACUUCAGUCCCUUUACAUAGAUGGUCAAAGCAUAUGAUAGUACUAAAAGGGAGGUCAUAGGUACUUUGAUAAUAAAGUUGUUGAUUGGUUCAACUACAUUCCCCAUCCUAUUUUAGGUUUUGAGGAUUCCUACAUCCUUUAACCUACUUCUUAGCUGACCUUGGGUUCAUAGGGUCAGGGUUAUUCCAUCUUCUCUUCAUCAGAAGGUGAAGUUUAUACAUGACAGGCAGGUCAUCACAAUAUAGUCUCCUAGAGAUAUGUUUGCCUCCUCCGAGCUAGUGCUUCGGAUCAGUCAUAGUGAGGACAACCUAUUUUUGAUUGGGUUUACAUUUGAUGAGGUGCAGACUCUCGAGGUUGGGGACUUCUAUAGAGAUCUCAUAGCUAUGUCAUUUGAUUAGCAUAACAGUAUGGUGGUACUCGACAUGAUGAGGGGUAUGUCUUUUAUGUUUGAUUUGGGACUAAGACGAUGUCAGCAUGGACUCAUGGAGUUUGUGGCUACUGUCAAUCAUGAUACACCAUUUGGGCUUGAGUUUGUUCCUGCAUAGGCUAACUAUAGGUAUAUGGCGCGUCUGUACCGAGAGAGAGAGUGAGAGCCCGUCUAACUUCACUGCUACAAAAAUAGUUUAUGGUGUCACUAUUUAUGGUGUCACUUUUAAAAUAAUGACACCAUAGGGUUUAUAAUUAAUAAAGGUGACACAUCAUAUAAAAAAUCUUCAAUUGAGAUAGUUAGAUGGUAUUAGUUUUAUAUUUAUAGUGCCAUUUUUUGGGAAGUGACAUCAUAUAAAAUAAAUUCUUUUAAGUAUUAUAACUUAAUGAGCCCACUUUUAGAAUUAAUAAUGAUGGAUAAUAUAUAAAAAAAGCCCAUUGUUUCCAUAUCUCACCCACAAUCCAAAAAAUCUCAAUAUAUAAACCCUAUACAUAAAAUCAUGAUCUUCUUCUACCUUUUCUCUCACCCAUAGUCAACACGCUCACAACCAACAUUCUUCACUUUGUGGACUCCCAGGUAACCCAAAAUCUCUUAGAUCUAUCAUUUUUUUUUAUUAAUGUCAUUAUAUUAAUUGUUUCAACAUCUUUGUAUUAUGGUUUUUGUGAAUUGCGUUUUCUUGAGUUGUAGAGAAGAAAAACUUAGGUUUAAUUUUCUAGCAUAGAAGAAAAAACUGUAGAUUAAUUGAUUUUCUAAUCUAAACCAAACACAUGAUCAAGUCCUUAAAAAAAAAGUGAAAAACAAGAGAAAAAUGAAUGAUUUUUAAUAAGUAAUUGUGUGAGAAUGAUAGGUACAGAAUGCCUCAUAUGGUGAACACGUCCCAUUGUAUGAAAUCUGAAAUAUGAAAUCCCCAUUGUAUUUCUCCAUGUGAACCUUUUCGUCCAAUAUCACUAGCCUGAAGAAUGUUGGGUCAUUCACUGAUUCCAUCAUCUAUUUGGUGAUUCCCGUCUCUGCCCGUGGCUGGAGAUCCUCGUCCGGGCAUGCAUUAUCGGAGAGUGGGUGUUGUUUGGUUGAGAUUGUAAAUCUAUGCUUGAAAAGAUUGAAACCCUCUUAGAUUCGUCGGAUCCAAAUUCGAACUCGCCAAUGUUAGGAUUAUCAGCAUCCAAUGUGGGUUCGUUCUGUAGCCUCUUCUGUUGGAUCUUGAUUCAGCCUCCGUGAAGGUCAUGGAGCCGGCAUUGGAGUGGUUGUUGAAGUUGUAUUCGCUGAGGCUGAUCCACAACGUGAUUGAUGGGAAGAGGAUGAUAGAGGCGGUGUGGAAAUCAGCCAGCAGCGGCAAGGACGUGAUCGACCUCGCUGUGUUUAAGGUCCUUCUCUCCGCAAUUCGAUCACCGGUGGUAGAAGUUCCAAAUGGGUCUAAAUGUGAUGGGAAAAUUGGAAUGGAUCAGUGGGUAUAAAAUUGAAUGGAUCUUGAUUUCAUGAUUUCUUGAUUUCUUGAUUUUGUGAUUUGGUGAUUUGGUGAUUUAGUGAUUUCUUUUCAAGUGGAAAUGUUGAUUAAUAUGAAGAUCAUAUUGCAUACAGGUCUGUCCCUCUUGUAAUUGUGUGUCUGAAAGGGUAUUUAUACUAACACAAAUAACAUGGCAAGUAGAGGUCUUAGAUGAUCGUGUUCAUCAACCUUUUACUUUAUCCUAACAUGAUUAUGAUGUCAGCCAAUUACAUACUUAUUAAUGAACUCUUUGGAAAGGACAAGCUAGAAAUAUUUAUUUCAAAGUGGGGUCGUUCCUCUCACCAUGAGGUGCAUAACCCAACUACCCAAAUCCCAUGAAUGGUGGUUUUCACAGUAAAAAAAAAAUGACUCAAAAGCUAUCAAUUCAAUAUAUAGUUUGAUAUAAUAAUUUUUAUAAAUAUUUUGGACUAAAUUAUGAAUUUAUGGUCCCAUGCGGCUUCAACUACGGAUAGGUCUAUUAAUGCAAACAAAAAGACUAGUACUUUUGAUAAAUUUAAUAUUUAUCAAAUUUAUGGUUGUAGCUAGUUGACAUUUAGUAUUUAUAAAUUAAAAUUUUAGUACUUAAAUUUAAUAUUUGUAAAUUAUAUGAAUGACUUUCAGCAUGUAAUAUAUAUAAAUACACAUGUUCAUACUUGAAAUAUUGCAUUUUUUUUAUUAUUAGUUUAACUUAAUGGAGAUGAAUAUUUAGUUGAAAAGUUACAAUGUAUUAUUGACAAUAUGACUUCAUAGUUGAUUACGGAUAUGUGUCAUUUUUAGUAAAAAAAUAAAAUAAAAUUUAAUCUGUAACAUUUUAUAUUGAUAAUAUAUUAUUUUUGUAACAGGUUCAAAUAGUAAGCAAUUCAUUAUCAAAGAAGUUACCAAAAGUGUAAGUGUACGUUUAUUUAUUGCUUCAUAGUUGAUUACGGAUAUGUGUCAUUUUUAGUAAAAAAAUAAAAUAAAAUUUAAUCUGUAACAUUUUAUAUUGAUAAUAUAUUAUUUUUGUAAUAGGUUCAAAUAGUAAGCAAUUCAUUAUCAAAGAAGUUACCAAAAGUGUAAGUGUACGUUUAUUUAUUGCUUGCUCUUAUAUAGUAUCAAUUGUAAGGAAGAUAAAAUUACCUUGUAAAGGUAAUUAAAUAUUUAUAUAUAUUAAAUUUUUUUUCUAUAUAUUAUGCUUUUGAAGCGUGUUAAAUUAAACAUAUUAGUUAUUUGACAAACUUUUCACAAAUGUUUUGUAUACUUAUGUGUUUUAUUUUGUUGCAAAGUUUUAUGCAUAUUUUUUCACAAACUUUUUACAACUAUUUUGUGUACUAAUGCAUAUUAAUUUUUGUUCUUGUAUAUAUAAGCUACAUUUAGUUAUUUAAAUAUAUCCAAUAUUAUGUUGAAGAAAGAUGUACUUAACUUUUUUUGUUCUUAAUAUUAACAGUUUUGCAGUUCUCUUGUCUAGGAUAUAUAUUACAUUAUUUUAAUUGAAAUGGAAAAUCGAGAUUGGAUGUCAAAAGAUAGAAGGUCAAUUAAGUAUGAUGAAGGAGUUGAAGACUUUAUCAAUUUUGCAUUAGCACAUUCAACCAACCAUACCUCUAUAAAAUGCCCAUGCUUACGUUAUGGAAAUCUGUUAUGUCAAACUCCUCAAGUCAUUAGAGAGCAUUUGUUCUUUAAUGGAAUAGAUCUCAGUUAUCGAGUAUGGUAUUGGCAUAGAGAAAAGAGUCCUAGUGGAGGAUUUUCAAAUGUCUCACAACAACGUUAUGACAAAUGCGAGUAUAAUGAUGUUGCUGACAUAAUAGAUAUGGUUAAUGUUACACAAGUUAAUUGUAUGAAUGAUCCCCAAGUGUUUGGAAGGUUACUUGAAGAUGCAAAAAAAACCUUUAUAUCUUGGAUGCAUGAAAUACACAAAGUUGUCUGCAUUGGUAAAACUUUACAACUUAAAAGCACGUUAUGGUUAGUCUGACAAAGGAUUCUCAGAAUUGCUCCAGUUGCUUGGAGAUGUGUUGUCAUUGAAUAAUGAGAUGUCGUUAUCCAUGUAUAAAGCUAAAAAGACUUUCAGUGCUAUUGGCAUGGAAUAUCAAAAAAUUCAUGCAUGUCCUAAUGAUUGUAUUUUGUAUAGAAACCAGUAUAAGGAUGCUAUUGCAUGCCCAACUUGUGGAAAGUCAAGGUGGAAGAUAAACAAUGAGGGGAGAAAGAUUAAGAAGGGGGUUGAUUCGUGCCCACUUGGUGUAUCAGCUGAUUCAUGUCCAGCUGGUGCUCCUUGAUUGAGGAAGUAAUCAACAAAAUUUAUAACCUAUUACACCAUGAACUAGGGUAGCAAAGACAAAGCUACUAUAGCAUAGUGGCUCUAGGAUCGUUCAUUAGGAUGGGUUUUCACUCCACAAUUGAUAUCAAUUCAAAGCUGAAUUGGAGCCUUUUCAUUUCAAGGUUAGCUUUAAAAGAAAACAUAAUCUUUGGUGGAAAAGGUUGGUUUUAAGCUAACCAAAAAUAAUAACUGAUUUUACUUACAAAGAAAAGUGUUUCUUGGAAUUUCAGAUUACUAGGCUCAGGUUCCUCAUACAAAAAGGAGAGUUCCGAUCACUUGUUUCUUUUCCUCGCAUUGGGGAUUUAACAUAUAGUUAUUUCCCGAACCGGUGUGGUACAGAUGCUUCCCUUUAAUGGGUUCAAACACUAAAUCCCUCUCACUGAUGCAUCUUGCAAUGGCACAUACCUCUCACCUAGCACUUGCCAUUCAAGGUGAUCUUUAACCUUGGAUUACCCGUCAAAAGCUCGCAAAAGAUAACUAAUGGAUGUCUCCUAAGAGUCCAAAAGCUUACCAAGUGUUGGCUAUUCUAGAAAAUCCUACCUUCAAACCACCUCUCAAAGGCUCGCAAGAGAUAAACUAGUGCAUCUCAAUGGAUGGAGAUCACUUGCCUUACCAAGUGUUGGCCCGGGUGAUUUAAAGGCGUUUUAAGUUAACUAAAAAGAUAAAAACCAUUAACGGGUCACACUUUCUCUUCAUUAAAAACUAAAACAACAAAACUUCCAAUUUAUGCAUGUGGAAAUUUACCCGUCUUUCUUUACUCCAAGAAACGAAGAGCCUAGCCUCUCAUCCUUUGAGGAAGAAUCCUCAGAGUUUGAUUUGCUAGAAAUAAAAAGAACGAGAAAACAAAAAUAUAUAUGAAAAGCAAAGCAAGUGCUCUGUAUUUUACUUCUUUGCAAAACUGUACAAAGGAUGCGUCUCUGAGAACAAGCUCCCGAGAGACUACAUAUUGAUAUAUGAUCGAUAUAUGUUCGAUCUAUGAUCGAUAUAUGUUCGAUCUAUGAUCGAUAUAUGUUCGAUCUAUGAUCGAUAUAUGUUCGAUCUAUGAUCGAUAUAUGUUUGAUAUCCUGUGUAAAGGAAAUUACAAACUAUAUAUAAGAGGUUAUUCACCCCUUUUUCCAAACUUAAUAACUAAGGAAUCCUAUGAUAGGUGGGUUACAAGGAGAGUUUGAGGAUUUAGACAUAAAAUAUCUAAAGCAAAAUAUCUCAAAAUGUCGGUCGCAAAUAUCGGGAAGCUUCAGGAGAACUUAGACAUCAAAUAUAUAAAGAAAAAUAUCUCAAAAUGUCGGUCGCACAUAUCGGGAAGCUUCAGGAGAACACCGUGGCACUGUGCAAAGUGGCUGCGAAACUCUCCAGGUAAGCGCUUUCAGAGGAUCCGGAUAUGUCUGACCAGGGAAGUUGAAACGCCCUCCUCUCCCAUCCGGCAUCAGGCGUCGGAUGCAAAAUAUCCAGAUGAGGUGUCGGAUGUGAAAUAUCCGGAUGGAAUGUCAGCGGAGAAUAAUUCCGGAUGUGAGAUAUCCGGGUGGAAUGUCGACGGAGCAGAAUUCCGGAUGUGAGACAUCCGGGUGGAAUGUCGGCGAAGCAGAAUUCCGGAUGUGAGAUAUCCGAGUGGAAUGUCGGCAGAGCAACUCCAUCCGGAUUCCCCAAGAGGUCAUGUGGCGCGCUCCUCUAUCCGGACUCCCUCAGGGAGAAGCACAGGGCACUUGCGAUCAUCACACCCCGGACAAUAGCAUAUCCUAUCCGGACAUGGAUUCCAAAGAACUCUCCUCAAUCUCUGAUUGCUUUGGUUAUCAAAAAGCUAUCAAAACACCAAAACUUAACACAAUUUGAUUAGAAUUGAUUGCAAGGGUCCUUAAUAUGUUAAUUGGGUUAAAAGGUGAUAACUACUACUCAAAAGUGUUUAAAAGAGUUAAUUACAAGCUAUGAAAUAGCACUUUUUGAGUAGUAAUCAGGGGUUCCUGCAAAGGUUUUGUGGUAUUUCCCACCAAUCCCUAGAUUCAAAAGGAUGUUCCAAUCCUCAUAAACUGUUAAACAUCUUAUGUGGCAUGCCAAGGAUAAAUAAUAUGAUGGUAAACUACGCCACCCAUUAGACUCCUCAUCGUGGAAACUAGUUGACCAUAUGUGGCCUAAUUUUGCUUUUGAACCGCAAAACCUUAGACUAGCACUCUCAGCAGACGGUAUAAAUCCUCAUAAGUCUAUGAGCAGUAGACAUAGUUGUUGGCCUAUUAUAUUGAUCAUAUACAACCUUCCUCCUUGGUUGUGCAUGAAAAGGAAGUUUAUGAUGCUAUCAUUAUUGAUCUCAGGACCACAACAACCUGGUAAAAAUAUAGAUGUUUACUUGAGUCAAUUGGUGGAUGACCUUAAAACUUUGUAGGAAAGAGGAGUUGAGACUUAUGAUGCACACUUGUGUGAGGUUUUUACUUUAAAGGCCAUCCUUUUAUGGACAAUCAAUGAUUUCCCUGCAUAUGGAAACGUAGUUGGUUGCACUAUGAAAGGAUAUUAUGCAUGUCCAAUAUGUGGAGAAGGAACAUGUUCCAAAAGAUUAAAGCAUGGUAGGAAAAACUCGUAUAUGGGUCAUCGACGAUUUCUUCCACGUAACCAUUCCUAUCGGAGACAAAAUAAGGCAUUCAAUGGUGAACAAGAUUUUAGGAUUCCUCCUAAAAUUUUGAGUGGGGAAGAAAUACUUGAAAAAGUUGAUCUCAUUCCUAUUUAUUGGGGAAAAAUGAAGAUAAAAUCUCUUGAAUCUGAUGUGAACACAAAUUGUUGGAAAAAAAAGUCCAUAUUUUUUUAGUUCGAAUAUUGGAAAUAUCUUCAUGUCCGUCACAACUUGGAUGUUAUGCACAUUGAAAAGAAUGUCUGUGAGAGUAUUAUUGUUACUUUGUUUAACAUCCCAAGGAAAACAAAUGAUGGACUUAAUGCUCGACUGGACCUAGUUGAAAUGGGUUUAAGGUCUGAACUUUUCCCAAGAGUUGACUUGAAACGGACCUACCUUCCCCUUGCAUGUUAUUCACUAUCCAGAAAUGAGAAAAAAUUAGUUUGUCAAAGGUUGUCUAAUUUGAAGGUCCUUAAAGGGUAUUGCUCAAAUUUUAGAAAUCUUGUCUCUUUAGAGGAAUUGAAGUUGUUUGGUCUAAAAUCUCAUGACUACCAUGCACUUAUGCAACAACUGUUGCCAAUGGCAUUACGUUCUAUUUUUCCAAAGCAUGUGAGAUAUACUAUAUCAAGAUUGUGUAUCUUCUUCAAUAAAUUAUGUACAAAAGUGGUUGAUGUGCCAAAAUUGAAUGAAGUAUAGAAUGAGUUAGUGGUCACGUUGUGCUUACUUGAAAAGUAUUUUCCACCUUCAUUUUCGAUAUUAUGCUUCAUCUAACAGUGCAUUUGAUAAGGGAGGUGCGACUAUGUUGUCUAGUUUACUUUAGGUGGAUGUACAUUUGAGAGGUAUAUGAAAGCUCUUAAAGGAUAUGUUCGCAAUCAUAAUCGGCUUAAGGGAUGCAGUGCUGAGUGCUAUUUAGCAGAGGAAGUUGUCGAAUUUUGUACUGAAUAUUUAUCAGGGACUCAUGCAAUUGGAAUUCCAAAAAGUAACAAUUAUGACAACAAAUUUGGUAGACCUAUAACUGGUGGUCGUUCUACCAACAUUGAUCACAAAUCGUGGUUACAAGCAUAUCAUUAUGUGUUAGAGAAUACAAUUAUUGUCCAGCCAUACAUUGAGUAAGAAAAAUAUACCUUUAUUUUUUUUAUAAUUUCAUAACAUAAUGAUGAAAUCCUAAGUUUGCAUUCCUUGUCUAUAACUUUAUAGGGAACACAUGAAUUGGUUGAAGUCUCAAUACCCUUGACAAUCUAAGAGACAAAUUUGGUUGCAAGAAGAACAUAUGCGUUGUUUUACAUAUUGGCUUAAAGGAAAGGUAAUCUCUUAGUUUUUAGAAAUUAUUUUAAUAUGUUGAAAACCUGAAAACACCAUAAGUUUCAAAUUAUGUUUUGAUUACACACAGGUUGAAGAGGUUAUCCAUAAUGGGCAAGAUAUUCCCAACAUGCUUAGGUGGUUAGCACAUGGCCCUACUCACCAGGGGGUCAAAUAUCCUGGAUAUAUCUUUAAUGGGUGUUGUUACCACACUAAGGAACGCGACAUGACAUGCGUCAACCAAAUAGUGGUGUUAGCAUUUUAGCAGGGACUAUCCAAAUUGCCAGUUCUAAGGAUAAGAACCCAGUUUUUGGUGAACUUUGCUUUUAUAGGGUCAUUAAUGAGAUAUGGGAUCUUGAUUACAACAUGUUCAGAAUUCUAAUUUUCAAGUGUGAUUGGGUUGACAACAAGAAUGGUAUAAAAAUUGAUGAACUAGGGUUCACAUUAGUUGACUUCUCCAAAAUAAGUCACAAAUCGGUUCCAUUUAUUUUAGCAUCACAAGCCAAGCAAGUCUUCUAUGUUGAAGACCAACUUGAUCCCAAAUGGUCCAAUGUUCUCUCAAUUCCUCCAAAAGAUUUCAACAACAUGGAAGGACUGGAUGACUUCACCGAUAAUUGCAUGGAACAUCACCCCUUUAUAAGUUCAAUGCCAGAAGUUCAAUCAUUUGAUACUAUGGAUGAAUCAGAGGCAAUAUACAUGAGAGAAGACUGUGAGGGCAUAUGGAUUGAAAAUAAUUAAAUAAUAUAUUGUACCCUUGACAUGAGAUAUAAUAAGGCAUUUCACUCAUUAGCUUUCAUGAGUUGCACAUUAGCUUAGCUUCUAUAUAUUGCUCAUGAUAUAUAUAUAUUGAUCAUCCCAAAUUUCUUUCAUGCAUCAUAAACAUAUGUUAUUCAAAGGUACCACUUCAAUCUUCAUUUAACUAUCUUUUUUGUUGUCCAUGGAACUAGACUUAUAUUAUUUUUUAUUAUCAUGUUUUGAUUUUAUGCUCACAUAACUUGAAACUCUCAUUCGUUAAAACUAUAAAUCAUAAUUGAAACUAUGCACUAAUUUAUUUUUUUAUUAUCCUCACAAAUAAAUUCUUCAUUAUUGAUAAGAAAUCAAAAAACAAGACAAACUUUGAAAGAAAAUUUCAAAAAAUAUAUUUGUUAAUGAAUAAUUUAAUUAUAGAAAAUAUAUGCAAGGCUAUACUAAUCUUGUUUUUUAGUCAUUUUACAGGUUUGUUGGUGAAGUACUAGUUUGCACAUUUACUUGAUAUCUUCCACACAAAUAUGAAUCCAGAAGAAGAGGAAAUGCCAAAAGUAAAGCAUAGAGGUAGUACAUUGAAACCAGAGAUUGCAAAAAAUCAAAGUAAAGGGAUAAAGCUCAAGAUUGAAUACAAUAGCCUUGGUAGUCAUAUUGGAGAAAAUUCAAUUGAACUAAGUAGUUAUCUUGGUACAAUAACUAGAACCCAUGUGCCAAUAAUUAUUGAGAUUUGGAGAAAAAUCCCUAAAGAGACUAAGGAGAAGUUAUGGGAUUUGAUCACGGUAAGUCUAUCUAUAGCUUUCAUAUAUAAUUAUUGUAUACAUUCAUUAACAUGAGCUAACAUGGGCUGCUAUUUUGUAGACAAGCUUUAAUGUGAAUCAAAAAUCCAAGCGGAAUUGUUUCCUACUAAUGGGCAUCAGGUUUCGAACCUUUAAGUACAAGUUGACAAAAAAAUAUAUAUUGCCUUUCAAGAAUGACCCAAAAAAAGCUGAAAAAUCCACCUCCUAUCUACCUAUUCAUAUAAGAGGAUCAUUGGAGACAGUUUGUUAAAGAUAGACUUUCUGAACAUUUUAAUGUUAAGCAUUAUUUUUAAUACAUCUUCAAUUUUUACAUUUACAUAGUUUCACCAUGUACUAAUUUUGUGUCUAUAUUUUGUAGGAAUAUCACAAGGUUUAUAAAUUGAGAAGAGAUAAACACAUUUACAAUCAUUAUCUUGGAAGAAAAGGAUAUGCACGUUUUGAGCAGGAUAUAGUAAGUUAUCAAUAUCGGUAAAAAAAUGGAGUAUAUAUUUUGUUUAUAGGAAAAUGAUUCCAAUUUUUAAAUAUCAUUUAUUAACUUGAUCAUAUUGAACUAAUGAGUUUUAUUGUUAAAAUUUUUAUAACUACAAGCAGAAGGGGGUAUUGGUAGGGUUGAUAGAAGUGUUUUAUGGAAGAAAACACGUGAGAAGAAAGGAAAGUUUAAUGAGAUUACAGAGCCAGUGAUUAACAUGAUAGUAAGUUACCAUAUUUAUGCCUUUUAGAGCCUAUAGUGUUAGUAUGUCUAUGUGACUAUGGUUUGUGAUGAUAUCGUUAGGUGUUAAUAGGCAAGAGGCUUAAUGCUAUCAUUUUUAUGGGUAGUUAUGUUAUACAUCAAACUUUCUAUUAUCCUUUAUAUUAAAACAAUUCAUUUUCUAGCUACCUUGAAUUGGUUGUCUUUGAUUGAUAUGUAAAUCAUCUUCAUCAAAUUAUUACUAAUAUAUGUUUUGUUGUAGGAUGAAUUACUAGAAAAGGCCAAGGAGACUGGACUAUCUCCACCUGGUCCAAAUGACAUAUUAUGUCAAGCAUUGGGUAAGCCUGGUCAUCCAAGACGUGUGGUAGGUUAAGACCGUUUGGUUAGGCCCAGCUCAUACUUUCAUCAACCAUCUGAUGACAUGAAAAAAAUCAAAGAAGAAAUAUGGGAAAUGGUACGAAAAGAUAUGGAAGAUGUUGCAGCAAGACAAGUUAUGUCUCCUCCCACACCCCAUUCUAAUAUGGGUGGUAAUAACAUGAGACAACAACUUGUUUUACAACCAAUUGUAGCAGAAAAACCAAUGUUUAAAAUGAUGGAAGAGCCCUAACCACCACAACCACCACUGAAACACAAGGUAUGCAUUUACUUACUAAUAAUACAAGAUUAAUAUAAGUGAUAUAAAGUCUAUGUAAAUGAUAUUAUUUGUUGUAUUGAAGGUAAUUAAAUGUAACUUAGCAGUGGAAAGAAAAGGAAAUGUUGUUGCAACUGGUACACUAAUAGAAGAAAAAUGAUCAAAUAGGUUGGUUGUAAUAAAUGUUGCACACAAGCCAGAUGCUAGACUCCCAUUUCCAAAUCCAUAUGAGAUUAUCAAUGUUGGGGAUGCUAUUGGCUUUGAGCUUGACUGGCCAACAAGCCUUGUCAUACUUGAAACUAAACAUCCUCAGGUAUGUCAUUUUAUGUCUAUAGUAAAUUUGAUUGUAACUUGGUAUUUUAUUAUUUAGGAGUAUAUAUUACUAACAAUCCUUCUCUUUUCAUAGGUGUUGGAUAAAGGAAAGAAGAAGAUAGUGAAGGCACCAAUUAUUCGAAAAUCUAAGCCUCAAAAUCAUUCAGUCAUUAAAAAUUUUCAGAAAUUUGUGGAUGGUUGUCUUGGUAAUGACAAGACAUACCCAAUACAACUCUCUGUUUCACUAUUUGGUGUCAAAUUUCAAACAUAUAUAUCUAGAGAGGAUUGUGAAUACAUUAUUUCAUCUUCAAAGGUGCCAUCAAACUGCAUCUUCUUCUAUUUAUGGUGUGCACCUUUUAUUUUCAUUUGUUUUUAUUUUUUUAAUAUGAGUUGCCCAUGUUGAAUGAGAUUGGAUAUGAAUAAUGAUAAUUUUCUUUUGGUGUUUUGAUACAAUAAUAGACACAUGCAUGAUCAACUACAUAUUGCCAAAAAGGUGAUUAUUACUCAAAAAGUGCUAUUUUAUAGCUUGUAAUUAACUCUUUUAAACACUUUUGAGUAGUAGUUAUCACCUUUUAACCCAAUUAACAUAUUAAGGACCCUUGCAAUCAAUUCUAAUCAAAUUGUGUUAAGUUUUGGUAUUUUGAUAGCAUUUUUAUCACCAAAGCAAUCAAAGAUUGAGGAGAGUUCUUUGGAAUCCAUGUCCAGAUAGGAUAUGCUAUCGUCCGGGGUGUGAUGAUCGCGAGUGUCGUGUGCUUCUCCCUGAGGGAGUCCGGAUAGGGGAGCGUGUCACGUGUCCUCUUAGGGAAUCCUGAUGGAGUUGCUCCGCCGACAUUCCACCCGGAUGUCUCACAUCCGAAAUUCUUCUUCGCCGACAUUCCAUCCGAAUAUUUCACAUCCGGCACCUUAUCCGAAUAUUUCACAUCCGGCGCCUGACGCCAGAUGGGAAAGGAAGGCGUUUCAACUUCCCCGGUCAGAAUUAUCCGGAUCCUCUGAUAGCACUUACCCAGAGAAUUUCGCAGCCAUUUUGCAUAGUACCGCGGUGUUGUCCUGAAGCUUCCCGAUAUGUGCGACCGACAUUUUGAGAUAUUUUGCUUUAGAUAUUUUAUGUCUAAAUUCCCAAACUCUCCUUGUAACCCACCUAUCAUAGGAUUCCUUACUCUUUAAGUAAGAACAAAGGGUGAAUAACCUCUUAUAUAUAGUUUGUAAUUUCCUUUACAGAGGGAUAUAGAAGGAAAGAUAUAAUCAAAUCUCGGGAGCUUGUUCUCAGAGACAACCUUUUGUAUAAGUAAGAAACAUAUCUACAGAGCACUUGCUCUACUUUUCAUAUAUAUUUUUGUUCUCUCGUUAUUUUUCUUUCUAGCCAAUCAAACUCUGAGGAUUUUUCCUCAGAGGAUGAGAGGCUAGACUCUUCGUCUCUUGGAGUGAAGAAAGCCAAGUAAGUUUCCAAAUGCAUAAAUUGGAAGUUUUGUUGUUUUAGUUUUUAAUGAAGAGAAAGUGUGACCCGUUAAUGGUUUUUAUCUUUUUAGUUAACUUAAAACACCUUUAAAUCACCUGGGCCAACACUUGAUAAGGCAAGUGAUCUCCAUCCAUUGAGAUGCACUAGUUUAUCUCUUGCGAGCCUUUGGGAGGUGGUUUGAAGGUAGGAUUUUCUAGAAUAACCAACACUUGGUAAGCUUUUGGACUCUAAGGAGACAUCCAUUAGUUAUCUCUUACGAGCUUUUGACGGGUAAUCCAAGGUUAAAGAUCACCUUGAAUGGCAAAUGCUAGGUGAGAGGCACGAGCCAUUGCAAGAUGCAUCAGUGAGAGGGAUUUAGUGUUUGAACCCAUUAAAGGGAAGCAUCUGCACCACACCUGUUCGGGAAAUAACUAUAUGUUAAAUCCCCAAUGCGAGGAAAAGAAACAAGUGACCGGAACUCUCCUUUUUGUAUAAGGAACCUGAGCCUAGUGAUCUGAAACUCCAAGAAACACUUUUCUUUGUAAUUAAAAUCAGUUACUACUAUUUUUGGUUAGCUUAAAACCAAUCCUUUUUCAAACAUCUUUAUGUUUUCUUUUCAAGCUAACCUUGAAAUGAAAAGGCACCAAUUCAUCUUUGAAUUGAUAUCAAUUGUGAAGUGAAAACCCAUCCCAGUGAACUAUCCUAGAGCCACUAUGCUAUAAUAGCUUUGUCUUUGCUACCCUAGUUCAUGGUGUAAUAGGUUAUAAAUUUUGUUGAUUACUGCCUCAAUCAAGGAGCACCAGCUAGACAUGAAUCAGCUAAGACACCAAUUGGGCAUGAAUCAAAUGGCGUCGUUGCCGGGGACUGUGAUCAGAAUAUGCAUGAAUCAAAUGGCGUCGUUGCCGGGGAUGGUGCCAUUUUUCAGUGAUAACACCUUUCUAGAGUACUUGUGAUCUUCAUCACAAGUUUGGUGACUUUUCUUUUCCUUUUACUAACUCUUUUUAUUUCUUUAUUUUUCUUUGUUCAUAUUUUAGUAUAUCUUUUAUUUAGUUUUUAAUUAAUCUUAAUAAUUUUCUUUAGAAUUUUAUUUUCUUUUAUUUUCUUUUGUUUCUCUGUUUUUAAUUCACAAAUUGCUAGUUGUGCAUGCCAUAUUGAAUACGAGAUAGCAGAGGAAGCCAUGAACUUCAUGAGUUAUGUGGCUGAAGUUUCAAGAGGAUGGGAUGAACCAAAUGCUCAAAAUAUGGGGAGAAUGAAGUCUCAACCUGAUGCUAAGGGUAAGGCAUAUAUUUUGAAUGACGGCAUAGACAUGAAGGCAAAGAUUGCAACUAUGGCAAGGAGAUUGGAAGAGCUAGAAAUGAAGAAGAUACAAGAAGUGCAAGCCAUCUCUCAAACACCAUUGCAACCUAUGCCCUGUUCCAUUUGUCUAUCUUAUGAGAACUUGGUGGAAGAGUGUCCUACCAUUCCAACGGUGAGAGAAAUGUUUGGUGAUUGCAACACCUACAAUUCCAAUUGGAGGGACCAUCAAAAUUUCUCUUGGAAACCACAACCACCUCAGUACCAGUAACUUGUUCAAGCACUUCCGCAAGCCUCAAACCUUAAACAAGCUAUGGUGAAUCUUAGCAAGGUCGUGGGAGACUUUGUUGGAGCUCAAAAAUCCAUCAAUGCUCAUCUCAGUCAAAGAAUUGACAAUGUAGAGAGUUCAUUGAACAAAAAGAUGGAUGAAGUGCAACAUAAUCUAUCUCAAAAGAUAGAUAAUCUCCAAUAUUCAAUCUCAAGGUUUGCCAACCUCAACACAAUGCAAGAGAAAGAAAACUUUCCUUCUCAACCUUAUCAAAAUUCCAAGGGUAUCCAUGAAGUGGAGGCUCAAAAGGGAGAAUCUUCAAUAGUGAAGGAAGUUAAAACGGUUAUCACUUUGAGGAGUGGUAAAGAGGUUGAUCUGCCCACAUGCAAACUAGAGCAUGAUGAAGAGAGUGAAACAGAGAAAGAAAAAAGGGAGGAAAUCAAAGGAAAGAAAAAAGAGAAAGGUACAGAGAAAGAUGACUAUGUAGAUAAAGAACCACAGAGGAUAGUCAUCAAGGAAGAAAUGAAGAAACACAUGCAUCCUCCUUUCCCCCAAGCUUUGAAUGGCAAAAUCAUACAAAGCAAAUCUCAAGUGAGGGAUGCAAACUUCAUAUGGGAUCCGGGCAAGCUAAAUCAAGAUCAAAUUUUUUGAUGGACUUAGUCUUUCUAAAAUACUAGCUAGUCCAUAUCUUUUUGUUUUAUUUUAUUACUUGUUUUAAUUUUGAUUUCAAUGCUUUAAUUUUAAUUUGUUUUGAUGUAACAUAGAUUUUUGGAUGAUCAAAAUCAAGAGGAGAGGAGACUAUGUCAUCUAAGGAGACUACCAUAGAAGAGGUCAAAGUCUUUAUCCAACCCACUUAGAAGGCCACCACAGAUGCAUCACCUCCACAGGACCCUACCAUUACUUGAUCAUCUCUUCAUUUUUUGUCUUUACAUAUCAUAUUAGUAUGAAUAAUUUCAUAUUUUGAUGUCUUAUAUUCUGGGAUUGGAUGUGUUACUGAUGAUACAUCAUAUAUAGACAUCAUUUUUGUUUAAACUUGACAUUUUUCUAUUUCCUCUACUCACCAACUCUUUUGUUUUUUUUUUAAACAUGUGGUUUCUCCUAUACGACUCAAACUCCAUGUCACUCAGGAGGUACCACUUCCUCUCUAUUUUUCAAUCGCUUUUGUCACAUUGAGGACAAUGUUCAGCUUGGUUGGGGGGAGAGUUGAGAAAGGAAGUUUUGUUAUUAAUGCUAAGUUAUUUUGGUAAUUUAGUUGCUUUUUGCUUAAUUUUUAAAAUUUUUAAAAGUUUUUAUUCUACUCUCCAUGGUUAUUAAGGAAAAAAUUUCAAAAUGAAAAGAGAGAAAUUGAAUUUUUGUCUUUUUACUUGACUUAGAUUUUGUAUUAUACUUAUUAAAGUUGAUGAAUUGUUGAAACGUCUAUUGAAUUCAACCUCAGUUCUUCCACUUUAAGCUGUUCACACACUGUGCACAAUAGGUUCCGAUUAUAAGAUGAAAAACUAUUUCCCUCUUGACUUAGGAAAAUUUUAGACUUGGUACCUUUAACCUCAUUUAAUAGUGUUAGGACACCUUAUAAAAGGCCAAUGAGUCUUUGAAAAAAAGAAGAAAGAAAGAAAAAUGUUUGCUUGCCUUGAAACCCGAGCAAUGUCUGAGGGGUAUAUGGUGAAAAUAUUUAAAACCUGGUGCCCUAAGCCUUCAUUGGUUGGGAGUCACCGACCUCAAUGCUUGUUAAAAGGGUGGAUAGGUGGAGUUUAACAUACUGUAGGUGCUUGGGUAUUAAAAAUUCAUUCUCAAAAGUCCGGGCUAAAAUCCGAGGAACUAGUGGUUGAAAGAUCCUUAAAGCUUGAUGCCCUAAGCCUUGAUUGGUUGGGAGUCAUCGAUGGAUCCCCGUUACAUGAACAAUUUAGAAAAAAAUACCUUUAAGCCUUGUACUCCUACAAGAAAAAAAUUGUGAACCAAGAGGUACGUUCCUAGCCUAUUGGAGGUUGAUCAACUUGCUAAGCUUUGAAAAAGAACUAGGUUUGGGGGAGAGAUUAGUUCAACAUACUAUAUUCGGAAACUAAUAAAUAACACUUAGAUUUUUGUGGAAGAGUAAAGUUUGACCCUUUGGGAGUGGAAACUCUUUUAAAGCUUAAAAUUUGCAUAAUGCCUUCUAUUUAAGAAGUGUGAUUAGACAAGUUAUUUGAUAACUCUUGUUGAAGUUUGAGUUUUAUUUCUUUAAUGUUCCAUGUGAGAGUUAGAUCAUCAUGCCACUUGGAAAUUGUUUUUUGAUCAGCAUGAUGUUGUAAAUUAUAGUACUGUUUAUUUUUAUUUUUCUCUCCUUCAUUGCUAAGGGACUAGCAAUAUGUCGGUUGGGGAGAGUGAUUACUACUCAAAAAGUGCUAUUUUAUAGCUUGUAAUUAACUCUUUUAAACACUUUUGAGUAGUAGUUAUCACAUUUUAACCCAAUUAACAUAUUAAGGACUCUUGCAAUCAAUUCUAAUCAAAUUGUGUUAAGUUUUGGUGUUUUGAUAGCUUUUUUAUCACCAAAGCAAUCAGAGAUUGAGGAGAGUUCUUUGGAAUCCAUGUCCAGAUAGGAUAUGCUAUCGUCCGGGGUGUGAUGAUCGCGAGUGCCAUGUGCUUCUCCCUGAGGGAGUCCGGAUAGGGGAGCGCGCCACUUGUCCUCUUGGGGAAUCCGGAUGGAGUUGCUCCACCGACAUUCCACCCGGAUGUCUCACAUCCGGAAUUCUUCUCCGCCGACAUUCCAUCCGGAUAUUUCACAUCCGGCACCUUAUCCGAAUAUUUCACAUCCGGCGCCUGACGUUGGAUGGGAGAGGAAGGCAUUUCAACUUCCCCGGUCAGACAUAUCCGGAUCCUCUGAUAGUGUUUACCCGGAGAAUUUCGCAGCCAUUUUGCACAGUGCCGCGGUGUUCUCUUGAAGCUUCCCGAUAUGUGCGACCGACAUUUUGAGAUAUUUUGCUUUAAACAUUUUACGUCUAAAUUCCCAAACUCUCUUUGUAACCCACCUAUCAUAGGAUUCCUUAGUCUUUAAGUAAGAACAAAUGGUGAAUAACCUCUUAUAUAUAGUUUGUAAUUUCCUUUACAAAGGGAUAUAGAAGGAAAGAUAUAAUCAAAUCUCGGGAGCUUGUUCUCAGAGACAACCUUUUGUAUAAGUAAGAAAUAUAUCUACAAAGCACUUGCUCUGGUUUUCAUAUAUAUUUUUGUUCUCUCGUUAUUUUUCUUUCUAGCCAAUCAAACUCUGAGGAUUUUUCCUCAGAGGUUGAGAGAUUAAACUCUUCGUCUCUUGGAGUGAAGAAAGCCAGGUAAGUUUCCAAAUGCAUAAAUUGGAAGUUUUGUUGUUUUAGUUUUUAAUGAAGAGAAAGUGUGACCCGUUAAUGGUUUUUAUCUUUUUAGUUAACUUAAAACGCCUUUAAAUCACCUGGGCCAACACUUGAUAAGGCAAGUGAUCUCCAUCCAUUGAGAUGCACUAGUUUAUCUCUUGCGAGCCUUUGGGAGGUGGUUUGAAGGUAGGAUUUUCUAGAAUAGCCAACACUUGGUAAGCUUUUGGACUCUAAGGAGACAUCCAUUAGUUAUCUCUUGCGAGCUUUUGACGGGUAAUCCAAGGUUAAAGAUCACCUUGAAUGGUAAAUGUUAGGUGAGAGGCACGAGCCAUUGCAAGAUGCAUCAGUGAGAGGGAUUUAGUGUUUGAACCCAUUAAAGGGAAGCAUCUGCACCACACCAGUUCGGGAAAUAACUAUAUGUUAAAUCCCCAAUGCGAGGAAAAGAAACAAGUGACCGGAACUCUCCUUUUUGUAUGAGAAACCUGAGCCUAGUGAUCUGAAACUCCAAGAAACACUUUUCUUUGUAAUUAAAAUCAGUUACUACUAUUUUUGGUUAGCUUAAAACCAAUCCUUUUUCAAACAUCUUUAUGUUUUCUUUUCAAGCUAACCUUGAAAUGAAAAGGCACCAAUUCAUCUUUGAAUUGAUAUCAAUUGUGAAGUGAAAACUCAUCCCAGUGAAUGAUCCUAGAGCCACUAUGCUAUAGUAGCUUUGUCUUUGCUACCCUAGUUCAUGGUGUAAUAGGUUAUAAAUUUUGUUGAUUACUCCCUCAAUCAAGGAGCACCAGCUAGACAUGAAUCAGCUAAGACACCAAUUGGGCACGAAUCAAAAGGAAUCACAAUUUAUAUUUGUUAAUCCUUUUACAAUAUCAUGAGCAGGCUUUAGUACUCCUCAAACAGGGAAAAAAGCACAAUUGUUGUCAAAACGCUUAAUAGAGUGCCAAGAUGCUAAAUAUGUUUUCAUACCCUACAAUCCCGAGUAAGUGACGAAUAUUAUACUUUAAUUUGAGGUUUUAUUAUUGAUUUAUAUUUCUAAUUAGAUGCUACUUUUGUUUUUAAUGUUUUAGCUUUCAUUGGGUCUUGGUAGUGCUUGAGCCAAGGAAAAUGAUAGUCCACUAUCUUGACCUUAUGCAUCACAAACCAUGUGAAGACUUAAAGGAUAUCGUAAACAUGUAAGUUCUUCCUAUUAUUUUUCAUAGUAUUAUUUUUAAAUAAAUAAAAAAUACAUUCACCUCAAACACAUUUUGUUAUUAUUUAUAUAUAUUAAAACAUAUAAUAUUUUCCUCUUUUAAAAACGUACCCAUUGAACUUAUUUACAUAGGGCUCUUCGAAUAUCUACAAAGAAAACAUCUAAGAGGGAACCAUCUUGGCAACUAGUGUAGGUAACAUCCAAAAAAAUUUCUUUACACAUUAGCUUAUGCAUUUACACCAUUUAUAUAUGUGAGUACUAAUGUUAUUUUAUAAUUGAUCGAUUAGUGUCCAAGAUAAGAAGGAGGGUUCGAAUGUGGCUACUUCGUUAUGAGAUUCAUUAAAGAGAUAAUUUUUUAUCCUACAAUUAUUGCUUCAAAGGUAUUACUUAUUUAAUGAAUUGUACAUAGUUUUAGGCUUCCAAAUGUUAUGCAUUUUAAUGUUAUUUUCUUAUUUGAUUUUAGUUUGGUGAUAAAAAAACAUAUUCUCAAGUAGAAUUCGAUGAAAUUAGAGGAGAAUGGGCUACUUUUGUGCUACAACUAAUCAUGAAUCAUGUUGAUGCAUCAUGAUCACCAUGCAUGGUGAGUCCCUUAGCUACUACAUGAAUUUUUCCAUAGAUCUUGUAUAGUAUUGCUUAUUCUUAGAAUAUUGUUUUUAUUUGAAAAAAAAAAUAGUUCUUAGAUUUGUUCAUUUAUGAUAAAAUCGAUCCAUGUUUAUUUUCUUCAAUAAAAAUAUCUAAAACUCAUUAAAUUAUGAAAUGCAGGUAUACACUCUUGGGAGGGUGAAAUGGAGAAUAAAAAGAAAGAAGAAGGCAACAAGAUUUUGGGCUUUUAAAUGCAACUCUUAUGUCAUUUUAUAGUUAGCCGAUUUUAUGCUAAAUAGAGGUAUACAUGAAUCUUAGGAUCUUUAACAUUUCUAAAUCAUGUUUUGGUAUGUAUUCACUCUUCUUUUUUAGUUUUGAUGGGUUUGAUAUGUUGGACGUACUAUCCUUUUGUGAACAUUUGAUAUACAAAUAUUAUUAGAUGAUCAAUGUAUUAUGAGUUAUUCUAGAAACAUUACAGAAAAAUGAGUUAAAUAUAAUAUGAUUGUUAUAUUUAUGGACAAACUAUAAACAGGUUAAUCUUAUCAAUUCAUAAGCAUUACAAAAAUCAAUAACUAAAACCAAUCAUAUCUUCCACAAUAAUUUACAAUGAUGUGACACCAUAACUCAAAGGUGAUGCAUUUAAUGUGACAUCAUAACUCAAAGAUGAUGUAUUUAAUGUGGCACCCUAUCAUCACUAGAAGUAUAUGGUGUCACUUCCGAAUAGGUCACUAUUUAUCUACUUUAUUGUCACUUCCAAAUACGUCACCAAUUGGUACUCUCUAUGGUGUCAGUGGAGAAGGUGACGUUAUGUUGUAGUGACACCCUAUGUUUAUGGUGACUCGUUAUAAAUGUCACCAUAUACCUUUUUCCUUGUAAUGCUUGCACACCAUUCGAUUAUCCUGUUCGUUCUUAUAGGAUGAGUUUGGCAGACUACUUCAUCAAAGGAUUAGAGGUUCAUCCGUAUAUGGGGGAUUUUGGCGUUGUGACUGAUAUAGAGGGAGUGGAUGAGCUUCAGCAUUAGUUUCUCCAUUUAUAGUUAGGAGAUGAGACUUCUAGCACACUAGUUUCAUUAAUGAUUACUCAUUCAUCACUAGAUCGAGCCAAUUUCUUAUCUUUGUGCUUUCUAGAGAAGACUACUGAUUGUGGAGUAAGUGUUGAGCCUAUUGGGGUGAUUGAUGGAGUUGUUCCUCGUGAUGAGUAUCGGGAUGAGAUGGAUAUGAUGAGUAUGAAUCAUAUCGUUGAGAGGGUUCAGCCUGAGUCUGUUUCACCAUUCAACCUAUUCGGGGUGUCUACUAUCGAGGUUGCCAAGAAGAUCCAAACAAUCCUUGCUCUAGCUUAUGGAGGAUGUUGUAGUUGGUGAUGAUUUGUUUUAGGACACUUUUAGCUCUAUUACUGGGAUUUAUUUCCUAUCCUGACGAUGUUUAUGAUUCCGUAUCUAUGGAUUUGAGUAUUUUUGAGUAUUUGCCUGUCUCUUAUGAUAAUAUUUGUAUAUCUGCACCCCACUCACCUACUCUACAGAUAUUUGAUAUAGAUGAUGAGAUCGCACAGCCUAAUUCAGAUAGAGACUCUUUUGAUCAUGACUCAAACCCCAUAGAUGAGAGAGUUUCACCUACUAUAGGGGAUGUUAAGACUAUUGAUUUUGGCACAGAGAAUCAACCUAGAGAGCUGAAGAUUGGCUCACCCUUGUCUAUAGAUGAAAGGGAUAGACUUAUUCAUUUACUCAGAUCAUAUUUAGAUGUCUUUGUAUGGUCUUAUGAAGAUGUCGGGUCUCGAUCCCUCUAUAGUCCAGCACCAUUUACCUAUCUUACCACAUGUCAAACCAGUUAAGUAGAAGUUGAGGCGAUUACACCCACGUUGGAGUCUACAAGUGAAAAAGGAGAUUCAAAAACAGCUCAGUGUUGGAUUUAUAUAAGUGGUUUAGUAUCCAGAAUGGUUGGCUAAUGUUGUCCCAAUUCCCAAAAAUGAUGGCAAGGUUAAAGUUUGUGUCGAUUUCAGAGACCUAAAUAAAGUCAGCCCUAAGAAUGAUUUUUCUCUCCCACAUAUUGAUUUGCUGGUCGAUAGCACUGCAGACCAUUCAAUGUUGUCUUUCAUGGAUGGAUUUUUGGUUUAUAAUCAGAUUUUGAUGGCUCCAAAGGAUAUGGAGAAGACAACCUUCAUUACCGAGUGGGGUACCUACUGUUAUAGAGUUAUGUCAUUUGGGUUGAAGAAUGCAAGAGCUACUUAUUAGAGGGUUGCUACUACUUUAUUUCAUGACAUGAUGCAUAGGGAUGUGGAAGUUUAUGUGGGUGAUAUGAUUGUGAAAUCCCGAGGUAGAGCAGAUCACCUAGCGGCUCUAGAGAGAUUCUUUGAGAGGAUUCAGAAAUUUAGAUUGAGGCUAAACCCCAAGAAAUGCACCUUUGGAGUGACUUUUGGGAAAUUAUUAAGGCAUAUGGUUAGUGAGCAGGGCAUAGAGGUCGACCCAGAUAAAAUCAAAGCCAUACUUGACAUGCCUAUGUUAAGGAAUGAGAAAUACAUCAGGGGUUUUCUGGGCAGGUUAUGGUACAUCAGUCGUUUCAUAGCCAGAUUGACAAACAUGUGAGAGCCCUUUUUUUGUCUUUUGAGGAAGAACCAAUCGACAGUUUGGAAUGAUGAUUGUCAGUUUGCAUGUGAGAAGAUCAAGCAGUACUUGCUUUCUCCUCCUAUUUUAGUGCCUCCUAUGCUGAGACACCCACUACUUCUAUAUUUUUUUAGUUUCAAACAUGGCCUUGGGAUGUAUGCUAGCUCAACUUGAUGACUCAGGGAAAGAAUGAGUUAUUUACUAUUUGAGUAAGAGGAUGUUAGAGUAUGAGAUGAGAUAUGCUAUGAUUGAGUGCCUCUACUUAGCAUUAGUUUGGGCUACUAGGAGAUUGAGGAAUUACAUGACUAAGUGUUCAAUACGUUUGAUUUCUCGGCUAGAUCCGUUGAGGUAUUUAUUUGACAAACCCGCAUUGACUGGCAGAUUGAUGAGAUGGCUCAUACUUUUGAUAGAGUUUGAUAUUCAAUAUGUUUCUUAGAAGUCUAUUAAGGGAAGUAUUGUCGUCGAUCACUUAACCUCAUUACCGAUAUCUAAGGGUAAACCAGUUGACGAUGAUUUUUCGGUUGAGUAGUUCAUUGCUAUGACUAGCUUAUUAGGUUGGCACAUGUACUUUGAUGGUGCAACCAACCACUCAGGGUUUGGGAUAGGUGUUUUAUUGAUAUCCCCCCAAGGUGAUCAUAUUCCGAGGUUAGUUCACUUAGCGUUUUCAGAUCAACAUCCUGCCACGAACAACAUAAUUGAGUAUGAGGUAUUUGGUGACUCUAAUCUGGUACUCAAAUAGAUUCAGGGAGAUUAGAAGACUAGGGAUGUAAAGCUUUAGGCCAUAUCAUGCUUAUUUAGAGUUACUAGUUGGGAAAUUUGAUGACUUGAGAUACACUCGUCUACCUCAAGCACAAAACCAAUUCGUUAAUGCCUUAGCUACCUUAGCUUCUUUUGUAGACAUUCCAACUAAUGUGGUUAUAUGUCCAUUGUUGAUUGAGUCGAGGUUUGCACCGCUUACUAUUGUCUGAUUGGAAAAACAGAGGCCUAAGAUGAUCUACCUUGGUAUCAUGACAUUUAUUAGCUUCUUAGAUUUGGCACAUACCCAGAGGCUGUCACAGUUAAGGAUCAAGCAUUGAGGCAGUUGGCCACUAGAUUUAUGAUUUGUGGAGAGACUCUAUAUAGGCGAUCAAUUGAUGGUAUGCUUUUAUUAUGUUUAGAUCGAGCCUCUGCAGAUCGAGUGAUGAGAGAGGUUCAUACGAGAGUUUGUGGUCCAUACAUGGGAGGGCACAUGCUGGCCUAUAAGAUUAACAAGACAAGUUACUUUUGGUUAACUAUGGAGACAAAUUGUUGUCAGUUUGUUCAGAGAUGUCCAAAGUGCCAGAGUCAUGGUGAUCUCAUUCAUGCACCACCAUCCGAGUUACACGCUUUGACCUCACCAUGGUCGUUUUCAGUAUAGGGUAUUGAUAUUAUUGGGAAGAUUUCACCGAAAUCUUCUAGUGGUCAUGAGUUUAUCCUAGUUGCCAUAGAUUAUUUCACCAAGUGGGUGGAAGUUGCAUCAUAUGCGAGGUUGACAUCUGCUAGAGUCACCAAUUUCAUCAUAUCACACAUCACAUUUCAUUAUAGGGUGCCGCAUGAGUUGAUUUUAAAUAGAGGGGUACACUUUCAAGCUGAGGUUGACACUUUGUUGCAAAAAUAUGGCAUCCGACAUAAUAGAUCUUCUGCAUAUAGGCCACAAACUAAUGGGGUAGUAGAGGCAGCAAAUAAGAACAUUAAGAAGAUUUUGAGGAAGAUUGUUGAAACCUCUUGAGAUUGGUCAGAGAAAAUCUCUUUUGUAUUGUGGGCAUACCGUACCUCUUUUCGCACCUCUAUAGGAGCUACACCUUAUUCUCUACUAUAUGGUAUGGAGGCUAUUUUGCCAAUAGAGAUAAAGAAGGUUCACUGAGAGUAGCUCUCGAGCAGUAGAUUUAUAAGACAAAAUGGGCUCAAACUAGAUUUGAUCAGCUUAACAUUUUAGAUGAGAAGAGAUUGAGAGCUAUAGAUCAUGUUUAGGCCUAUUAGAGAAAGAUGGCUCGUGCUUUCAGAAAAUGGGUUAAGCCUAGACUAUUACAAAAAGGAUAUUUGGUUUUGAGGAUUCUCAAAGGCUUAUUUAGAGAUCCCAAAGGGAAGUUCAAACCUAGUUGGAGUGAGUCUUAUGUUAUUCGAGAGUUGACUCUAGAAGGGGCUGCAUGGUUGACCGAAUUAAAUGGGAACCAGUUUUUGGAGCCUACCAAUGUGGAUCAGUUGAAGAAUUAUUACGUUUGAGACCAUGGUCAUAGAAUGGGUGACCAUCAUUUUGGUUAGCCUUACACUUUAUCACCCCCAUCUAUAUAUUAUUGUAGACCUUCAAUUUUGUCCCUCGACACUGGCAUUUAUCCUUUGGGUGUCACAUUCACCCAUCGUUCUCAUAUAGCACCACUAGGGCCCCUUUUAGGCUUAGUCGGUGUUCGAGCUUCGUGUGGGCUUGUCUGUGGUCCAUUAUGGUGCAUAUGUAGUUCAUUUUAGAGGGUCAUCAUGGCCAUUUUCCUAGUCGUUCACAUCACGUUAUAAGAAGGAAGUGGGGUCAUCCCGAUGUUUUAGCUUAGUUGGAGUUUAUAGGGGCAUGUUGAGGUUCAGAGCACUCGGGCUUGUUUUGAUCAUAUCUCCCUCAGCUGAACUCGGAAUUGUGCAUCAUUUUUUUUCAUGAAUUCCUUAUUCUUCCAGAAACAUUCUGUCAAAUUUUCAAAAUUUUUUGCAACCGGUUCGAUAGGUUGGCAUUUGGUUCACCGAGUCAGCUGGUGUAGAACACUGAUUUUGGUAAUUUUAGGGCCCCAAUCCUACAUGGCUCGGGCCCAUAAGCUCUAGAUCGGUUUUGGGCAAUGUUGUGGGUCCAUUUUGGGCCUUGGUUUGGGUUCCUUGUAGCCCACCACGAAUCCAUAUGGAUUCUUGGUGGUGAAGCAAGUUGAAAUCUGAAGAGAGUGAACUGGCCUUGUGAGUGCAAGAGAGAUAAUGGGGGGUUGUGGUUCCCAUGCUGAUGGAGGGGAAUUCGGUGCUGAAGGGGAAGGAACCCAGGAGGCUCAAAUGCUGAGAGGGGUUAGGAGUAUAAAAGGUGAGAAAAAAGGAGAGUAGGGAACCUUUUGGCAUUUUGGAGAGAGGGAAUAUUUUGCUGGUGAAAAAAAACAGAGGGUGGGGAGCAUCUUCUGAGUUGAGAGCAUGGGGGAAAAUUCUAUGCAUCUCAGAGAGUUCUUCAUGUGAAAGGAUAAAUAAGGAGAGUGAACAGAGAGAGAAGAAAAAAAAGACAGAUAGUGAGUUGAGUGCAAAGAGGGCUUGAGGCAGAACAGAAGCACCAUCAGCAUCACAAUUUGAAGAAGAAAGCUUCAGCACUAUGGUUUUUUUAAGAGGAGAGCUACAACAUCUCGGUUUUUGGAAGUCAUCAUCGGCAUACACAGAUCAUAUUUGGUGGAGAUUUUGAGGUAAGUAAGUUGAAUUUUUUUACCUACAGGUUAUCUUCAUCGUCUUCAUAUGCUUUUUCUUCUUCCUCUUCCUCUUCUAUUUCCUUUGAUAUGAAGAUUGUUUUGUUUGGGUGUGGAUAAUAAAGGCCACACAUGAUUGUUGUUGAUUAGUUAUGAAUUGUUGAGGAUUACAGUUGAGGAUGAUUGUUGUCUUGAUGUGUUAGAAUCACGUUUAGGCUCAAGUUUAAUUCACUUUUUGUUUUCAAUUUUGCCUCAUUUGAUUCAAACCCUUCGAUACAUACAUGAGAUGAGGCUUACCACCAUUUGGUUUCUCUAUUUUGAUUCUAAUUUGAUUAAUUGCAACCUGUAAUGAUUGUUAGUUUACUUUAAGAACACACACUAGUUCACUUUCAUCAUACACUAUAGUUCAAAUUGCAGUGCAUAAGUAACUUUAAUUUUCAGCACCACAGCUCGUUGACUCUAUCAGCUAUGAGGAACACUUGACCUUGGUUUGUUUGGUUCUCACCCGUCUAGGCUUGGAAUUGAGUACCGUUGCUUUUGUUUGAUUCCUUAUUCAUUUAGAAAUUUUCUGACAAAAUUUGGGAAUUUUUCUCAACCAGUUCAGCACCAUGGCUUGCUGACUCUAUCAGCUAUGAGGAAUAACUGACCUUGCUUUCUUUGGUUCUCACUCGUCCGAGCUUAGAAUUGAGUGCCACUACUUUUGUUUGAUUCCUUAUUCAUUUAGGAAUUUUUUGACAAAAUUUGGGAAUUUUACUCAACCGGCUAGACCGGUUGGGAACCGGUUCAAUCGAUUCAGCACCACGGCUCGCUGACUCUGUCAGCUAUGAGGAACACCUGACCUUGCUUUGUUUGGUUCUCACCCAUCCGGGCUUGGAAUUGAGCAACAUUGCUUUUGUUUGAUUCCUUAUUCAUUUAGAAAUUUUUUGAAAAAAUUUGGGAAUUUUUCUCAACCGGCUGAACCAGUUGGUACCCGAUUCAACCGGUUUAGCACCACGGCUCGUUGACUCUGUCAGCUAUGAGGAACACUUGACCUUGCUUAGUUUGGUUCUCACUUGUCUGGGCUCAGAAUUAAGCGCCACUACUUUUGUUUGAUUCCUUAUUCAUUUAGGAAUUUUCUAACAAAAUUUGGGAAUUUUUCUCAACAGGUUGUACCAGUUGGGAAUUGGUUCAACCUGUUCUGCAAGAGAAUUAUGGGCAACCCUCAAUUUUGGCAUUUUUCGAGCCCGUAUCCAUUGGGGCUCAAACCCAUUUGCUAUGGGGCACUUGUGGGCCAUCUUGAAGGUUUAAGUCAAUGUUUGGUUCAGUUAGUGUGAGCCCAUUUUGAAGUUAUGGGCGGUGUGGUCUAGGUAAGUCUAGUUUGAUUUGUAUGACAUUUGGGGGUCCCUUACCUCAUUUCAACCAGCUUUCCUCCUCUUUGGCACAAACUUUAAUGCUUGAUUUUGAAUUGCAUGGUUGACUCACCCUUUGCUGUAGUACAUGGCUAGGGACCAUAGGUUCGCAUCAUUGAUGUUUGGUUAUUGAGUUCAUAUGCAUGCAUGGUGCUUAAUCUUGAAUGCUUGUUAUGUGUUUAUGUGUGCUUGACUAAUCUCUUUUGUAGCGCAUGGCUAGGGACCUCAGGUACGCAUCAUUGGUUUUGGUUGAUGAAUUCAUAUGCAUGCCAAAUAUCAAUUAGGAUUGUGUGAUUCAUGAUAUCUAUUUAGCCUAGGGUUCCAUUUGAUCUUUAACCCAUAUGCUCCCACAUACUCAAUUCAUUAGUAGAGACCGAGUUACAGGCCUAGAGGGGUGCUACCUCGCAUGAGGUAUCUUCCCAAUGGGUAACUUGGUCCCCGGACCCAGAAUCUAGUUUUCGUAGACCGUUUUUUCCAUAUUGGGGUCAUUAGGGGUUUUUGCUCUUACUUGAUUUUCCCCAUUCUAAAAACAAAAAUAAAAAGUAAGUGGCGACUCCAAACAACACCAUUCCUCAUCGGGGGCAGAAUUUUCAAAACUCGAAAAACCAACUUUUCUUUUCUCUUUUAAAAGCGAGUCACAUUGGUCGAUAGAUCGGGUGAGGGUCCACAAUUAGACCGUUGCUAGCCCAUCGAGCCUCAUGUGGUAUGUUAUAGCCUUUUUCUUUUCUAUAGCCUUGCUUAUUAUUUCUACACCCAAGUUGGGGCUCUUUGAUGUAUAGUCAUGCUUUGCAAGGAAAGUCUCAUGAGUUUUGGAUUUAUAGGCUUAUCUUUAUCACCUUUUUCUAUUAUCACCUCACCACCCCGUUUGUUACGUUCCACUAUUUUCACAUUUUCAUCUCUAUCUUGGCCUUCAUUAUUGGUCGUUACACUUCAUAUUCUCUUCACUAGGAAUGUUGAUUCUUCACAUAUUGAUGCAUAUAGGGUAGUCAUAUCACUCUCUUUAUUCCAUGAUUUGGCAUUGAUUCGGAGACUCUUGCUUGAGAGGUUGCCUCAUGGGAUAAGGUUUUGUGUGUUCAUCAGUGAUUUGAGAGAGUUUAUUCAUUCCUUUUAGUUUCUCAUUGGAGUAUGAUUUAUUGAUGACCAGGAUAUGCACAAACAAAAAAAAAAAACACAAUGAUGUGUUUGUACUUAAUAUCCUACUCCAUCGAGCAUGUGUUGUUAUUUAAGGGUUGUUUACUGGAUUUAUCAUUAAGGCUUUGUGCGAGUUUUCCAUGAGGAAUUUUUCACUCCUUGAGUCACUUUCAUUAUGCAAUUUGAGGGAUGAGAGUUUUUCGUGAGAUAUUUUAUUUUAUUUUAUUUUAUUUUUGAGUUUUGUGAGAUCCCUUGUUUCCAGGAUCAGAGUUGUUGCACUUUAUAGGUAUGAGAGUUGAGUAACCUUUCACUAAGGUCUCCAAAUCAGUGUCUUCUUUACUCAUCCACCCAGUGCUCAUAUGAUCGACAAAUGGCACAAGGCAUAGCUUGCAAUGGUGUUUGAGAGAUGGCUUGCACUUCUUGCAUCUGGUUCAUUUCUAGCUCUGAUUACUACCAAAAAGUGCUAUUUUGUAGACCUAAUUAUAAUGGUUUUAAGCACCUUUAAGUAGUAAUCAUAUUCAUUUAACCCAAUUAAUUCAUUAAGGUCCUUAGUAAUUGGUUUUAACCAUUUUUGUGGCAAGUUUACAUGUUUUUAUCAGCUUAUGAAUCGAUUCAAGCAUGCCAAAUGAUGGAGGAGCUACUUGGACAAGUUAAAUCAAGGAUUUUGGACAUUUACAGGCUUGAAUUUCAAGUGGAAACACGAGCACAAGCAAAGAGAAGCAAAGUGGAAAAGCAAACAAUGGAGAAGAGGAAAACAGAGGACAGCAGCUGCAGUCUUCUUUCGCACUUUUGGAGCACUUCCCGAAGUCCAUUUUUUACAUUCUAUAUACCAUUUCAAAGCUCUGGAAGUCAAGAAUCCAACGCUUCAAACCGUGCACGAUUUGGAGUUGAAAUGAGGAAGAUAUGGCCUUCGGAAGCCAACUGCUCCAGCAUAUGCGAAAAUUUCGCAUUCCACAAGAGCAUAUGCGAAAUUCGCAUUUGGUUCGCAUUUGGUUCGCAUAACCCAUGCGUGUUGCGAAUUUUGCUCUGCCCUUUGCCGACUCCACUUUAGAUAUUUUCCUUUGUAUUUUGUGAUGUAAUUUCCUUUAUUAUCCUUGUAACUAACCAAUCAUAAGCUUUGGCUUUUGUAAAGACUAUAUAAGGGGUGGAAAUCACCUCUUGGAAUAGAGAUGAUAUAGAAUAUAGAUGCAUAUAUACAGACGGAGCCUUGCUCUGUUUUUCUCUCUUCUCCAGCUCUCCCGUUUCUAUUUUCUUAGUAGCCAAACAGCAUCUAAGGGCUUUUCCUUAGAGGAUGAUUGGCUAAAACUUUUAGUUUCUCAAAGUAUGGAUGUUAUGUGAUGGCUUGGAUGCAAUCCCAUGGAAAUUUCUUGCACUCGGAAGGUAAGGUAGACGUUUUUCAUUAAAGGUUCAUUAAGGCAAAGUUUGGUUUUUAUUUUCUUUGGACAACUUCCAAUGGCCAAUACUUGAUAAGCUUUUGGAUUUCUAUCCAUUAGUUAUCCCCUACGAGCUAUUGGAAGGUGAGGUUUUCAAUUCCAAGUUUUGCAUUAAUCCAUUAGAACCAAUUUCAAAUGGCCAUUGAAAGGUGAGUUUAUCACUUGGAAUGACUUUGAGUUGCCAAUAUUUGGUAAGCUUUUGGCUUUAGACCAUUAGUUAUCUCUUACGAGCCAUUCAAAGGAAGUCAAAGGUGAAUAACCAUUGAUGAAAUUCACUACCAUCUGUUUUGUCAUUUUAAAGGAUUAAAACUUGAUUUGCUAAAUCCAUACCGGUUCGGGAAGCAAGCAUCACCAUAGUUGCAACCCCAACGCGAGGAGACUAUCCUGAGAUUUCCAAUUUGCAUAAGAGCCAGAGCGUAGCUAUCCUAUCUUUGAGAAACUUGUUUUUACACCCUUUCAUUUUAGUCUUUAAUGUUAGCUUAGAUUAGUUUAAAUCUUUCUGAAAUAUUUACAUCUUCUUUUAAAGCUAACAUCCAUAAGAAAAUCACCUAUUUUCCUAAUUUAAAUAUCACUUGUGUUUGUGAAAACCCUUCCCAGUGAACGAUCCUAGAACCACUAUGCUAUAGUAGCUUGGCUACUUUAGUAAUAGUAUUCAAGGUAUAAAUUUUGUUGAUACGCCUUUAAAGCUAAGCUACCAUGAGUCGAAUCAAGCUCUUCCAAUCUCCUUUCCAUAGCUGCAAUCUUUGCCUUCAUGUCUAUGUCGUCAUUCAAAAUAUACAUCUCACCCUUAGCAUUAGGUUGAGACGUCAUUCUUUCCAUAUCUCUAGCAUUUGGUUCAUCCCAUCCUCUUGAAACUUCAGCCACAUAACUCAUGAAGUUCAUGGCUUCCUCUGCUAUGGUAUUCAAUAUGGCAUGCACAACUAGCAAAUUGUGAAUUAAAAACAGAGAACACAAAAGAAAACAAAAGAAAAAUGAUUCUAAGGAAAAAAUUAAGGUAAACUAAAAACUAAAUAAAAGAUAUACUAAAACAUGAACAAAGAAAAAUAAACAAAUAAAAAGAGUUAGUAAAAGGAAAAGAAAAGUCACCAAACUUGUGAUGAAGAUCACAAGUACUCUAGAAAGGUGAUAUCACUAUAAAGUGGCACCAUCCCCGGUAACGGCGCCAUUUGAUUCGUCCCUAGCAGCGGUAGUGGCAAUGGCACCAUUUGAUUCGGGGUUCGAUCCCCGGCAACAGCGCCAUUUGAUUCGUCCCUAGCAGCGGCAGUGGCAAUGGCACCAUUUGAUUCGGGGUUCGAGCCCCGGCAACGGCGCCAUUUGAUUCAUGCCUAAUUGGUGUCUCAGCUGAUUCGUGUCCAGCUGGUGCUCCUUGAUUGAGGGAGUAAUCAACAAAAUUUAUAACCUAUUACACCAUAUACUAGGGUAGCAAAGACAAAGCUAUUAUAGCAUAGUGGCUCUAGGAUCGUUCACUGGGAUGGGUUUUCACUUCACAAAUGAUAUUAAUUCAAAGUUGAAUUGGUGCCUUUUCAUUUCAAGGUUAGCUUUAAAAUAAAACAUAAAGAUGUUUGAAUGAAAAAGGUUUAGAUUUAAACUAACCAAAAAUACUAACUGAUUUUACUUACAAAGAAAAGUGUUUCUUGGAGUUCAGAUCACUAGGCUCAGAUUCCUCAUACAAAAAGGGAGUUCCGGUCACUUGUUUCUUUUCCUCGCAUUAUAGAAUUAACAUAUAGUUCCUUCUCCAACCGGUGUUGUACAGAUGCUUCCCAUUAAUGGGUUCAAACACUAAAUCCCUCUCACUGAUGCACCUUGCAAUGGCUCAUACCUCUCACCUAGCACUUGCCAUUCAAGGUGAUCUUUAACCUUGGAUUACCCAUCAAAAGCUCGCAAGAGAUAACUAAUGGAUGUCUCCUUGGAGUCCAAAAGCUUACCAAGUGUUGGCUAUUCUAGAAAAUCCUACCUUCAAACCACCUCCCAAAGGCUCGCAAGAGAUAAACUAGUGAAUCUCCAUGGACGGAGAUCACUUGUCUUACCAAGUGUUGGCCCAGGUGAUUUAAAGGCGUUUUAAGUUAACUAAAAAGAUAAAAACCAUUAACGGGUCACACUUUCUCUUCAUUAAAAACUAAAACAACAAAACUUCCAAUUUAUGUAUGUGGAAACUUACCCGGCUUUCCUUACUCCAAGAGACAAAAAGCUUAGCCUCUCAUCCUCUGAGGAAAAAUCCUCAGAGUUUGUUUGGCUAGCAAGAAAACUAACAAGAAAACAAGAAUAUAUAUGAAAAACAAAGCAAGUGCUCUGUUCGUUGAUUCUAUAUAUGAUAUAUCUAUCUAUUGAUCGAUAUUACAUUGGAUGCAAGGGAAUAUAUAUAGAGAUGUUUUUCCAACCUUCCUAACUAAGAAAUCUUAUGGUUGGUGGAUUACAAGGAGAAGAAUGGAAAUUUAUACAAAAAUAUCUGAAGAAAAGAUCUAAAAGAUUCGGUGCACAAAUAUCGAGAAGCACUAAGGACCAUUUCGCAGGUGAAAACGAGGUCUGCGAGAUUUUGCAGAUGCACAAAAAGGGCUGCGAAAUGACUUCGCAGCAAACGGCUGAUUUCACAUUGCUGCGAAGUGGUCUUUCAUCUUGUGGUGUUCGGCUUCCAACUUGCGGAAUAUAUCGGGAAACUUCGGGAGGGAAUCCACAACACUGUACAAAAAGGCUGCGAAAUCAUUUCGCAACAAAAGGGUGAUUCCGCAACACUUUUGCAAAAUGCUUUCUUCAGCUUAGAGUGAUUGACUUGCAGUGGCUGUAACUUCUUUGUUUCAACUCCAAAUUGCACACGGUUUGAAGCAUUGGAUUGUUGACUUCCUGAGCUUUAAAAUGGUAUAUAGCAUGUACAAAAAGGACUUCGGGAAGUGCUCCAAAAGUGUGCAAGAAGACUGCAGCUGCUGUCCUCUGUUUUCUUCACUCUGUUUUCCUCUCUCCAGUGCUCUUUCCUUGCAUACUUUGAACGACUAAGGCAAAGGACUAUGAGGCUCCAAAGCUUGUUCUUCAUGAAUUUGAGCUUUCCAUUCCUUUUCCAUGAACUAUAUACAGCUCUCCCUCAUUCUUGGAUUGCUUUGGUGAUCAAAAAGCUAUCAAAACACCAAAACUUAACACAAUUUGAUUAGAAUUGAUUGCAAGGGUCCUUAACAUGUUAAUUGGGUUAAAAGGCAAUAACUACUACUCAAAAGUGUUUAAAAGAGUUAAUUACAAGCUAUCAAAUAACACUUUUUGAGUAGUAAUCACCUAUGUUAUGUCCCGUGUCUUAAUAUCACCCUGAGACCAUGAGAUCAAAUGUUAUCUUUGACAGUCUUCACUUGAAUAGACUUUUGUAGAUUGGUUAAAGUAUAGUCAUUACUAUGCUUUCUCUUAUGGGAGAUACUUUUAGAAGCAUUUGGUUUCUCUCUCCUGCUUGGUAUAUCAAUGUUUGCUGGAUUUUUGAGUUGGAGACAAUCCAUUGAUGAUAUUGGAUUCAUCAUUUUGUUGUGCAUCAGAUAUCCACACUAGGGCAUAUUUCUCCUUUGCUCUUAGAUCCUUAGUCAUGGUUGGGUUGUGUGGCUAUCCUUGAUCUUGAUCAUUAAGAUGUUUGACUGAUGUUAUUAGGAGAUUGAUUGAUGUUGACAGAUGUUUGGUUGACGAUGUCAUGUUCUUUAUUGUGUACCAGAUAUCGAUACUAGGGCAUAUUUCCCUCUCCUUGAUGAGAUUAUGCAUAAAUGGAUGAUUAUUGUUGGUUGUUUAACUUAUGAUUUCGACAUUAGAUAUCCAUACUGAGGCAUAUUCCCCUCUUCUCGAUGAGAUUGUGUUCAGGUAGUAGUACGAGGAUGGACAAUUAAUGUUGGUUGUUUACCUCACGACUUCGACAUCAUACAUUAUACUGGGGCAUAUUCUCCUCUCCUUGAUGAGAUUUUGUUUACGUGUUGGUAUAACGAUGGAUAAUAGGUGUUGUUUAUUAACCUCAUGACCUUGACAUCAAAUCUUAUACUGGGGCAUAUUUUCUCAUUUUCUUUGAGUAUCCUUGAGAUUGGGACAAUGGCCAACUUGGUUUUAGAUUGAGUACUAGUAUGGGGCUUCCGAUGAUUGACUGUAUUAGGACCUCCGUACAUGAAUUUGUUGAGAUAGAGAUGGGUCACAUCAGGUUUCACUCGAGGAGCAUGGGUGGAUCUUUUAGCCAGAUGUUCAUGAGAUAGAUUGCUUUUGCCAUUGAUUACCUUACAUAUUGGGUUAUCUAGAUGAGAAGUAUUUUUUGUACACUCUGAUAUGUACUUUUAUAUGAGUUUCGAUACAUAUUCUGAGAUUUACAUUUUGAGGUUUGUCACCAAAGCUACUUGUGAGACAUAGAGAGUUCUUUCAAUUCAGAUUUUUUAGAGGUUUGUCAUGAUGCAUCAGUUUCUGACUUAUUGAUUUCAAUGGAUGAUUGGUUUAUUGGUUGUUUCAGUGGUAUGAGCACCUUGGAUACUGGGGCAUAUUUGUCUUCCUAAGUUCAGUAGUCCGACCCUCAACAUUUUGAGCAUAUGUCUUGGAGCCUUUUUGUUUCCUAUCCACUUUCGAGUUGGUCUUCAUUUCUUUUUCAUUUAGAGCCUAGAGCUCUCAACCUAGAGUUGUUUUUCAUUUAUGACCCAGAGUCAUUUCUUUUUCAUUUAGAGCCCAAAGAUCUCGACCUAAAGUCGUUUUUCAUUUAUGACCCAGAGUCGUUUUUCAUUUAUGACCCAGAGUCAUUUUUCAUUUAUGACCGACAGUAAUUUGUUUUCCAUUUAGAGCCCAAAGCUCUCGACCUAGAGUCAUUUUUCAUUUAUGACCCAAAGUCAUUUCUUUUCCAUUUAGAGCAUAAAGCUCUUAACCCAGAGUCAUUUUUCAUUUAUAACCCAUAGUCAUUUCUUUUCCAUUUAGAGCCUGGAGUUCUCGACCUAGAGUCAUUUUUCAUUUAUGGCCCAAAGUCAUUUCUUUUCCAUUUAGAGCCCAGAGCUCUUGACCCAAAGUCAUUUUUCAUUCAUGACCUAAAGUCAUUUUGUGGACCCCGUAUUUCGAUUGCUCGAUGCGUUUCCCACUCGAUGGCGAGCUCGAUUUUUAUUUGAAGAAUUGAUUUUUAUUGAUUAUUUGAAAAUGACUUGGAGUCGCCACUUAUUUUUGUUUUAUUUUUAAAGGGUAAACAAAAUAAGAAAGAAAAACCCUAAAUGUGACUCCUUGUUUUGGAAAAGGUGGUCUGUGAAAAAUCGGAUCGGGUUUGGGGGUCAGGUUACUUAUCGGGAAGGUACGAUAAAGACCGUAGCACCCCUCUAAGUCCCUAAGGUCGGGUCUCUACUAAUAAAAUGAAAGCUGACAUGGCAAUGGAUGAAUAAAUCAAUGAAUACUCAGAGCGAAACAUGCACAUACGGGAGUCAAAAAAUGCACAUAGACUAAACAGAGUAGGAAUGAGUGUGUACCUGAGCAGCGAACCACUAUGCGCUAUCAAGAGAGAGGGUUAGUGCAAAAUAAAGAGCAUAAACAUAGCUCACAUGUCACUAAAUAGAGUACAAAAUCAUCAAAAGCACGCAUGACACUCCACUCAAAAUUCAUUUUUAUUUUAAAUGAAUUUUAUUUGAUGUUGGGCCCCCACCAAAGCCCAUUUAUUUUGCAUGAAUCAAUUCCAUAAAUUCCAUCAUUCGGAAUUACGGAAUUUAAAUUCAUGUUUAUUUUAAAACAUUUUAAAAAUCAUGAAAAUUCAAAAGUGGCUUGCCGGAAAGAAAACGACAACCAAAAUUUUAUUGAAAAUGGGAUUGUGAGUCCUAAAAACUCUAAGGAUGAAGGCUUUGGAGACUUGAAGUUAUUUAAAAAAACCGGAAUUUAGGAAAUUAUUUACAAAAUGAAGUUUGGGAAAAUCUUUUUCAAAAUCAAAGAGGAUUGGAGGAAAGGGAAGAUGACACGUGGCCCUUGGGUUACAUGCAUAAGGCGGCCAUGCAAAACAGGUCGUGCCUGUGGGUCCAAAUGUUCCUCUGAAAACUCUCCCAUUCUGUUGAGUUCUGGCAACACAGCCUUGCCAAGAUCAGGUCCGUCUUUCCGCCUUAAUUCUGCACACUGGAGGGCUAUCUUAGCGAAGCUCAAUGUCUCUUCAAGUGGCCAAUCAGACACAAUCAGAUCCAAUACCUAUUUGAAUAUACCUUUUCUGAUAGCUCUUUCAACAAGGUGGAUCAACUCCAUUGGCGGCUUGGCUGUUAUUAUCUGUAGAAGCAUGAUGCCAAGGGAGUAGACAUCAGAUUUUAUGCCCAGCAUGCCUGCUUGCUGAUACUCUGGAUCUAUAUAGCAGAAAUUCCCAGCUGUUGAUUUCAUCUGAUACUGGGUCACACUGUCAGCUACAGAUAGGGGAACCAGCCUGACCAACCCAACGUCACUAAUCUUGCUCACGUAGUUGGGGUCCAGCAGUAUGCUCGCCAGUUUUAGGUCAUGGUGCACUUGUGGCUCUGAUUUAGUCUGGUGGGGGAACAAUAGUCCAGUGCUAAUUUCAGCUGCGAUUCGGAACCUCGGCUGCCAAGACAGUGGAAAGUCUCCUCGCCUGAAAAUCCGGUCUUCUAAGCUCCCAUUAGCCAUCUUGAACUACAUGAAGCAUAUACAAGGAUGCAUCAAAUGGAUUGGCAGUGAUAGCAGCAACAAGGAGUCUUAUCUGGUUUCGUUCUUGGAGUGGGUGCAACCACCUGGCCAUAAGGACAGAUCCAGAGCCACAUGGGCAUCACCUUCUAAUGGCUCAUCAACAUGAGGAGCGCGAUAUUCAAGCCCAUAAGCUUGGCCCCAUUAUGGUUCCUUGCCCAAGCAGCAAGCUCUUGCAAGCUCACAUCAUGAAGGCUCGUCUCCACUUCAAAACUGUGGAGACGGACGUACCGAUGCGUUCCUGGGCAUCUUGCAGGCUGUUCACUGCAUGGAAAUGCCUACGUCUGCACCGUGGCACUCUCUAGGACUCCUUAAUAUCCUCAGUAUUGCAGCCAUGCAUUCCUUUGAACAUGGGUAAGUGGGAUAGUGUAAGAGUGUGGAGAUCAUUGAGGGCCAUUAUGUGUAUGAGACUUUAUGAAUGCAUGGAGGAGAAGGAAACGAACCGCAUGAGGUGAGUGGUGAGGUGACUGUAAUGACGAACGGGAUGUGGGUAAAUGAGUAUAUAAAAAAUGAAGAUAUGGGUGUAGGUGGGUAUUAGUAAGUUUAGUGAGAGGAAAUGGGUACAAGAAAGUGAGCCAUGGAUGUGACGGAAAUGGUGAGAAAAAUGAGUGGAGAUAUGCCGAGUAUGAGGGAUAUGAAGGGUGAUGAGAAAUGGGUUAGUGGUGAUGUGAUAAAUAUGUGAAUUUGGAAAAUGAGAAGGGUGAUAGGUAAAAGAAAUGGGUAUAGAUAAUGGACGGGAUAUGGUGGCUUGGCUUGCAUGGUGUCCAAGCAUAUGAGUGGAUGAUUUGGAGGUGCUUUAGAAGGAGCUUUGGACAACCAUGCAUGUGCAGAAAUAGGUAUCAAGACACCGACAACAAAUACCAGGGUGGCUAAGAGAUAAGGCGUGGGCACACAUGCACCUGUCAAUUGACCAAAGGACUCCAUCCCUAACGCCCACCACAUAGAGGAAUCCAAUAUUCCAUGUUGUAGAUAAACGGCCUUCCGUGAAUCACGUCUGGGAAUUCUUUCCAAAAGAAGCACACAACCAUCAGCAGUGACCACGCGUUCUUAGUUCAAGACACAACUGUUCUUGAUGGGAUAAACGUGUCUUUGCCCAUCAUGUCGAUCAUGUGACCAGGUGCGCCAUCAAUGACAUGAACACUGCUUGGAAGAAUACACUAGUCCUCACGGGCGCUGGUCCCAACAGCAUACGCAUGUACCCUCCACCCAAGGUAAUCGCCAAGUGCUCGCAUAACCUUCUCAAUCCAUUGUGUAAGCUCACGAGAGGGUGCCUGAACCAAGACUUGGCAUUCGGUCAAUCCAUAACUGAGCUACUAUAGGAUACCAGAACAGAGAGUUGCAAUGUUUCCUGCUCCUGAUUGAGCUUGCCGAAAUCAUGAAUAUUCGGUUCCGUAACGUUCAGCGUCAUAGCAUAAAACCUUUUCCCGAUCCUCCCAUGGUCUAUUUGCCUCUCCUUUGCCUGAUUAAAUAUCUCCUUGAUUCUCGACUUCUCAAGCCCGUAAAUUCCAGUGUAGAACUCCAAAGAGCUUCUGUUCUCAUGAUCAUUUCCAGCCGAGCAUGUACGUCCCAAGAGAAACGGAGGAAACCAAAGAAUAAUAACAUGAAAAUAACAUGAAGCCUUUAACAAUCAAUGUCAAACCCAUUUCAUCAUUUGAUCCAUAGGUCCAACAAACAGUGGGUUAAAAAAAAGUAUAAAAACAGAGAAUAUUCACAAAAAAACAGAACACAAAACUCAACGAGCUCUUCAAAUAUUUAACCAAAAAAAACACCCAACCAAAACAACUGAUGCGACUCAUGGUAGCUUAGCUUUAAAGGCGUAUCAACAAAAUUUAUACCUUGAAUACUAUUACUAAAGUAGCCAAGCUACUAUAGCAUAGUGGUUCUAGGAUCGUUCACUGGGAAGGGUUUUCGCAAACACAAGUGAUAUUCAAGUUAGGAAAAUAGGUGAUUUUCUUAUGGAUGUUAGCUUUAAAAGAAGAUGUAAAUGUUUUAGAAAGAUUUAAACUAAUCUAAGCUAACAUUAAAGACUAAAAUGAAAGGGUGUAAAAACAAGUUUCUCAAAGAUAGGAUAGCUAUGCUCUGGCUCUUAUGCAAAUUGGAAAUCUCAGGAUAGGCUCCUCGCGUUGGGGUUGCAACUAUGGUGAUGCUUGCUUCCCGAACCGGUAUGGAUUUAGCAAAUCACGUUUUAAUCCUUUAAAAUGGCAAAACAGAUGGUAGUGAAUUUCAUCAAUGGUUAUUCACCUUAGACUUCCUUUGAAUGGCUCGUAAGAGAUAACUAAUGGUCUAAAGCCAAAAGCUUACCAAAUAUUGGCAACUCAAAGUCAUUCCAGGUGAUAAACUCACCUUUCAAUGGCCAUUGUAAUUGGUUCUAACGGAUUAAUACAAAACUUGGAAUUGAAAACCUCACCUUCCAAUAGCUCGUAGAGAUAACUAAUGGAUAGAAAUCCCAAAGCUUAUCAGUAUUGCCCGUUGGAAGUUGUCAAAGAAAUAAAACAAACUUUGCAUUAUGACCUUAUGAAAACGACUACNNNNNNNNNNNNNNNNNNNNNNNNNNNNNNNNNNNNNNNNNNNNNNNNNNNNNNNNNNNNNNNNNNNNNNNNNNNNNNNNNNNNNNNNNNNNNNNNNNNNNNNNNNNNNNNNNNNNNNNNNNNNNNNNNNNNNNNNNNNNNNNNNNNNNNNNNNNNNNNNNNNNNNNNNNNNNNNNNNNNNNNNNNNNNNNNNNNNNNNNNNNNNNNNNNNNNNNNNNNNNNNNNNNNNNNNNNNNNNNNNNNNNNNNNNNNNNNNNNNNNNNNNNNNNNNNNNNNNNNNNNNNNNNNNNNNNNNNNNNNNNNNNNNNNNNNNNNNNNNNNNNNNNNNNNNNNNNNNNNNNNNNNNNNNNNNNNNNNNNNNNNNNNNNNNNNNNNNNNNNNNNNNNNNNNNNNNNNNNNNNNNNNNNNNNNNNNNNNNNNNNNNNNNNNNUAAUGUAUGUGUGUGCGAAUAGCUUAAGGUGGAAGAGAUAAGUUUGCAUGCAAUGGGAGUUUCAACAAUUCAUCAACUUUUAGAAGAGCAUAAUACAAACUCUAAGACUCAUGUAAUCAAGUUGAAACUUGACUUCUCUCAUUUAAUUUUGAGAGUUAAUCCUUAAUAUCCAUGGAGUUUAAAGCAAAAAAUUUUAAAAUUUAAACAAAAAGUAGCUAAUUUAACUAAGUAUGAUAAAAAUUUAAACUAAUACUUACUUCCUCAACUCUCCCCCCAACCGAGAUGAACAUUGUCCUCAAUGUUUGAAUCGAAAAUAAGGAGGAAGGAAGUGGUACCUCAUGUGAUGUGGACUUGGAGUUGAGAAGGUUGAACCACCUGUUUCAAAAUUCAAAAAUUGAAUGAGAGAGGAAUUUAUACUAAAUAUUUACAAAAAUGAUGAGUGGGCCCCACUUUGAGCAGUUGAGGACAAGGCUCAAAGGCUUGGAAUUGGGGAGGGUAGGGAUGAAGAAGCUCAAAAAUUCGCACAAGGGAAGAGUGGUGCGAAAAUUUCACACAAGGGAGGGGUGGUGUGCGAAAUUUUCGCACAGGGGAAAAUGGUGUGCGAAAUUUUCGCAUACCUGUGAUUCUCCAAGACAGAGAGCAUGCAAUUUUUGAAAAGUGGUGCAAAAGCAAAUUCGCACAGGGUAAGUGGUGUGCGAAAUUUUCGCACACCACAAGGGGGUGUGCGAAUUUCGCACAGGGCACUAUUCACUCGUGCAAAUGCGAAAUUGGAUUUUUUUCAAAUGGCCAUAACUUCUUCGUUUCAAAUCCAAAUUGAGCACCGUUUGAAGCUAUGGACUCCUGACUUCCCAAGCUUCGAAAAGACAUAUGGUAUGCAUGAAAUGGACUUCGGGAAGUGCUCCAAAAGUGGCUGUCAUGACUGUCAUCAAGAAUGCUUCUUUUCGCACCAUGUACUGUCACUGUGCGAAAAAUUCGCACUGAGUGUGUUCAUGGUGCGAAAUUCCACUGAGAGCUUUGCUUAUGCAUUUUGGCUCCCUUGUUUCCUCUGUUUCACCUCCAUUUCGAUUUUUGCAAGCAUCGUACCUGCAUGAACACUUCAAAACUCAUCUUAAAAACAUAUUAAAACUAAAUUAAAGCUAAGAAUUCAAACUAAAACAUGCAUAAAUUUAAAGAAAGCAUAGAAUUUAAAUGAAGCUGAUAGCAUGUACCCCAAAAAGAAGAUGAACUAUUUAGCUCAUCCUCACUCACACACCCACUUCAUGUUGAAUUCCCCCUGGAUCCCAAACAAAAUUGGCAUCCUUCCCAUUUGGUCCAAGGGAAUUCGUUUCUCUUCUCUUCCCUGGAGAAGUGGAUGCUUUAAAGGGUUCAAGUAACCCUUUAUCAUCUUGAACCUUAUGAUUUUCAAUGGAAGGUUGGUCCAUAGAGUUGUCAUAGCAAUCCCCCACCAAAGGGUCGAUCUUCAACACUUUCCUUGAUCUUUUUGCAUUGGUUCCUUGAAGGUUAUGGUGGGGUUGAGGAGGAAGCUUCCUUUUCCCCCUUGCUAUGUCGAGAUUGGUGAGAUUCUCAAUGGAGUCUUGAACUUUUUCUAUCCUUAGUGAUAGAUCAUUAUAAACCUCCUCCAUUCUUACAUUUAUUGAACUCUCUAAAUUAUCAAUCUUUUCAUUAAGAUGAGAGUUGAUCUUUUGUUGCUCACCUACAAAGUCCUCCAUGACUUUGCUUAUCUUCAAAAUGGCUUGCUCCAAUGAAGAUGUACUCAUUGAUGGUUGAGGUUGAGGUUGGGUUGCAAGGUUGGGAUGGUUUAUAUACUCAAAUGAAGUUGGCAUGGCUUGUGGUUGUGCUUCAGUAUGCACAUUCCUCAAUUCAAACUCCUCUAUCCUUCUAGCCAUAGAUGCUAGCUUUGCCUUCAUGCUUAUGUCUUCAUUUAAGACAUACUUACUACCCCAUUGGCUUUGUUGAACUUGCCUUUUCCCUAACUCAAUCCGAUCCCUCAUGGAUAGGUAUGCAAAUUUGUCCUUAUCAUGAUCAUAAUGAGAGCUUUGAUCUUCAUGUGGAAUUUCCAUUUCUAAAAAAAAUGAUAGUCAACUAAGCCUCUUUUCUUCAACUUGUACCAAGCUUCCCUCUUGGUCUCGAAUCCAACAAGGAAUGCACAAAUUGAAAUUAAAACAAAAAUAAAAGAAAAGAGAAUAAAAAAAUUUAACUAAAUAAAAACUAAACUAAAAAAAAAAAUUAUAAGAAAACUCACCAAACUUGUGAUGAAGAUCACAAGUUACCCUUAAUGGUUGCUUCACUGUGCUUGUGGCACCUUCCCCGGCAACGGCGCCAUUUGAUGCGACUCAUGGUAGCUUAGCUUUAAAGGCGUAUCAACAAAAUUUAUACCUUGAAUACUAUUACUAAAGUAGCCAAGCUACUAUAGCAUAGUGGUUCUAGGAUCGUUCACUGGGAAGGGUUUUCGCAAACACAAGUGAUAUUCAAGUUAGGAAAAUAGGUGAUUUUCUUAUGGAUGUUAGCUUUAAAAGAAUAUGUAAAUGUUUUAGAAAGAUUUAAACUAAUCUAAGCUAACAUUAAAGACUAAAAUGAAAGGGUGUAAAAACAAGUUUCUCAAAGAUAGGAUAGCUAUGCUCUGGCUCUUAUGCAAAUUGGAAAUCUCAGGAUAGGCUCCUCGCGUUGGGGUUGCAACUAUGGUGAUGCUUGCUUCCCGAACCGGUAUGGAUUUAGCAAAUCACGUUUUAAUCCUUUAAAAUGGCAAAACAGAUGGUAGUGAAUUUCAUCAAUGGUUAUUCACCUUAGACUUCCUUUGAAUGGCUCGUAAGAGAUAACUAAUGGUCUAAAGCCAAAAGCUUACCAAAUAUUGGCAACUCAAAGUCAUUCCAGGUGAUAAACUCACCUUUCAAUGGCCAUUGAAAUUGGUUCUAACGGAUUAAUACAAAACUUGGAAUUGAAAACCUCACCUUCCAAUAGCUCGUAGGAGAUAACUAAUGGAUAGAAAUCCAAAAGCUUAUCAAGUAUUGGCCGUUGGAAGUUGUCCAAAGGAAAUAAAAACCAAACUUUGCAUUAAUGAACCUUUAAUGAAAAACGACUACCUUACCUUCCGGGUGCGAGAAAUUUCCAUGGGAUUGCAUCCAAGUCAUCACAUAACAUCCAUACUUUGAGAAACUAAAAGUUUUAGCCAAUCAUCCUCUGAGGAAAAGCCCUUAGAGGCUGUUUGGCUACCAAGAAAAUAGAAAUGGGGAAGAACAGGAGAAGAGAGAAAAACAGAGCAAGGCUCUGUAUAUUUUCAAAGUGUAAAACGUAACCUAUAUUAUAUCUUCCAAGAGGUGAUUUCCACCCCUUAUAUAGUCUUUACAAAAGCAAAAGCUUGUGAUUGGCUUGUUACAAGGAGAAGAAAGGAAAUUACAUCAAAAAAUACAAAAGAAAAUAUCUAAAGUGGAGUCGGCAAAAACAGAGCAAAAUUCGCACCACGCAAGGGGUGUGCGAAAUUUUCGCACACCUGAAGAAGGUGUGCGAACUUCGCACACCAUUCGCACAGCUAAAGGGGGGUGUGCGAAAUUCUCGCACACCUGGAGGAGUUGUCUUCCGAAGGCCAUAUCUUCCUCGUUUCAGCUCCAAAUCAUGCACGGUUUGAAGCGUUGGAUUCUUGACUUCAAAAUCUUUAAAAUGGUAUAUAGCAUGUAAAAAUUGGACUUCGGGAAGUGCUCCAAAAGUGCCAAAUAAGACUGCAGCUGCUGUCCUCUGUUUUCCUCUUUGCUUCUUUUUGCUUCUCUUUGCUUCUCUUUGCUUUUCUCCUUUUGUUGGCUUGCUUUGGUGUAGCUAAAAGCUUGCUUUAACUUGUCCAAGUAGCUCCUCCAUCAUUUGGCAUGCUUGAAUUGAUUCAUAAGCUGAUAUAAACAUGUAAACUUGCCACAAAAUGGUUAAAACCAAUUACUAAGGACCUUAAUGAAUUAAUUGGGUUAAAUGAAUAUGAUUACUACUCAAAGGUGCUUAAAACCAUUAUAAUUAGGCCUACAAAAUAGCACUUUUUGGUAGUAAUCAACAACUCAACAAGCAAAGUUAAGAUCACAGAGAAUGAUAUAGGCAAAGUAUGAAGAGUGAAAACAUACGUGAAAACCAUGGUAACCAAACCUGAAAAUCUCUUCCUCAGCUGGGUGCUUUCGGCUGUAACUCCACUGCUCUCCUAAAGCUCCUGGACCUUCCCCUGCUUCUCGUCUCCAGGAACCUCUCACUCUCUUCUCGAAACUACCUGUCUGCAACUCCCAAAAAAACCACACAAAAGCUCCCCUCCAAAAACUCACCUCUCUGCUCCAACCUCAAACCUCCCUGUUCUUUCUCUCUCGUUCUCCUCUCUCCAAAUCUCACAUCCUAAAAUUACAAUGCUACAGAAAAUCUCACCCCAAAAGCUCCCGGAAGCCCCCCGCCGAGAAAAGAUACCAUGCUUCAGAAAACUCUCCCCAGCUCUCUCUCUGGAACCCUUCUCUCCCAAGCUCUCUGUUCUCUCUCUGGAAAACUCUCACUCUCUGGUUCUUUCUCUCUCUGUGGUUCCUCUCAGCUUCAGCAAUCCCCUCUCCUUUUUCCAGCUUGCCCUUUUUCCCUUGCUCCAGAAAAUCCCCUGUCAAAAUAUCCUCCUUCCCUCUGAAAAGCACCUUCCUCUUGCAGAUACGCUCCUCCUCUAACAGAAAAAGGCACCUUCCUCCUGCAGCUCCUGCACUCCCUUGCAACGGCCUGCAGCUUUUCUUUGGAAUCUCAUUGCCGCGUGUCAACCUCUCAUUGGUCCUCCAAACCACUAACCUGAUUCCUCACCAACCAACCAUGCAUGGACACGUGGCUCCUUGAGAUCGUGACACUUGGCAAAAUUGGGCUGCACAAAAACGAGCCCCAAAUGGGGGUCUACACAUUUCUUUUCCAUUUAGAGCUUAGAGCUCUCGACUCAGAGUCAUUUUUCAUUUAUGACCUAGAGUCAUUUAUUUUUCAUUUAGAGCCCAAAGCUCUCGACCUAGAGUCGAUUUUCAUUUAUGACCCAGAGUCAUUUCUUUUCCAUUUAGAGCCCAAAGCUCUCGACCUAGAGUCAUUUUUCAUUUAUGACCUAAAGUCAUUUCUUUUCCAUUUAGAUCCCAAAGCUCUUGACCUAGAGUCGAUUUUUCAUUUAUUACUCAGAGUCAUUUAUUUUCCAUUUAGAGCCUGGAGCUCUCGACCUAGAGUUAAUUUUCAUUUAUGACCCAGAGUCAUUUCUUUUCCAUUUAGGGCAUAGAGCUCUCGACCUAGAGUCGAUUUUUCAUUUAUGACCUAGAGUAAUUUCUUUUCCAUUUAGAGCUCAUAGCUCUUGACCUAGAGUCAUUUUUCAUUUAUGGCCUAGAGUCAUUUCUUUUUUCAUUUAGAGAGCUUAGAGCUCACAACCCAGAGUCGUUUUUCUUAUUUAUGACCUAGAGUAAUUUCUUUUCCAUUUGGAGCCUAGAGCUCACAACCUAGAGUUGUUUUUCUCAUCUAUGAUCCAGAGUCAUCAUUUUCCACAUAGAGCCUUGAGCUCACAACAUAAAGUUGUUCCAUCUUUGUGAUUGCGACCCCAUGUUCCAAGCUUACUCUCGUCAUGUGCUAGGACAAAAUCUCUAGUCCUUUUCUUUUAGUUCUUCGGUAUAGUUCACUUCAUUCCACUCAUUAUUCGUAUUUUUACUCACAUUCCCUACACUCGUGAUCUCUACCGAAGAGGGGCAUAUUUGUAGUCCCUCCAUUUUGUUUUCCUAGCACAUGUCCUAUUAGGUAUUUGUUCGAUACUUUACAGCAAUUUCCUAGUGGCCCAUUGCUACUCAUGUAGCCUAUCUUUUCUAAGCCACCUUGGAGACUUUGAUUGAGGGAUUUACCUGAUCCCAUUGUGACUCUUGGCAGCCCUAUUUAGACUUAGGAUCACUUAGGCACCUUAGGCCCACUUAGGCACCCUAGGCUCAUUUAGGCAACGUAGGCCCAUUUAGGCACCUUAGGCCCACUUAGGCACCUUAGGCCCAUUUAGGCACCCUAGGCCCAAUUAGGCACCCUAGGCCCACUUAGGCACUCUAGGCCCAUUUAGGCACUUUAGACCCACUUAGGCACCCUAGGCCCACUUAGGCACCCUAGGCCCAUUUAGGCACCCUAGGUACACUAGGCCCAUUUAGGCAUACUAGGCCCACUUAGGCACCUUAGGCCCAUUUAGGCACCCUAGGCUCACUUAGGCACACUAGGCCCAUUUAGGCACCCUAGGCCUAUUUAGGCACCUUAGGCUCACUUAGGCACCUUAGACCUAUUUAGGCACCCUAGGCCCACUUAGGCACCUUAGGCCCACUUACGCACCCUAAGCCCACUUAGGCACCCUAGUGUCACAGGAUGUUUCAAAUGAGUCUCCCCAUUUGUUUAUAUAAAACCCAGGAAGCUUCUGGAGAUUCAUACACUUAGCCAUCAGUGGGAAGAGUGUGGAAAGUUCUAGAGGUGUCUAGAGAAGUCCACACAUCUCUACACUAUGGUGGAAGACAUGAGAGGAGUCCAAGGCUUUUUAGAGAAUUCUAGAGAUAUCUUGUACAUAAGCUUAUACAUAGAGUUGUGUAGGGUAUUCUAGAAUCUUCUUGAUUUGUAAGGAACUCUCCAAGGUUCCAGAGAGUUCCAUUGGUGCCUACAAAUAGGUGAGGGCCUCAUUUGGCCAAGACACCAAGCAAGUGAGCUUCUAAGCACUGUAUAGCUUCCUUUGAAAGCAAUAAAGCUUCCAUUCUUUAAGAGUUGCCUACAAUGCCUUCUCAAGCUUCCGAGUCGUGAGCAUCUUAGCCUAGCAAGCUAAGAGUUAGGAGUAAGGCUGACUUAGCAAGAUCAAGAGUCUUGACUUGUCUAAGUGCCGCAUGAGCUUAGGGAACGACUAAGUCCGUGACAAGUGGUAUCAGAGCGCGACUACAAAGAGGGCAUAGUAAAGAAAGCAUGUCGGGCUCUAACGUAGAGGAGACUAGCGAGCAAACCCAUGGGAGGGAGAUUAAGCCUACUACAUGGGGUAGGGGUAGGAAGGAUAAAUCUCGUGAUGCCAUAGCCAACAUGGAAGCAAGGCUAGCCAAGGUGAAGCUAGUCAUGGCAGACACCCGAGAAGGGGUGGACUUGAUCGAGCAAGGCAUGGAGAAGGGCUUAGAGGAUCUAAGGGAGAAGAUCCAAGACCUUCAUGAGGAGGUGCUAGGCUCACAAGUUCAGCCGGUGUCACACGAGGAGUUCAUGUCACACAAGUUCGCUAGUGUGGAGUCAAUGGUGAAGGCCUUGGUUGCGUGCAUGCAGGCCCGAGACCAGGAGAUUCAACAAGAGCUGACCAUCUACAAGACUACGGUAUCAGCACGAUUCAUGGCCACUCAUGAGGCACUAAGGGUGGAGUUGCCCAAGCCACACACAUUCAGUGGCAAGAAGGAUGCCAAGGAGCUGGAUAACUUCUUGUGGCACUUGGAGCGCUACUUUGAGGCUAUCGCACUGACGGAUGAAGCCAUUAAGGUACGCACCGCGACCCUCUACCUCACUGAUAAUGCUACUCUAUGGUGGUGACGAAGGUUUUCCAACAUAGAAAAAGGGGCAUGCACCAUAGACACAUGGGAUGCCUUUAAGCAAGAAAUCAAAAGGCAAUUCCACCCUAAAGAUGUAGUAAGGAAGAAUAUGAAGCAUCUCAAGCACACGGCCUUGAUCCGUGAAUAUGUCAAAGAGUUCUCUACACUUAUGCUUGAGAUAUCUAACAUGUCCAAGGAGGAUCUACUAUUCAACUUCAUGGACAAUUUGCAAAGCUGGGCUAAGUAAGAGUUGAGGAGACGUAGUGUCCAAGACCUAGCUACAGCCAUGGCGGUAACAGAGUCCUUGGUGGAUUAUAGAAGGGGAGACCCCUAAGGAAUGAUCAAGUAAGACCUCUAGUGGCAAUGAUGGUAAGGGCAAAGACAAACAAAAGGGGUUCAUGCCCAGGACCAAUUGCUUCCUAUGUGAUGGGUCACAUUGGGUACGGGACUGCCCCAAGAGGAAAGCCCUAAAUGCUAUGAUCGAGGAAAAGGAGAAGGAGGGUGAUACUCAGGUGGGAUCAUUGCAACUCCUAAAUGCCCUUAAAGCCAAGCCGAUGCCUAAGAUGCCUCAAAGCAAAGGGCUAAUGUAUGUAGAGGCCCUUGUGAAUGGGAAAACCACCAAGGCCCUAGUGAACACCGGUGCCACUCAUAACUUUGUCUCGGAAGAUGAGACAAAGAGGCUAAAGCUCCAAGCAUUCAAGGAAGGAGGUUGGCUUAAGGCAAACAAUUCAACUACCAAGCCAUCACACGAAGUAGCUCACAAGGUGGCUAUGCACAUUGGCUCUUGGAAAGGAAGGGUCGACUUCAUAGUGGCAACCAUGGAUGACUUCAAGAUGGUACUAGGGAUGGACUUCCUACAGAAGGUCAAGGUCGUGCCACUACCUUUCCUAUGCUCAAUGGCUAUCUUAGAGGAGAAAAAGGCAUGCAUGGUCCCUACGGUCACCGAAGGUACGCCCAAGACCCCUAUGUUAUCAACUAUGUAAGUUAAGAAGCAGUUAAAGAGGAAAGAGGUGAACUACCUCGCCACCCUGAAGGAAGAAAGGGAUGAUGGGUCAGGAAAACCCAUGCCUAAGGAAAUUGAGGGAGUCCUUGAUGAAUUCAAGGACGUGAUGCCACCUGAGUUGCCCAAGCGACAUACUCCUAGGAGAGAGGAAGACUAUAAGAUCGAGUUAGAGUUAGGAGUUAAGCCCCCCUGCUAUGAGGCCAUAUAGGAUGGCACCGCCCGAUCUAAAAGAGCUAAGGAGACAACUUAAGGAGUUGCUGGAUGCAGGGUUCAUCCAGCCAUCCAAGGCUCCCUAUGGCGCACCGAUUUUAUUUUAGAAGAAGCACGAUAGGUCCCUACAAAUGUGCAUAGACUACCGAGCACUCAACAAGGUGACGGUAAAGAACAAGGCCUAUUCCGCUCAUCAUUGACUUGUUCAAUCAACUUGGAAUGACGAGAUACUUCACAAAGCUAGACUUGAGGUCAUGCUACUACUAAGUAAGGAUUGCAGAAGGGGAUGAGCCAAAACCACAUGUGUGACCAAGUAUGGAUCAUAUGAGUUCUUAGUGAUGCCCUUCGGCCUCACCAAUGUUCUACACUCUCAUGAAUAAAAUCUUCCACCCAUAUUUAGACAAGUUCGUGGUUGUAUACUUAGAUGACAUAGUCAUCUAUAGUAAUACCCUAAAAGAGCAUGUAGAGCAUUUAAGGAAGGUCUUUAAGAUCCUAAGGCAGAAUGAGCUAUAUGUGAAGAAGGAGAAAUGCUCAUUUGCUAAGGAAGAAGUAAGCUUCCUAGGACAUCGCAUCAAAGAUGGCAAGUUGAUGAUGGAUGACAGCAAGGUGAAAGCCAUCCAGGAAUGGGAUCCACCAACCAAGGUACCUCAACUCAGAUCUUCCUUGAUUUAGUUAAUUACUACCAGCGAUUCGUCAAAGGUUAUUCGGCAAGGGCUGCUCUACUCACUAAUCUUCUUAAGAAGAAUAAGGCAUGUGAAUGGAAUGAAAGGUGCCAACAAGCCUUUGAAGAUCUAAAGAAGGCUAUGACUGAGGAGCCGGUGUUGGUAUUACCCGACCAUACCAAGGUUUUUGAGGUACACACAGAUGCCUCAGACUUCGCUAUAGGGGGAGUUCUUAUGCAAGAUAGGCAUCUCAUUGCCUUCAAGAAUCGUAAGUUAAAUGACAUGGAGAGGCGCUACACGGUGCAAGAAAAGGAAAUGACUGCCAUCAUCCAUUGUUUGCACACUUGGAGGCACUAUCUUAUAGGGUCCCACUUCAUAGUGAAGACUAACAAUGUUGCCACUAGCUAUUUCCAAAUAUAGAAGAAGUUGAGUCAUAAGCAAGCUAGGUGGCAAGACUUCCUGGCCGAGCUCGACUAUACGCUAGAGUAUAAACCAGGAAACACUAAUCAUGUGGUCGAUGCCCUAAGCCGUAAGGCGGAACUAGCAUCCAUGACGAGUCAGCUCCAAGGAGACAUAAUGGAUCUUCUAAGGGAGGGGCUACAACAUGAUCCAGUGGCUAAGAGCCUUAUCCUCCUAACUCACGAAAGGAAAACAAAGCGAUUUUGGGUGAAGGACGACCUACUCUAUAUUAAGGGGAGAUGACUCUACAUGCCUAAGUGGGAGAACAUAAGGAAGAAUCUGAUUAAGGAGUGCCAUGACACCAAGAGGGCUGGGCACCCUAGGCAACGACACACAAGGGCACUACUUCAGUUAGCUUACUACUGGCCUCAAAUAUGGGAUGAAGUUAAGGCCUAUGUGAGGACUUGUCUUGGGUGCCAACAAGACAAAGUGGAGCAACGAUAGCCUAGAGGUCUGUUGGAACCACUAACCAUAGUAGAGCGGCCAUGAGACAGUGUCACAACUCUAAGUAUGCAACCUUCAUAGCAGCCCUGACUGACUGCAUUGCGGAGGAGACAACCAGGCUAUUCUUAAAGUAUGUAGUAAGUAUUGGGGGUUGCCAAAGUACAUUAUCAGUGAUCGCGAUCCCUGUUUCACUAGGAAGUUUUGGACGAAGCUCUUCAAGCUUAUAGGUUCAGAGCUUCACUUCUCCACUAGCUUUAACCUAUAGAUAGAUAGGCAGACUAAGAGAGUGAACACCUUACUGGAGCUAUACUUAAGGUACUUCGUGAGUGCCAACCAGAAGGAUUGGGCUAAGGUUCUAGAUAUAGCCUAGUUCUCAUACAACUUGCAAAGGAGUGAGGCAACCAACAAGAGCCCGUUCGAGCUAGCCACUGGCAGCAACCCUUAACUCCUCACACGCUAACGAUAAGCCAUAUGGGAAGAAGUCUAGCAGUUUUCAAGUUCACAAAGGGGUGGCACGAGCAAGUUGACAUAGCAAGCUCAUGCUUGGACAAGACCGCUAAGAAAAUGAAGAAGUGGGCUGACAAGAAGCAACGUCACAGGGAGUACAAGGUCACCUAUUUAUAGGCACCAAUGGAACUCUCUACGUGUUAUGUCAGCUUGCUCAUGCCACCCCUUCACGAACUUGAAAGCCAUUGGACUUCUCCCCGUAUAGCCUAUCGUUACCGUGUGAGGAGUUAAGGGAAGCUAUACAGUGCUUACAAAUAGGUGACCUUAUUGCUUUAAGAGCCGCCUAUUACGCUUUCUCAAGCUUCCGAGUUGUGAGCAUCUUAGCCUAGCUAGCUAAGUGUUGGGAGUAAGGCUGACUUAGCAAGAUCAAGCGUCUUGACUUGUCUAAGUGUCGCACGAGCUUAGGAAACGAUUAAGUCCGUGUCACUAGGCCCACUUAGGCACCACUCUAGGUCCAUUUAGGCACCUUAGACCCACUUAGGCAUCCUAGACCCAUUUAGAUCAUUUUUGUGCAUGGAUGCAUGGUUUGCUUGGCAAGUAGGCUUGCAUGGCUUGUAUGACUAGCACGUGCUUUAUUUUUAUUUUUUAAUCUUUUUAUUAUUAUUGCAUGCAUUUAAUAAUUAUAUUUAUUUUGUUUACUUUUUUAUUAUUAUUUGCUUAUUUAAUAGAAAAUUACUUGAAUUGUUUUGACUUUAAAUAUGCAUGUGGUUGCAUUAUUAAAUCAUAGAAUUACGUAAUUUAGUCUUCUUUUAUUUUAUUUAUCAAUCUCACGAUUUUCAUUAAUUUUUUUUUUUUCUACUUUUUUAAGUUUAUUUUAUUUUGUUUUGCAUGAGGAAACGAUUACAUAUUUGGGAAUGGGGAAUCAAGGCUAGAUUUUUUUUAAGGAAAAAGAAGGUCAAUGGGCUAUAUAUUUUUUGGAAUGAAAAAUCAGGAUGUGAAGAAGAGUGUCUUUUAAAGACAUCUAUGGAUUUGGGAGAGCUGGAGGAAAUCUGCAAGGAAAGUCCACACGUAACCACCAUUGGAAAGUGAUGCGAGGGACUUAAAAAUGGACAGCAUGUAUUCACCAUGAGGGUCAAGGGUGAUUCAACAGUACGUGAAAGAGGGAUCUCCAGCGUUCUAGUGAAUGAAUGAAGUCGGUUUUAUGGAAAAAUACAAGGGACAGUUGGGAGAACAUCACGCGCAUGGAUGAAGGAAAUAGUGAGCGUUACAUGAAAAGAAGACUUACCAUUCCAAGGGGGAGGAACAAGACGACUUUGAGCAGGUUGGUGAAGGAUUUUUUUUUUUUUUUUUUUUUUUUAGCGAGAGCUUGAAGAUAGAUUCAGCCACGUCUUAGGGAGAAAGUCGACUGCACCAUUCUGGAAGAAGAGUGAGAGAUCCUCUCUAUUGGAAAUUUUUUGCUAUUAGAAGAAGCACCCUAUUCAUUUGAAACAAAAGAGGCACCAUUAGAAAGAGAAAGAAAGUGGAGGCAGUCGCACCAAGGGAAAAGAAUAACAAUUUGGAGCACGGGAGCAGCCACACGAUUCCGACAAGUAGAGAGGUGCAGUUGCACCAUAGAAAAAAAGGAAAAAUGAUACAUCCACAUUCCAUCAAUUGUGGCUUCCGAACACGCUCCAAGUCAGGUCAUCAAUUUUUGACAACUCACAGUUUAGUAAUCUUGAUAUUUUAUUUUUUAUUUUUUUUUGUUUGUUGAACUUUAAAGAUCAAGUGAGUGUAGAAGGAGAUUAUGGCAGGCUAUGAUGGAGUUAAUGGCUUUUCUUGAACUUAUAUAUAUAUAUAUAUAUAAUAUGGUCGACAGUGAGAGGUGUCAGUGGGUGAUGUUUGUCUGCAAUUCAAAAAACUGAAUGAGUGGAAUAAAUACAUGAUCAGUGUGUAACAAGGUACUGGCUUUAAUUGAUUUAUUUAUGAACGAAAUGAAUGUGUCUAACAUAGAUGGAUGUUAAUAGAUAUAUUUUUUUAACUCUAAGAACUAAUGGUAUAAAUUUUAAAAGGUGUGAAAUGUGGCAGAUUGCAGGAUGUUUGUGGGAUGUUGAUUUGUGAAUAAAAAAAAAAAAUUGAAUCCAUGAAGGUAUGUUGGUGACGUGUUGGCUUUGAAGGAAACAAUAAUAAGAAAUUGAAAAGUUGAUUUGAAAAUUUCAUUUGAGAAUGUAGCUAGUUACAAAAUAUGUUAGUGGCAUGGGAUUGUUAAAAAAAAAAAAAAAAAACUUCCAAUGAAUGCGUGUUGCUAUGUGAGUGGCAUGUUGUUUAUUUUGUAAAAAAAAAAAUAUCUAAUGGAUUUAUAUGAGAUAUGUUAAUAAUUGUUUGAAUAAAAUAUAAAUCAGGUUAGGAUUUUCAGUUGUUAGUUUUUGAAUUUUUUAUUUUUAUUUUUUGUUUUAUAUUAGUUAUCAUUAUUAUUAUUAUUGCUAAUCCCAUGUUAAUUUUUGUAAGCAUUUGUCUUGGAUAAUUCGGGAUGAUAGUUUAAAAAUUAGAUGUUUUAUUCGUUUUGGAUAAUUUUGUGAUGUUAAUGAAAAGUUAGAAUAUUUUGUAAGUUUUUAGUUUUCAAUAAUUUGGAUAUUAAUGAAAAGUUAUAUUGUGCUUAAUUUUUAGUUUUGGAUAAUUCUUGAUGAUAAUGGAAAAGUUAGAAUUUUUAAGUGUUUGGAUAAUUUUUUAUGAGAGCUUUGUUCAAAUAAAAAAAAAUCGUAAUAUUUAAAUUAUUUUAAACAUUUUUUUUCUUUUCUUGGAUUAAAAUAUAAAAUAAUUGUUUAUCUUAUUUAUAAAAUUGAUUAUGUUCAAAAAAAUAAUAAUAAUUUCUAAAUAAAAAGUUGUGGAAAUCAUCCUUUUGAAAAUAAAAUAAAGUCUAAAAAAAUUAUUAAAGAAAAAUUCAAAUAAAAUUGUAAAAGAUAUUUUUACAUUUAUAAAAUAUUUUUAAAUGGUGGAAUAAUUUUUUUUUAUAUGAGGUUUUAUUAUUAUUAUUAUUAUUAUUACUAUUAUUAUUAUUAUUAUUAUUUUGGUAUUUUCUUCCUAGGAAAUUCUUUUCUUUGUAAAUGAAGUAGAAUCAUUCAUGGUAUUUUUUUUAUAUGAAGUUUUAACACUGAACUGUUUCACGUGGGAAUCAUGGUAUUUUUAUUUUUAUUUUUUUUGUAAAUAAAUUUUUUUGAAAGCAUUUUCUUUAAAUGAAGUUAAAGCAUUUUUUAAAUCAAAACUUUCUUUUGUAAAUAAAAUUCAUUAAAAUUAUCGAAUUGGAAAUCAACUAUUUUUUUAAUACUCAUGAAAUAUUUCUUUUACAAAAGUAAUAACAUUUAUUUUCUUGUAAAUAAUUUUUUUAAAAGCAUUUCCUUUAAAUGAAGUUAAAGCAUUUUGUCUAAAUCUAAACUUUCUUUUAUAAAUAAAAUUCAUUAAAACUAUCGAAUUGGAAAUUAAUUGUUUUCUUUAUAAAUCAACACUCAUGAAAUCUUUCGAAAAUGUGUCAUAUUGUGGAAAUCAAACUACCUUUUUUUUUAGUCAAUUUAAUAAUUCAAUCACCUUAGUGCAUACUUAUGAAAUCUUUUCUAUAUUGAUCCAUGUUGAUUUUUAUUUUUCCCAAAAUCCUUAGUAGUUAAUUUUAAAAACCCAUGUUAAUUUAUAUUCAUUUCUAAGCAAUAAGUUAUUGAUUUUUGAUGAUCUAUGCCAUUAUAUGUUGUUCUUUGAUUUAUUAGAUGUUGUUUUGGUGAUCCUGAUGCCCAAUGACAUUUAUUAUUUCUUUGAAACUAAGUUUAUAAUUAUGAUAAUCUCGUAUUAUUAGUUUCAUUUUAAAAACAAGCGCGUGAUUGAUUUAUCUUAAGUUUAGAUGCAUUUAAAAUUCCAACGAUUAGUUCUCGAUUAUCUAUGCUAGUUUAAGAUUUUCUUGAAGUCUUUAAUUGUUUUUUUUUUUUUUUUUUCUUAUUCUUGAUGAUCAUCUAAAAGAUAGAUUUUUUUAGACACUUGUUUUCCAUAGUUCUUAGUAAUAGAAUGAAAGUUAGAUUUUUUUAAAUGUUAGCUUGUAAUUCUUGGUGGUAAAUUGAAAGUUAGAUUUGUUAAAAUGUUAGUUUACAGGAUCUAAAAAUCUCUAGUUAGUUGCUAUAAUAAUUUUAUCUUUAAUUUUUAGAGGUCAUCAAAAAAUAGUGAAGAUUGGCUUCCAUUCUUACCACUUUAGUUUGCUCAUAUUGUCAAAAUUUUCACUUUGUGAAUUCGUUUUCCUCUGUUUUGCUUGGUAUUUUAUUUCUUGUGUUUUGUUGUUUUCAUAUUAAUUUCCUUUAUUUUUAAAUCAAAUGCUUUUCUCAAAAGAUACCUUUGAAAAAUUUGUGUUAAAAAUAAUUCAUUUAGAGUCCUUAGAAUCAAAAUCUCGCUUUUUUAAAAAUAAUAUGCAACCAUUUUUUUUCUGUUCGCAUCCUACUUAGUUUUCAAUAAAAACUACGGUUUUGAGUAAGACACGAAUCCAAGCUUGUUGUCCCAAAUAAAUGGGAUAAUUCCAAGCCAGAUUUGUGUAUAUCAAUUGGGGAAUUGGUGAAACCCCUACAUAAAAUCAUCUUUUCAAAACUCAUCUUUGUUGUCACCCUUGCCAUUUAUUGAAAUCAUAUGUAUCUAUUUUUUAGGAAUUAUAUAUAAGAUGUGUGCGAUAAUUGAUGAUUUUGUAUACUUUGAUUAUUUUUGUUUAUGCUAAUUAGAUAACAAGCAUGCUAGGAUUUCUUUAUUUUAUUAUUAUCUAACCCCUCAUGUCAUGUGGAAAUGCAUUAUAAGUUAUUUAUGCUGUCUUGGUACGUCAUCUAUCACCCACCUUCUAAAUUCUAUAAAUAUGCAUGUCACUGUGAACUGCAUCUAUACUUGAUAGUGCUUGAGUGUCUUGAUAUAUACAUCUUUCAUUGUUCUAUUAUUUCUAAUAAAGCGCAUGUUGGAAGAUAUAUUAUUUGAACUAACUCUGAUGUCUUGUAACAACCUUAAGAUGUGGUCUAGGUACGCACCCUAAAUCUUCUUUAUGAUUGUGCUUGGCUUUCUUGUUAGACAUGUUAUUUUUGAAAUCACCUAGCCUGCUUAGGUAUCUAUAAUUAAUCAAUUAAUUACCGUAUUUCCCUCAAUUUAGUCAAUAGAGACCUUUAUAGGGCUUAGAGAGGUGCUACCUCCUAAAGGUACCUUCCCAAUAAGUAACUUAAUCCCUUGACCUAGACUUGGGUUUUUCAAAGACACGUUUUUCCAAAAACUAUGAAGUCAUUUUUUAGGGUUUUAUUUCUUGUUUUAUUUUCCCUUUAAAAUAAAAUAAAAUAAGUGGCGACUCCGACUUUUCCAAAACUAAUUUUUCACCAAAUAAAAACUCGUCUUGUCGAUCGAGUGGGGGUGCAUGUGAGAAAUGCGGGUCCACACCUUCCUUUUGCAUUGUCUCCAAAGGUAACAUAUCCUCCAUUUUUCUUUGUAAGGAAAGCAAACUUGGAUUCAUCUCCGGUCAUGUGUCUUGAGCAUCCACUAUCCAAGAACCACUUAUCCUUCUUUGAACCCUACAAUAUAAAACUCAAGUUGAUUUAGGUACCCAUAUCUUUUUGGGUCUUUGAGGGUUAGUGACCUUGGAUUUUUCAAUCCAAACCUUUUUAGUUUUUGCAUUUGAAUUCUUUUGAGAACCAUUUCUCAAAUGACAUGUACUACUAAUGUGCCCUCCUUUUCCACAAAAGUUGCAAGUAUUGGAAGGACUUGCACUUGUGGAUUCUUUUACAAAAUAGUUUUUAAAAUACUUUUGAUUUUUUAAAGAUUUGAAUCAUAGCCCUUGCUUGUCAAAAACACAUUUUUUGGCUAGCUAGAAUCAUUUCAAAAGAUUUUUGUCCACAAGAAAAUAUUGAAAGAGAGGAGGUCAACCAUUCAUUUUUCUUUCUCAAAAUCUAUUUUUCUUUUUCAAGAGAAAUUUCAACAUUUGAAAAUUUUUCUUUUACUUCUCCAAAUUCUUUUUCAAGUUGUUGAAUUUUCUUUUUAAGAGAAAUAUUUUUCAAACUAAUUUUUUCAAAGUCCUCACACAAUUCUUCAAAAACAUCAUGUAUAUCUUCAUCACUAAAGUUAGAGUUUACCUCAUCAGGUUCAUCUAUUGCCAUGAAGCACAUGUUUGCCACUUCUUUCUCCUUUUCUUAUUCAGAGGAUUCUUCACUUUCACUCUAAGUGGCCAUCAUUGCCUUCUUUAUUCUCCUCUUGACUUCACUUUUGUAGAGAGGACAAUCAUAUUUAAUGUGUCCCAAUUUCUUAUAUUUGAAACAUACCAAAUCUCUUUUCUCUUCCCAUUUCUCCUUAUCAACAUGAGAUGAAGAUUCCUUUUUAGAAAGGUUUCUUCUAAAGGUGAAUCUUCUUCCUCCAAAACUUUCACCUCUCAUGUAUUUUUUGAGCUUUCUUGUGAUGAGGGAUAAAUCAUCAUCUUUUUCACUUUGUUUUUUUUCUUUAAUUUCUUCUUCUUUCUUAGGUGUAGCUUUGAGAGCUAUGCUUUUCUUCUUUUUGUCUUCACUUUCUUUUAGCUUCUUUGCCAAAUUGAUAUCAUAUGUCAUUAAUGACCCUAUGAGCUCCUCCAUAGGUAGCUUGGUCAAGUCUUUGGCUUCUGGAAUUGUGGUGACCUUUGUAUGCCACUUUGAUGGGACUGACCUCAAGAUCUUUAUAACCUUUUCAGAUUCCUUGUAGGUCUUUCCCAAUGCUUCAAAACCAUUGACAAUAUCGGUGAACCUAGUGAUCAUCUCAACAAUAGUCUCAUUUUCUUUCAUAAAAAACAAUUCAUAGCUAUGAACAAGUAAAUUGAUUUUUGACUCUUUCACUUGAUUUGUUUCUUCAUGAGUUAUUUCAAGCAAUCUCCAAAUCUCUUUAGCCGAUCUACAUUGACAUAUUCUAUUAUUUUCAUUUCUAUCCAUAGUGCAUUGCAAAGUGUAAAUGACCUUAUCAUUUAAUUGAAAAUUUCUUCUAUCAAGCUCAUUCCAUUCUUGCUUGGGUUUUGAAACCAUGACUCCAUCAAAUAGUUUUGAAAUAAAAGUUAGGUCAUCUUCAAUGACAUCCCAUACGUCUAAAUUGGUUGAUUGUAAAUACCAAGUCAUUUUAGUUUUCCAAUAGGGAUUGUCGAUUCCCAUAAAAAAUGGAGCUCUAUUUUAUGCAAAACUUUCAAUGUGAGAUGAGCUUGAUGGAAUAGCCAUUUCCUCUUAUGCAAAACAAGAGGCCUAGCUCUGAUACCAAUUGAGAAAAUAAAGGCUAAUCUUAAGUGAGAAAAACACCUAAGAAGAGGGGGGGGAGAGAGAGAGAGAGAGAGGGUGAAUUGGGUUUUUAAAAUUCUUGUUGAACACAACAAAUUCAAGCACAAUAGAAACAAAUAUAAAGAGAUAGAGUUAGAAAAAUCAAACUCAAAUUUUAUAGUGGUUCAACACUUCCUUGCCUACGUCCACUCUCAUCAAGAUCUUAACAGAUUGAGGGUUCCACUAACUUGAAACUUCAACCAAGCCUCUAAUCUUCUUUACACUUGGAUUCCGACUGCAAUGGGCUCUUACACAAUCUUUUCAAGAUUCAACUCAAUUGAAGGCUUUAACGCUCAAUUUUACAAAAAUGAAACCCUCAACCUAGCUAAAUGAUAGCUUAAAUACAAAUCAAAGCUAGGAUGAAUCACAAAGGUGCACUAAAGGAUAUUCAGGUGAAAAUUUAAUUCACCAAGAAAGAAAUGAGAGCUUUUAAGGCAAGAACAAGUGGGUAGAAAAAUAAAUGCAAGUGUUCUAUAUCUCAUAAAAGAAGUGGAGCUCUCUAUUUAUAGGUUUCUAACCUUAAGAGCCAAGAAAAUAAAAAAGCAGCCUCAAUCGAUCAAGUUGGGGGUCGACCAGAUCACUAGCCAUUGGAACAUUUAAUGCUUUGGCAUGUUACCGUUGCUUCGAUCGAACCUCAAUCAGAGGUCGACCAGGAAGGAAGAUACCUCGAUAGGGAAGGAAAGGCUACUGGAAGAGAAAGUGUGUUUUUACACUCCUCGACCGGGCAAAGGGAACCAAUCGACCGGUAUCCUAGCUGGUUGAGCUGGUUGGCCCAGUGCCUCGACCGAUUCAACAUUUUUACUCCGAAAACCUUUUUUUUUUUUUUUUGUUAUUUUCUCGUCUAACACUUAGGUAAGGUCUUUAGGUAAAUUAAUAUGUCAUUUUUGAAACGUUUUGCCUCAAGUACAUUUGAUAAAACUUGGGUUUUAAUGAAAACAAACUAUAACUUUAAAAAAUAAACCAAGUUUUUCCAAAAAUGCAUGAAAUGAUAUGUAAAACCUAAGUGCACCCAUGCAUUCAUCUUACAUUUGUUUUCUAUGAUUAAAGGUCUUCCAAAUGUCUUGAUCAUGUAUCCAUUAGGUCCUUUGAUGAAUUUUUAAAUUAAUACAUGAGAUUCUUAACAAUUCAAACCAAUUAGUAACUUAACCCUGGUUUGUUAUCAUCAAAACCUGAUUAGGAGAACCCUUGGGCUAACAUAUACAAAAUUUUAACUAAUUUUAUUUAUAUUUCAUUGUCCUUAAUAUUUUCAAUGAUAAAACCAAACAUAGGGUGGGUGUUGAUAUCUCUCCCUCUCACUUUUUCAACAAGGACAAAUAAUUAGAUGGAUCUUCACAAUUACAAAGUCUUUUUGAUAGAAACAAGGAUUGAAAUGUCGGUUAUUAUUAUUUUUUUUUUUUUUUGCCAAAAUAUCGGUGAAAUAUUGGAUAUCAACAGAGCUUGAAACAGACACCAAUUAUCGAUCGACAUGAAUUUUGAAAAAAAUUCAGCAAAAUCACCAAAAUAUCAACGAAAAAAUUGAGCGUGGGGCGACAGGGAAGAAAAGCACAAAAAAUUGCUAAUUUUUUGAGUUUUUUUUUUUUCAAAUUUAUCCAUUUUUAAUUAUUAUUUUUUAAUAUAUAUAUUUUAUUUUAAAUUUAUAUUAUCAUUUUAUUUUCAACUACUUUUUAUAUUUAUCUCAUUAAUCUUAUUUUUAAAAAUUACUAUCACUUCACUCUUAAUUUUUUUUCUUUAUCCUAUUAAUUUUAUUUAAUUUUAAAUGUUUUUAUUUUAAAAUAUUGAUAAUAUAAUUUUACUCAAAAUUUGCUACAAUAUAAAAAAAAUAAUGAAGUCCUAAUAUUUUAAAAAUUAAAAUUAAUUUGAUAAGAUAAAUUAUUAAUAAUUUUAAUUAUUUAAAUAAAUUAAUAUUAAUAGAAAAUAAUUUCACCACAUAUUUGUAAUAAAAUUUUAGAAAUUAAAUCUUUUAAAAAUAUUUUAUAUAAAUCAAUUUAAUUUUUUUAAAUGUAAUAAAAUAUGUUUUAAUAAAAGUAUUUUUAAAAAAAAUUAAAAUAAAUGAAGAUAAAUAUAUUAAAAGAAUUUAAACUAAAUUUUUAUAUUUAUAUCAAUUAUAUUUAUAAAAUAACUUUAACAUUAUAUUUUUGCUUAUUUUAUCUUCUUUUUUUUUUUGAGUUUUUCAAACUUUCCCAUGAAUUUUGAAUAUUUUUGUCAAAAUAUUUUCUAAUAUAUCCAUAAAAUUCAAGUACCAAUAUAUCUGUAUUUACUGAUAUUUCAAACCUUGGAUAGAAAAGAACAUUGUUGAUGUAGAUGAGCCCAAUAAUAGUUUGACUUAGCCAACUACAAGAAGGUUUGCAAGUAAAAUAGCCUCAAGGGACGCAUACUGUAGCUUAACUUCCCAUUAAAUAGCUUAACUCCAAUGCAAGGCAACUUUCAUUUUACUCUUGUCCUUUUUCUAUGUGAAAUAAAUAGAAGAAUCUAAUACAUGCAAGCUAGUGAUAGUACUUCUAAUAUGUAAGCGCACAACUUGAUAAAAGGAAGAAGGAAUGAUAAAAGAAAUGACAAGAAUAACACCUUCAGUCUGUAGUUCAAUACAAGCCAUAAUCAAGUUGCAUUGCUACACUAUAUAUUAUUAAGAAACCCAAGCAGUUUUACAUCGAUUCGCCAACACAAACAUAAGUGGAAGUAACACCAUGACUAAAAAGGAAAUAGAAAUGAAGAAAGAAGUCCAACAAUGCAAAUAGUAUACAUAGAUUAAGAAAUCUUUCAAGAAGAUUUGGGUUGGAUAAAUUUAGCCUCUCUGCCCCCUUCCUUCUUUCCUUGUCCAUUUUCUUUGCCGCUUUCCAAUGGUUUUCACGAACCACUCAUGUUUCCAUGAGGUCAAGCAAUACCCAAUUGAAACUCCGAUUAGUAGCCCACUUCCAUAUCCCAUUAAUACAAUUUUCCAAUCAAAUUUAGUAGUUGAACCUUGUUUGGAGGAUGAAGAUGUUGGUGGUAAUGCCUCGGAACUUCCACAUUCCCUUGACAAAGGACUUCCACACAAUCCCAGGUUCCCAUCAAAUGAAGCAUUUUCAAAUGUUGCAAAUUGUUUUCCUUGUGGUAUAUGCCCAGUAAGAUGAUUAUGAGACACAUUGAAGAACUCAAGGAAUGUUAGCCUUGUUAAUUGCCAAGGGAUCUCUCCUGAGAGCUUGUUCUGGGAAAGAUCCAAUGACUCCAGCUGUGUUAGGUUCCCCAGGGAGGAUGGGAUAUGGCCAGUAAGAUCAUUGCCUCCAAGGUUGAGCAAAUGAAUCCCCUUGAGGCUUCCAAUGGAGGUUGGAAUCUGUCCUUUGAAAUUGUUGCCUGAGAAAUCAAUUGCCAUGAAAGUAUCAAGGAUCCUCUCAUAAAACCUCUGCAUGCCUUUGUUUGUCAUUGUCAUUGAGUACAUGUAACCAGUAAUCAUCACAUUAUUUUUCAAGUCAAUCAUUGGGCUUAUCUGCAUGUACCUAAGGCCGCUUGCAAUAUCUGUAAGCUUCAUGGCAUCCCAAUUUUGGAAAUACUCUGAUGGCAAAUCACCUAUAAACUCAUUGUCAGAGAGGUCGAUGAUGCGCAACUUGGGAAACCUGAAAUUAGUGUGCCAGCUUCCUAUUGCACCAUGGAAUCUGUUGGAUCUCAAAAUAAGAACCUGUAGUUGUGGAAGAGCUCCUAACCAGAAAGGGAAAAUAUCAUUGAUUUUAUUGUUUCCGAGAACAAGGUGCUCAAGCAUCGUGCAAUUGACCAAUGAUCUCGGUAUUUGGCCUUGGAAUUGAUUGUCACCUAAAUCAAUCACAUUCAAAUUAUGAGACACCGUGCAUAUUUCAGGAAUGGGGCCAUCAAGGCUGUUGCUUCCCAGGUCCAAUACAAACAGAGAUCUGCUGAAGUUGGCUAGACAUUGAGGAAUCCUACCACUCAAAUUGUUACUAGACAAAUCAAGUAACUCAAGAGAAGUCAUGUUGCAAAUAAGUGGCGAAAUUUCUCCUGUCAGUUUAUUUCCAGAGACUAAAUAUUCAACGGUUGAUGGUGGUGGAACUGGAAGUGGACCUUGCAGCAUGUUAGAAUCAAGCCGUAAAGUGUGUAACUUGGACCAUGGAAGCACAAAUGGACGUUGGUCAAAGCCUGUUAAAAAGUUUUCAGAAAGUUCUAGAGUCACUAGGGUUUCUUUGCUUAUGUUCCACACCCACUUGGGAAUUGGACCAUGAAUUUUGUUUUCAGAAAGGGUGAUAAUCUCCAAUUCAUGUUGGUUCUGCAGGAAAUCAGGAAACUCAGUUAAAUUGCAUGAACCCAAUCCUAAAUGCUUGAAUUUAGGGAGAGUAGCAUUGGUUCUGGUGUAACUAAGAAAUGAUAACCUGUUGUCUGAUAAUUGGAGAUAAAUGAGAUUUUUGAGCUUAGAUAACAGUUGGAGUUCCACAGUUCCAUUCAAGUAAUUGGAAAGUAGAUAAAGACCUUGAAGAUUAACCAGUUCAAAUAAUGAACUUGGGAUCUGACCACUCAAUUGAUUAUCUGAAAGACUCAAAAUAUUUAGUUGACUCAUAUUUACAAGAGAGAACGGAAUUUCUCCAAUUAAAUUUAUUUGGUUGAGAUACAAAUAAGUGAGUUUUGUUUGCUGACCAAGCCAAGAAAGGGUCCCGACAUUGAAAUCAUUCCAAGAAAGUGAUAAAUAAAUGAGUUGGGUAAGAUUUGCCAUGGAAGAAGGAAUUUGGCCACUGAAAUGGUUAUUUGAAAGGUCUAAAUAGUAUAAUUGGGUAAGGUGACCAAGUGAAGAUGGGACCGACCCUGUGAAAUUGCAUGAGCUGAUAUCCAAUUCAGUCAAAGAACCAAGCCUCCCAAUUGAAGUUGGUAACUCACCAGAAAAACUUGUACCAGCAAGAUCCAACAUUUUUAAGGGGCUGGUUUCCUGAAAUUCCGGCAAAUAACUAAUCAGAUCCAGAUUGUCCCUCACAGUAAGAUACUGUAGGCUUGGUAACUGAAAAAUUUUCAUUGGGAAUUCACCGUGCAAUCCACAUUCUCCGAGAAAGAGAGAUGUCAGUGAAGAUAAACUUGCCAACUCAUAAGGUAUUGUUGAAGAAAUGUUCACCUGACUUAGAUGAAGCUUCUUUAAGUGAGUUAAGUUCUGAACCAGAUUUCUCAAGCCAGGCUUUUGGAGCUGCAACUUUGGGUUUGCCGAGAGAUCAAGGAAAACCAAUUUGGACAGUGCUAAGAGUUCCGAUGGGAUUUGGCCAGAGAAUCCAGAAAAAGAAAGAUCGAGACUCCUAAGCCUUGAAAGCUGACCAACACCAAAUGGGAUCUCAGAGUAAUUGAAAUCAUUAUCAGAGAGGUCAAGCCUCUGGAGAUGAACAAGACUGAAGAGGGUGCUGCUGGAGUUGAUAGAACCAUAGAGACAACUGCUGGCAAGGUGAAGGCCGAUCACAUGACCAGUCUCCCUAUCACACUCAACACCAUCCCAAGAGCAGCAAUCGCUUCCUUCUCUUUCUCCUUCUCCAUGGGAUUUCCACAUUGCAACUUUUGGAUAAGCAGAAGGAUUACCAGAGGCAUGCUCAUCAAUCAAAAAGCUUUGCUUGAACUGAAGUAAGGCAGAGCCCUCACUAUCAUGGCAAAGUGGUCGAUGCAUGGAUGAGGAAGAGUUAGUAACCAUUAGAUAAAAAGAUGAGAGGAAAAGGAGAAAGCGCACAAACAUGAAGACAUACAAAGCUGAGCCCAUAUUUUCUGUGGAUGAUAAGAAUCAAAUGGGAGUGAUGAGGGUUCACAGGCAGGAUCCAUACUCUUAUAUAGUAAUGAUGACUAAUGUGCAUUGACAGCAACCCAGUAGGCCAGUCUGCCCAUAAAUUUUAAACUGUUUCAGAACAUGCCCCUCCUUGAGUUCCUGUUACUAAUAAAAAUCUCACUCACAAGUCAAGUUGUCUCCCUAGGCUUAGGGGUGCCAUUAAGUUAAAUCUCUAUUUAUUAUAUGACUUGCAUUGACUUAAGCUGAUGAACCGCCUCUCUCUUCGAUUGGUGACUUGAUAAAAGCUCUGGUGGAGCCCAAAUUCCACAAGGGAUGAGGCCGGAAUAAAGCUAGUUAACCACAACAAUAGUAAAACAGCCUCUAGGGACAUGUACUGCUGCUUAACUUCCCAUUAAAUAGCUUAACUCAAAUGCAAGGCAACUGUCAUUUUGCCUUUUUCCUUUUUCCAUAUGAAUAAGUGGAAGAAUCUAAUACAUGCAAGCUAGUGAUAAUACUUCUAACCAUAUAAAUUACCGAGUUUAUGCUAAUGCACCCAACUUGAUAAAAGGAAGAAAGAAUAAUAAAAGUGAUGAGACUAACACCUUCAGUUUGCAGCAUUAUUGUUUAACUACUCUAAUGUUGCAAGGUCUAUAAUAUUGAAAAAAGAAGGGCCCAUAUGGUAUGAUUUAGAAUUUUUCAACCCAUUUCAGAGAUUAGGUUCCCUGAAAAUCAUGAAAGCGUGUCCUUAUCACAUUUUGUAGUUUUUGUUCUAGGCCUAGAAAUCUUCAAGAAAAUAUGACAAAUGGGGUUGUUUUAAAUGCAGUUGAGGUUGAAGGGUGAGUGAGAUUGAUUUGGUCUAUCUCUUUAUUUUUAGCCUUGCUUGGAGGGUUUCUAUUGAUCUCUUCUUUCUUUUACUUUUCAUGGCCUGCCUUUUUAGGUGAAGAAUAAAGUAGACCAAUUAAAGCUGCAUUGAGGCCCAGUUUUCUAGCUACCACAAUGUCCUUUUUUAUAUUGUGGUUUUUUCCAAGCCCAAGUCAGUCAAGAGAAAGACAACCCCACUUAAGGGUUCUUACUAAUCUAACCUUUAAUGCAUGACUCUACAUGUAACAUUCUUACUUUUAAUUAGUUUGUAAAGAAAAAUAUUAUAUUUCAAUAUUAAAUAUUUAUGUAAGAUAAAAAUAAAUAUUACAUCCCAAUAGUUUAUAAUUUAGAAAAAAAAAUAUUUAUACUUUAGUAAGUAAUUUAUAUUUUUAAUAAUAUUUGUGAUUAAAAUAUUUAAAAUUUAUAAAUAAAAAAUAUUAGAUAGCGUUAUUAAGUAUAUAAUAAUUGUAUAUAUUAGUGUUAUUUUAUGAUAUAUAUUAUAUGUUUUUUUAGUUUUUUUAACUACAAAAUAAUUUGUUUAAUCAUUUUUUUUAAAUGGUAAUAUAAAAUAAAUUUGUGAUCCAAGCACAUAUCUUAUAUCUCAACUUAGCUAUAUAAAAAAUAUGUUGAGUAAUAUAUUUCAUCAUUUAUCAUAUCAUAUCUUUGAUUAAACAUAAAAUAUAAUAAGUGAUAUGAUAAAUUGUCUUAUUCCCUAUCAAAACCAAAUAUAAUAAAACUUGUUUCUUAGAGAAUAUUGACUUAUUAAAGAGCUUUGACUCACCUCCACUAUAGAGUUUUUCUUUUAUAGAUCCCUUAUUUUCGAGGUUUUGCAAUAAUUAACAUCUAUUUAAAACUUAGAAAACAUGUUUUGUGAAAUUAUUUUAUUUCUCCUUACCUAUGCUGCUCAGUGUAUAUAUUCAGACUAUUCUUCCAAGUAAUUACUAUAAUUGUCCCUCUCUUCUUUCAUAGUUUUAGUCCAACUUGAUGGUAUCCCUCCUUUAUAGAAAUUGUGAGUGAGAGACCCGCAAAAGACUUUGGCAAAUAACGUAUGUUUUGUAUCCUUGUCUUAGAGCAGAGAUGUGAAUAAGUCCAUGUGCAACCUGAGUCUGGUUACUUUGUCUCCUAUCCUCUUUGUUCUUUAGCAUAUAUAUAUAUAUAUAUAUAUAUAUAUAUAUAUAUAUAUAUAUAUAUAUAUAUAUAGCUUCCUUUGGAUCUUUCUGUGACUCUCACUUCCCAAACAAAGCGAACAAGUCAACAAAAUUAAUAAUCAAUGUUGUUGUCAACUGUCAAGCCUAACUGCCAAAACAUGAAGAUCCAAAAGCCAUCAUUAAUAAUUAACAAAUGAAGGAAAUAAAAAUGUUGAUGGGUUGGAAUUCAAAUCCCAUACCCUACAUUUGAGUCAAGCUCACGUUUUUCAAAGCUUAGGUGGCAACACAUGAGGAGACCGGCCAAAGACUUCUUCAAAUGGACAGAAGAACCGUGUUUGAAGGUCUAAUGGGGAAAGAGAAAAUCCUGUUUGGAAUCAUUAAUUUAUUCAACAGUUAAUCCAUGAUAUGUCAUGGAUGCUCUCAAGCAUAAUUAUUAUCUUCAAACAUAAGACAUUCAACUGCGUACCAUGUGGAUUCUUCUUCCCUUCGGAUAUGUACCAAACACCAUUAUAGACCUUUAAGUGCCAAUUUUCAACACACGCGGAAGACUUUUGCAGGAGAGCAAAGCAACCACGUUCACAUCCUUGGACAAAUAGAAGAUUCGUCUUUUUGAUAACUUGAAAAUAUUAUAUAUUGUAGCUCACUAAAUUGAUUUGUUACAUGCUCCCAAAUUUUCAGAGUUAGGUGCUUAGAGUCUAAAGCUUCUUUAAUUAUUUCAAAUGAAAGACUUGAAACACCAUAGUACAUCCAACAUAUCAGUCUGCCAUGCUUAAUUUCUUUGGAAUAUGUAUAUUUGUUGUACUCAAAAAAUAGUUUAAAAAUAAAAUAAAAUAAAAUAUUUUGACAAUCAAAAAGUACUUCAAAGGAACUGAAAAGUUAUGUGCAUCUAAGGUUAAAUAUAUAUAUAUAUAUAAAGCAAAGCUUGUGACAUUUGCAUUAACACAAGGCUUAACGUAACUGAAGCAUGGAAUGAAUAUUUAGCACCUUGAACAAGAUCUAGGGAUUUCUACAUUAAUGUAACUAUUGAGUAAGCAUGAUGAUCAUUAGAAGCAUACUCUAUCAAUCAAAAGCCUCUACUUGAACCGAAGCAAGGCAUAAAUGUCACGAUCAUGGCACAAUGGUUGCCGCAUAGAAGAAGAAGAGUUAGCCACCAUUAGAGGAAAAGAUGAGAGUAAAACAUGAAGCAGAUCAACAUGAAGGCUUUCUUUAGUAAUGGCUAAAAUUCAUUUUAGAAUGAAGAAACAUAAAGAAAUCUCAAAUUUGCUUACUUAAUUUGCCAUAAAAAUAUAACAAAAAUCCAUGUGGAACCAUGACUUAUUAUAGACUAGUACUUUGGGUUUGUUAUUUUCUACUACUAAUUUGGCAUAUUUGUUUGCUAAAAAAAUUAUAAUAGUGUAGUUAUGUGCAUGAGAGAAAUAACAUAGUCAAUUUGGACCAAUUUUAGCUUUUGAACCAUUUAAUAUAUGAGUUUCAAAUUAUUUUGAAUGACUAGACUUAUUUAUGAAUCUAAUGGAUUAAGUUUUGCUUAAUUUAGAGUUUAUUUGCCUAAUAAAAUUUUAAAAAUUUACAUUCAUAUGUAAAGAAUAAACUAGCAAAAGCAUUUAAGAUGAGUUUUGAUUUAUGAUUUUUAAAUGUUAAUUGAAUCAGUUUUAAGUUUCAUGAUUUGUUGGUAUUAAUUAGAUCAAUUGUUAAGCUUCAAGUUAAUUAUUUUUAACAAUUAGUCAAUUUCAUGAAUCAAAUCUCCUUUGAUUUGAGAUCAUUUUUGUUUUUUUAAAUAAAAAACUAUUUUUUUUAAAAUGAACGGAAUAAAUAAUAAUAGAUCCAUUUUUCCACACCAAAAGCCCUUGUCAAGCUCAAGCGCCAGAGGUCAAAAGACUUUCUGGAGUUCAUCUUUUCAUGGGAGUUUCCCCAAUAAUUUCACCUCUUUUCCGUCCAAUGUUUAUGACAAUUUGAAGAAAUUGAUAGGCAAGUGUGUGGAACAGAUUUGAUAAUGGCUCAAGAAAAAAAAAAAAAAAAGAUGAAUGAAGUGAUACACCAAAUCAUCUAGCAGGCUUCAUAGAAUUAAAGUACUUUUAGUUCAAGUAGUGAGCUGAUCUAAUUCCCCUUUCAAAUAAUACACCCCAUUAUAAAUCCAUGCUGCUAUAGAAAAAAAAAAUGCCAAGUGACUUGGGGAUAAGGGUGGGGCAACAAUGUUCACAUAUGGAGUUGGAUCUAUGCUGCUAUAGAAAGAAAUGCAACCCCUACACUUGUCACAAAUGUUCCGUAUUUAUUUUUACUUCCAUUCUUCAUAAUAUCUUUGAUAAAAGACAAUUACAUGAAACAUAUCUUAAAAUUAAACUGAAAACAAUAAUUUCUUUGUAAAUAGUAUAAAAGAAAAGAUCAUAUAAUAAAUAUAGAAAAGAAGUAUAAUCCUUUAUUGAGAAAAAAUAAAUCACAUGUGUGAUAUUCAUUCCAAUGAUCGAAUUAGACAAAACAGACAUGGCCAAGAGCCCAAAGCAAAGACCAACUCAGCCAACAGGUAUUCAUUAUGAUUGUUGCAUGCAACCAAAAACUCAAAUUAGAGAAAACAGAAGUAAAAUGGCAAAAUAUUACAUAACAAAGAAGAGCACCUUUUAUUUACUUCUUACAUGGAAAUCACAAUGCUCAAUAUUAAUCCACAUACUAAUACUGCAACAUUAUCCCUUCAACACUUGGAAAAAAAAAACCAAUAACAACAACAGCAAGGAAUUCAAUUUCUUUAUGCUUUAUCACUCUCCCUUCUCUAUUUUCUCCGCCUCUUGCCUAAAGUGUUGGAAAAAACAAUCAUGUUUUUUGUUGUCAAGGUGUGCCCGAUUACCAUUCCAACUACCAGACCACUUCCAUAACCCAUCAAUGCUAUCAUCAUUUCAACUUUGCGGCCAGUACUCUCCAAGUCCCCACCUUGUUUGUAGGUUGAUGUUGGUGUUGUUGGCUUAGAGUUUCCACACUCCUUUGACAAAGGAUUUCCGCACAAUCCUGGAUUUCCCUCGAAUGAGUCAUUCUGAAAUGUAUCAAAUUAUUUCCCUUGUGGUAUAGGUCCCAUGAGACGAUUGUGAGAAACAUUGAAGAACUCAAGGAAUGUCAUUCCCUUUAGCUGCUCAGGGAUCUAUCCUGAGAGAUUUUUUUGGGAUAGGUCCAGUGGCUCAAGCUAUGCUAAGCUCCCAAGAAAAGAUGGGAUGUGACCAGUAAGACUGUUGGACGAAAUGUUGAGCAAAUGAAGUCCCCCGAGUUUCCCAAUGGAUUUUGGGAUCUCUCCUGUAAAUUUGUUGCUUGAGAGAUCAAUUGCUUUAAAACUGUGAGGGAUCUUCGGGUACACCCUUUCCAUGCCUUUGUUGGUCAUUGUCAUCGAUUAAGUGUAAUUUUUGUAUAGCCCAUAUCCUGGGAGAAGAAAUCCCAUCCUUGUAUUUGCUAAAUGCUCUUCAUCGACCUUGCUCAUGGCAACCCAAGUGAUAAAGUAGCCUGCUGGCAAAUUACCUGCAAAAUUAUUGUGUGAGAGGUCAAUAAUACACAACAUGGGGAACUCAAAGUUGGUUCUAGGACUCUCGAUUGCACUAUGAAAUCUGUUAUUCCGCAAAAUGAGAAGUUGCAACUCUGGAAAAGAUCCCAACCAAAAGGGUAAAGUAUCAUUGAUCUGAUUGUUUCCAAGAUUAAGAAUCUCAAGCUCUUUACAAUUGCCCAAUGAUCUUGGUAUCUGCCCCUCCAACUGAUUGUAACUAAAAUCAAUCAUUUCUCCCAUGAAAGUUGUUGCCUCAUAGAUUCAACACCAAUAGAGAAUUUCUGGAGUUGUUCAAACAUUGAGGAAUCAGGCCACUUAAGUUGUUAUUCGACAAAUCAAGGAUGUAAAGAAGAUGCAAGUUGCAAAACAACGAUGGAAUUUUUCCACUUAGUCUGUUGUUACAAACAAAAUAAUUAGCUAUGGAAGAUGGUGGAACUGGAAGGGAACCUUGCAGCCGAUUAUAAAUAAGAUCUAGAACUUUCAGAGUAACCCAUGGAAGGACAAAAAGCCAGUUAAGAAGUUAUGUGAUAGGUCCAUGACCAGAAGAGUUUCUUUACCUCUGUUUCAUAUACAUUUUGGUAUUUGGCCACGAAUUUUGUUGUCAGAAAGUGUUAAAAACUUCAACUCAUCUUGGUUCCUUAGGAAAUUUGGGAAUUCUAUCAAUUUGCAUGAAUCUAAUCCUAAAUACGUAAACCUUGGAAGAGAACCAUUGAGACGGUAGUGAGAAAUGAUAGAUUGUUAGGGGUUAAGUCGAGAGCUCUGAGAUUUUUGAGCUUAACAAGCAUGUUCAGCUCCACUGCCGCUCAACUUGUUUGAACAUGGAUAAAGAAUAUUAAGGUUUAAUAGUUCAAAUAUUGAGCUUGGUAUUGGACCUUCCAAAUUAUUGCACCCAAGACCUAACUGUUUUAACAGAGUCAGGUUCCCAGGGCAUGAUGGAAUUCUACCAUUUAGUUGAUUAUUCUCCAGAUUUAAAUAAUGCAGUGCAGUAGUGCAGUUAGGUUUGAAAGAAAAGGCAAGAUAUCACCAUUUAAAUUGAUCUUGUCAAGGUCCAAAACAGUGAGUUUGGUCAGCUUGCCAAUCCAAGACGAGGUCCCAACACUGAAAUCAUUCCUAGAAAUAUCCAAGAAAUUGAGAUGGAUAAGGUUGGCCAAUGAAGAAGGGAGCUGGCCCUUAAAAGAGUUAUACGAAAGGUCCAGGAGGACAAGCUGGGUAAGGUUGCCAAGUACAGUUGGAACCAUCCCAUUGAAAUUGCAUGAGCAGAUAUAAUCCUAUUGAGGCUGGUAUCUGACCAGAGAAACUUGUCCCAAAGAGAUCCAAAUAUUUGAGGUGACAAGCAUUGGGAAAUUAGGGCAAAUGACCAGUCAGAUAUCUAUUAAACAUCAAAUUAAGGAGUUCUAAGCUUGGCAGCUUCAAAAUCCCCAUGGGGAAUUCACCGUGCAAUCCACAAUUUUCAAGAGAAAGAGAUAUCAAAGGAGAUAAUUUUGCCAAAAUAACAGGUACAGUAGAAGAUAUGUUCGCCUGACUUGGAUUAAGUUUUUUUAAGUGGGUUAAGUUCUGAACCAAAUUUCUCAAGUCAGGCUUUUGAAGCUGCAAAAUUGGGUUGCUCGAGAGAUCAAGGGAAACCAAUUUGGACAGUGCUAAGAUUUUCGAUGGGAUUUGGCCAGAGAAAUGAGAAUUGGAGAGGAUGAGACUUCUAAGCCUUGAAAGCUGACUGACUCCAUGCGGGAUCUCAGAGUAAAUGAAAUCACUAUCAGAGAGCUCAAGGCUCCGGCAAUGCACAAGACUGAAGCGGGUGCUGCUGGAGUUGAUAGAGCCACAGAGACAACUGCUGGCAAGGUGAAGGCCGAUCACAUGACCACUCUCCCUAUCACACUCCACACAAUCCCAUGAGCAGCAAUCACGUCUCUCUCCAUGGGAUUUCCAUAUUGCAACUUUUGGAUAAGCAUAAGAAUCUUCAGAAGCAUAUUCAUCAAUCAAAAAAGCUCUGCUUGAACUGAAGCAAGACAAAUCACUGAUUAUCAUGGCACAGUGGCUUCUGCAUAGAUGAGGAAGAGUUAAUAACAAUUAGAUGAAAUGAUGAGAGUAAAACGAGAAAGCGCAUCAAGAUGAAGAGACACAAAAUUGACCCCAUAAUUCUAAUUCACUCUCUUUACCACUACUCUUGAAUAUACUAGGAAUCAGGUAAUGAGCAAUGCUCUCCGGAAAUGACUAAGGCCUUGUUAUGCCAUAAUAGACCCGUCCUUCAAGUCUUUAUUGAAGUUGGAAGGAAAAUUUCAAAGUCUAAAACAAGCUUUCCAUUUGCGCGUCUCAAAGUCUUUCGUGGAGAUGCGAAUAUGUCUAUUUGCAAUUGAUUUCCACCCAGAUUUAUUGGAUUGAAACACUUCAGAAAGAAAAAAAAAAGUUAGAAACAACAAUAGCACAAUAAUCUAUUGGAUUUUUGUGUUCUCUCAUAAUCUCCUUUCUCUAUUUUCUCUGCUUCUUGGCUUGUCUUGUCUUGUAUUUGGUACAUGCAUUAUCAAGUUUUCCUUUUUUCUUCAAUUCUAAAGAACAUAAAAUUGUUUUCAAUAUCAGUACAUCCCUAACACAUGCACCUAUUCUUAUUUUUGAACACUUCAUUUCAGAAUUUUGUAAUUUUCGAAAUAAAUUUACAGUGAUUUAAGUGACCAAUUAAUCAUAAGAGAGAUAUCUCCCACUUUGUCAAAGGUAAACAAAUUUUAGGAUCUUUAAUAAAUUUGUGUGUUUUCAUCACUUUAUAGGAUAAAGUUAUUAUAUACACUCACAAAGAAUUGUGAUACUUGCAUAACACAAAAUCUCAUGAUUAUGUCUAGAGGUAAUUUUUCUAGGCUUCCAUUAUUUUAGAAAAAUUUAAGCUAUGUUUGGUUUUGAAAAAAUUAAGAGAAAAUGUAAAGGAAAGAAAAUAAUAAGGAAAAAUAAAAAAUAAAUAUAAAAUUAAUAAAUUAUUCUGAUAUACUUCUUCAAACUCGUUUCAUUUAUGUUUACUUUUUUAUGUAACAAUUAAAUAAUUUUAAAAUAUAUAAUAAGGGAUCUAUGCUACUAUAGAAAGAAAUGCAGUGUAACCCCUGCACUUGUCCCAUGCCUUCUUUACUAAUUUUGCCUUCAUUCCUUAUAAUAUCUUUGAUCGAAUGCACUUGCAUGAAACCAUCUUAUGACAGGAUUAAAGACAAUGCCUGCUUUGUAGAGAGUAUGAAAUAAAGAAAAGAUUUGAGAAAGAGAAGAAAUAAAAAUAAAAGAGAAUGGGAAAAAAAAAAAUUGUAUGGAAUUCCAUGGACAAAUAGAAGGUUCAUCAUUUAAUGAACUUAAAAAUAUUCCAUAUUGUAUGUCAUAGAAUUGAUUUGUUAUUUGCCCUUGAUUUUUCAGUUUUGUAGUUAGGUGCUUAGAGAAUAAAGUUUUUGCCAUUAUUUCAAAUCAAAGACUUGCAAUACCGUAGAAAACAAAAGUUCAAAACACCACGACAAAGUAAGAAAAGAAAAAGGAAAGAAGAAAUAUGAAACCCAACAACGGAAGCAAUAUACAUGGAUCAAGAGACCUUUCAAGGAAAUCGUGGUUUGAUAAAUUCAGCCUCUAUGCCCCCUUCUUGCCUUCCUCCUCCAUUUUGGUUGCCUCCUUCCAAAAGUUUUCACAAACCAUUCAUGUUUCCAUGCGGUCAAGCAAUACCCAGUAGAAAUUCCAAUCACUAGUCCGCUUCCAUAUCCCAUUAAUACAAUUUUCCAAUCAAAUCCACUUGAUGAACCUUGUUUAGGGGUUGAUGGAGCUGGUGGUGACGCCUCAGAAUUUCCACAUGCCCUUCACAAAGGACUUCCACACAAUCCCGGGUUCCCAUCAAAGGAAGUAUCUGGAAAUGUUGCAAAUUGUUUUCCUUGUGGUAUAGGCCCUGUGAGAUGAUUAUGAGACACAUUGAAGUAUGCAAGGAAAGUGAGCUGCACUAGCUGCUGAGGUAUCUCUCUUGAUAGCUUGUUCUGAGAAAGGUCCAAGGCCUCCAGCAGGGUCAAGUUUGCUAAGGAUGUGGGGAUAGGGCCUGUAAGAGCAUUAUUGGAAAGAUUAAGUGCUUGAAUUCCCUUGCGAUCCCCAAUGGAUUCCGGAAUCUCUCCAUAGAAUUUGUUGCUUGAAAGAUCAAUGACUGUUAAGAUGUCGGGGGUCUUCUCAUAUUCCCUUCUCAAGCCUUUGUUCACUAUUGUCAUUGAGACAGUGUAAGCACUUUUCCAUGAAUAUUGUGGGCCUUCAAAUUCUACAUCUGCUUGGAUGUAUUUCAAAUGAUCUGCAUCCACAAUUCUCAUGGCAUCCCAAUUUCGGAAGUAUUCUGAAGGCAAAUUACCUGUAAAAUGAUUGUGAGAGAGGUCAAUGAUGUGCAGCUUGGAAAACUCAAAUUUGGUUUCGGGCCUCCCUAUUGCCCCAUGAAAUAGGUUGGAUCGCAGAAUGAGAACCUGCAACCUCGGGAGAGAUCCCAACCAGGAAGGGAAAUUAUCAUUGAUCAUAUUGUUUCCAAGAACAAGCUCCUCAACCAUGAUGCAAUUGGCUAGUGAUCUAAAUAUUUGCCCUUGUAAUUGAUUCCCACUUAAGUCAAUCAUCCGCAAACUGCUUGUGUUGGUGCAUAUUUGAGGAAUGGCACCAUGCAAGUUGUUGCCUCUGAGAUUGAGUACAAACAGUGAAGAGCUAAGGUUGGUCAAGCAUUGAGGAAUCCCGCCACUGAAGUUGUUAUCAGACAAAUCAAGUGACCUAAGAGAAGUCAGGUUGCAGAUCAAUGGUGGAAUUUCUCCUGUAAGUUUAUUUCCAGAGACUGAAUAGAUAUAGGUUGACGGUGGGGGAACUGGGAGUGAUCCUUGCAGCAUGUUAGAUGCAAGGUCUAAAAUGCGCAUCUUCGACCACCUGAGAACAGCUGGGAGUAGGUCAAAGCCUGUAAGAAGGUUUUGACGAAGGGCCAGAAUCUCUAGGGUUUCUUUGCUCAUGUUCCAUAGCCACUUUGGAAUUGGACCAUGAAUUUUGUUAUCACAAGGAAGAGCAACUCCAAUUCAUCUUGGUUCUGCAGGAAAUCAGGAAUUUGGGUUAAGUUGCAUGAAUUCAGUCCUAAAAGCCUAAAUUUAGGGAAGGUUGCAUUGGUACUGGCGUGACUGAGCAAUGAUAACCUAUUGUAGGAUAAUUGGAACUUGGUGAGAUCUUUGAGCUUAGAUAACAUGUGGAGUUCAACUGUUCCAGUCAAGUAAUUGGAAUGUAGAUAAAGAGAUUGAAGAUUUACUAGUUCAAAUAAUGAACUUGGGAUAGGACCUUCUAAUUUGUUUUCCUCAAGAUAUAAUUCAGUCAGUCGGGUGAGGUUCAUGAGCCAAGACGGGAUCUGACCAAUCAAUUGAUUCCUUGAAAGACUCAAAAUAGUUAGUUCACUCAUGUUUACAAGAGAGGAUGGGAUUUCUCCAGUUAAAUUCAACUGGUCGAGAUACAAAUAAGUGAGUUUUGUAUGCUUACCAAGCCAAGCAAGGGUUCCGACAUUGAAAUCAUUCGAUGAAAGGUCUAAGUGAGUUGGGUAAGAUUUGCCAUGAAAGAAGGAAUUUGACCACUAAAAGAGUUAUUUGACAGGUCUAAAUAAGAUAACUGGGAAAGGUGAGCAAGUGGAGAUGGGAACAAUCCUGUGAAAUUGCACUAGCUGAUGUCCAAUUCAGUCAAAGAACCAAGGCUCCCAAUAGAAGCUGGUAACUCACCAUAAAAACUUGUACCAGCAAGAAACAACAUUUUUAAGGGACUGGUUUCCUGAAAUUCAGGUAAAUAACCAAUCAGAUCUGGAUUGUACCUCACACUAAGAUACUGUAGGCUUGGUAACUGAAAAUUUUUCAUUGGGAAUUCACCGUGCAAUCCACAAUUUCUGAGAAAGAGAGAUGUCAGUGAAGAUAAACUUGCCAACUCACGAGGUAUUGUUGAAAAAAUGUUCACCUGACUGAGAUGAAGCUUCUUUAAGUGGGUUAAGUUCUGAACCAGAUUUCUCAAGCCAGGCUUUCGGAGCUGCAACAUUGGGUUUGCCGAAAGAUCAAGGAAAACCAAUUUGGACAGUGC
rnacentral:lncRNA from 1 species